UUGGGAUAUGAGAAAUCUUGGGCCACUCAGAGCCAUUCUCCUUUCUACAAUUUUCUUUAAGAUGUGGACAUCCCCAGAUAUACAAUUCCUUUAAUUUGGAGAGGCGUUGAAUGGCUGUUGAACUUGGCAUAUACUUGAGAUUCUGGCAAUUCUCAAUCCAAAGAGAUUGAAGAGAAGAAAGGUUGGCCAUCCAUUGAAAUCCAUUAUCCCCAAUUCCUCGAGGGCAGUGAGGUGUUGAAGUUGGUGUGGUAACUUCAGUUUAUCCCAUCCAUGUAUGUAUAGGGAUUUGAGGGACCCACUCAAGUUGAGGUGUUGGAAUGAGUUUAAAACUCCUACAGGAAAAGCCUUCAUCUCCUCUGAGAAACCACCGAUUCUCAAUUCCUGCAGUUGGGUGAGGCCACCCAACCAAUCAUCCUCUGGGAUAUCACUCAAACUGGGACACGCGGUGAUUUCUAAUUCAACAAGAGAUCGCAAUUGUCGUAAACCAUGCCAAUCAAUACUGAUGAGCUUAUCACAACCUUUAAUCAAUAAUCUUCGAAGCGAAGACAAUUCUUGAAAAUCAUUGCAAUGGAUAAGCUCACUCCAAUUAAUUAUCUCUAAUACCUCUAGAGAUGCGCAACAUUGUAGUCCGCUUGGAAGAGCUCCCAAUUUACACCUAUUAACAAUCAAUUUCUUCAAAGAAUUCAAAUCUCGGAAAUCACCAGGAAUUGAGAUCAACUCACCGCACAAAUAUAUAAUCAAUUCCACCAGAGCUGUGCAGUGUUGUACGCUUGGAAUGGAUGCCAGCUUUGGACACCUCCAUAUACUUAAAACUCGAAGAGACGUGAAGCCAUGAAAUUCACCAGACAAAUAUCUCAGUUCAUCACAUUGCUCAAUUUUAAAUACUACAAGAGAUGAAAGACGACAUAUCGGAAUGCUUUCCAACUUUCCACAACACUCAAUGCUCAACUUUUCAAGACUAGGAAAUACUGCAACAACUUCUCCACCUGGUACCAUCCAUUCUUCAAGACCAUCCAUCCUGGAUAGAGUGAGUAUUUGUAGUGCUGGAAACAGUACACCUGCGCUGUCUCUGCUACUAGAGAACUCAUUGCCUAUACAUUUCACAUUAGGCAUUCCACUCAUCUCUAGAAUCCUAAGGCGUGGAAGACAUCCAAGUGUUGGGAGUUGCCUCAACUUGCUGCAGCCUUUCAAUCUCAGCACCGUCAGAUUAUUGAGUUGCAAUAUCCAUGAUGAGAAAUUUUCACCUCCAUAACCCUCAAUUGUCAAGCUUCUUAUGUCUGGGUGAGGCUGCAGGCCUUCCAGCACAUCCUCGCUAUUGACACUGCUGUUACCUUCAUCAUCACUCCAUUCAAACACCAAUUUGUUCAUUCUUUUUCCACUCAGUUCUGCCUUCUCAGCUUCUUCUCUGUCUCUCACUUGCUCAAGCUUGCAUAUCUUCAAUGCUCCUCUUAGUUCUUUCAAACAUCCCAGCUCUUCAACCAUAUGAUCUGGACCCACAGCAAAUAUCGGCAGAGUUUGAAGGCGUGUUAAGAGUCUCACCUCAGCUGGCACUAGCUUUGGAUCAUCAAAAUGAAGAUGUCUCAAGCUCACUAAAUUCCUCACUUUCUGGGGAAGCUUUUCUAGACUCGCAAUCAGUGAAUCUUAAUGUUUCCAAAUGGUAGAGCUUGGUGAUGGAUUCCGGCAAUGCUCUGAUAGCAGUAUCCGAGACAUCAAGAUAUCUCAAAUGUCUCAGCUUGCAAAUUGAAUCUGGUAACUCUGUGAUAUCAGACCUGCAAUUUGAGAGUUCUCAAGCUUUUGAAUUUCCAAGCCCGUUGAAUACAUCAACCAUUGAGAAAACAGUUCGCAAUUUUCUAGCAUCAACCGCUGUUAAUGCUGCCUCGUCAUCCCCACGAGAUACGAGAUUUAGAUGACGAAUAUGAGAUGCACCAUCAACAGCCGAACCCUCUUCCAGAUUUAACGCUUCUGAUUUUGAGACCUGUAAUGCAAGAUCAUGCACUAGAUCAUGCAUCUUGCAACUUGUUACGAUCUCACACUCGUUCCUUUUAACAUCUUGGAAAAAGGAAUUUGCAAGCAAGUCAUUGAAACACUUGCUGCCUUCGUCUUCCAUCCUCCCAUUUGAUGGCCUGAGAAAACCUUCAGCCAUCCAAAGUUGAACCAGCUUUUCCCUUUCAAUUUCAAAAUCUUUAGGGAAAAUGGAACAGUAUGCAAAACAUUUUUUCAGUGUUGGCGAUGACAGGUAAUCAAAACUUAAUGUCAAUACGCGCAAAGCAUUAUCUCCAUCCGGAGAAUCCCAAAUUCUACUGUUUAGAAUCCCAAAGCAUUUUUUCCAAGGCCAGCCAUCCCCACUAUAGGGACAACCGGAAGGACAUGUCGGUGUUUGGUCAAGCUAGUCAGCAAUUCCAUAACUUUAGAGACAUCAUCCUCCCUUCCUACAACCUCUGAGCUGUCAAGGAUCGAAUGUGUCACUCGAUCUGGGUCCCAGCUAACUUCUUGAGCUCUAUGUACAGGUAGAGAUGUCAAUCCAAGCCCAAAUCCGGCUGCAUCUUUCCGGAUUUCAUCCAGGGCUUCAUUGAUCUUCUUAACUUUUUGACCCAUAAUCAAACGGAAUGCAACAGGAUUGUGGAGUGAAAACCAAUCACGUACCUUUCCCUUCUUUUGGUCUUUUCGGAGAAUCUCAUAAGCAAACUCGUCCAGAACAUCUUCAGCAUCGUAAGCUACAUCCUGUAGGUUCUGCAGCCAACGCUUCCAGACUCGUCUGUUACUGCCCUUCUGGCUGCGUCUUGGAGCACACCUUUGAUCUUGGUCAAGGACUGGUUGAGCUUUCGCAGCUGGCCCUCCAAUCCCAAGCAAGUCCGAUCCCUUCAGCAGCAAUGGAACUCACCCUUUUCAAAGUCUCCUCCAAGGCAAACGUAAGAGAAGCUCUGCUGCCAUUAUUCUCCGUCUCUGUGUUUUUUUUUUUUUUUUUUUUUUGGGGGGGGAAUCAAAGAAGAAAUUUUGAGCACAAGAGAGAGAGAAGCAUGGUGUGAAAUAUUAAAAGAUGAAACGGAGCAUAGUUGCAUGAGGGUCCCUUCCUCCCUAAUUGAUUGAUGGCUGUUGGCAGCAUCUUCCACGAACCACUACUGUCAUGUUGUUAUGGCAUGGCUAAGAAAAUUCCACGUACGCCUUUGUCGGCAUGGUGUUUGGUAUCACUUUUAAACGAUACCAAAUACCAUGCCGACAGGAGGAAACGAUUCCAAUCUAUUGAUCAUGAACAUGAGAAACUGAUGAUGUAUUUAUUUUUGAGAUAAUUUUUGUGUUUAUAAUUUCUAAAAAUUAAGUUUUAAAAAAGUAUAGUUGGAUGAGGUUAUUUGGAAUUAAAUAUAUAUUUGGUAAAAAUUAUGGUUGAGGUUUAUAUACAGUAAAAAAACAUGUAUAAAAUGUUUGGUUGUUAUUACUUUUCAAAAGUAUUUUUUACUUUGAAAUGUAUUAAAAUAUAUAUUUUUUAUUUUUAAAAAAUUAUGAUUGAGGUUUAUACGCAGUAAAAAAACAUGUAUAAAAUGUUUGGUUCUUAUUACUUUUUAAAAAUGUUUUUUACUUUGAAAUGUAUUAAAAUAUAUAUUUUUUAUUUUUUAAAAAUUAUUUUUGAUAUCAGCAUAUUAAAAUGAUCUGAAAUAUAUAUAUAAAAAUUUGAAGUAAGGAAAAAAUAAUUUUUUUUCAAUUUUGAAAAAAAAUGCUUUUGAAAUGCAAAAAUAAAAAGAAUUUUAUGAAACUCAGUUUAAAAAACAAGUAUAAACUGCUUUACAAAAAUCACGUUUUAAAUUCAAUUUUUUAGUAGGUCUUACAGAAUAAAACACAAUUUAAUAUAUUAUCAACUAUCUAACUUUAAUUUUUACACCGUAAACACAUAAACUAAGAAUAAACAAACACAUCCUGAGCUGAAUACUUCCGUUAUCAACAAGAGAAUAUGACUUCUUGUAGUGGUAGAACACCUCCUUCGUAGGAAGUCCCCAUUCCUACAUUAAACAAAAAGUGAUAUUUGAUUAGAAUUAACCUAAAACAAACUAACCUAUUUUUUUAGCGACUAGAGGUCACCAAAAUCUGGGCAGUUAAGGCGAUGUGUCGUUUGCUUGAGUAAGACAGGUGAUGUGUCGCCUCUAUUUUUUUUCAAAUCAUUAAGAGGGAGACGGGUAGUCAUUCUUCUCUUUUAUAUAUAUAUAUAUAUAUAUAUAUAUAUAUAUAUAUAUAAGGCUUAAUUAGGUGCAUGGGCUGCUCCAGGCUCGCGCACCUAUACCUUUUUGUAGAGGUUUAAAAGCUCUAGGCUUUCUUAGCAUGAGAGAAUGAGCUUCUUUUUUCAAUUUCAUCACCUAAAUAUUUGGUUGAUUAUUAAUUGGGUAACAUAAUUUACUUCAGUUUGAUUUUUUUUCCAAUCGCUUUGGUAUUUUGCAGGUUCUUAAUUUUAUAAAUGUAUAUUUUAGAUCAAAUAUUAUAAAAAGAUUGUUGAACCCUGUUAAGUUUGUGAUCUAGGUCAUGAGUUUGGUUGGUUUACUUUGACUGGGUAGGAAUUGAACUAGAUAAAACUUUUUUUUCCGCAUAAAUAGUUCUCAAUUUUUUUUUAAUUAUAUACAUGCAUGAACUUUUUAAAUUUUGCUUGACAUUUCUUUAUGUACAAAAACAUGUUGUAAAAAGUUUGCGCAUAUAUAUAUAUAUAUAUAUAUAUAUAUAUAUAUAUAUAUAUAUAUAUUUGAUCAUUGGUGAAACGCGGGUAAAAUAGCUAAUACUACUAUUACUAAUUCCAGCCUGACCUAGGAGUGAGACAACUAGCCCCCCAACAUCUACAUGCAGAGUGUGUUUAUUUAUGCGGUUAGACCGUGAUUUUGAAGGCUUUUUUAGUUUUAAAUUAAUAAUUUUUAGUAUUUUUUAUUGUUUUGAUGUGUUUAUAUAAAAAAAAUUUAAAAAUAUUUUAAUACAUUUCAAAAUAAGUUUUUUAAAAUAAUCUAAUAAUAUUUUACAAACAAGACUCGUAAUAGGUUAUGCCACUACAUGUGCACCAUUAUUUCCAUUUCUUGUGUGUCACAAUAUAUUUAUAUUUAUAUUUACAGUACAACUAUGAAUGAGAUGGUCAAAGGUUGAAGGGAAAAUAUUAAAUCAAUUGAUCUUAUUAUAAAACUAUAACAUAGGAUCAGGACACCGAAGAAGAAAGGAAGAAAAGUUGUCUCUGUGAGUGACAAUGAUACGAUGCUUCUUUUCAUGUGGAAUUUUUGGUCUAAGACUUUUUGUGCAUGUAAAAUUGUGAGGGGAUGCACCUUAAAAAGGUAGGGUGUCAUUAGCCCAUGAUUCUAUUCAUUGGGAUUUAUUACAUUGAUGCCAAUUCUUUUAAUAUCAAUUAACAAAAGCUCGAGCUUGAGUAAAAUUAAAAAAAAAUAAGUUUUUAUUUUAUAUAUAUAUAUAUAUAUAUUGAUUGUUUUAAUAUAUUAAUAUCAAAAAUAAUUUUUAAAAAAUAAAAAAAAUAUUAUUUUAAUGCAUUUCCGAGUAAAAAUCAUUUUAAAAAAGCAACCGUUACAAUAUUUUUAAACACCCUUUAUAGGGAAAGAGAAUGGAUGUUGUAUUUAAAUAUAAUAAAAUAAAUUUUAUAUUUAUAUCUCUAUUUUUUCAACCAAAUACGUUUCUAUCCCUUCUUGUUGCAUUUUUAAGAUUAGUAUAUAUCUAUGAGUCUUCCUAUCAUGAGCUAAAUGCAAUAUUCCUAUAUUGCUUUAAAGCUAAUAUUGGACCAACAUUAUUGUGUUAUAAUUUUGAGUUUGAAUCUUUCCUUUAUGAAUCCAAUGCCAAAAAAGAAAAAGAAGAAGAAAAGUAAAGCACACGAGAAUGAGGAAGUUGGCAAAGUAAUUGGAGUUUAAUAGUGUGAAUGCGAUUGUUUUUCAAAUAAUAUUUUUGUAUUAAAAUAUAUGUCAAUGAUAUUUUUUUAUUUUUAAAAAUUAUUUUUGAUAUCAGUCCAUCAAAAUGAUUUGAAAACACUAAAAAAAUAUUAAUUUAAAAUAAAUAAAAAAAAUUAUUUUUUUUCUAAAACAUUUUUAAAAUGUAAAAACAAAUACUAAAACAUUCAUCGAGGCUUUAGCUUUCUGGAUGCUAUGUGUCAAUGUGACACUCUUUCAAGCUCCAAGCUGACAAUUUCCCACAUAAAAAUAAGUUCAAAAUUGUAAUGCCAAAUAAUGUUCGUUCAUGGGCAAUUAGGCCUUUCGUUUUCCUCUAUGAAUCAAGCCCCAGGUGACAAUUGCAUAUCUCUUUUUCAUCCAUGACAAAAAUGAAUUGAAGUAAUGUUUUAUUUAUAUAGAGCAGGCGGACUUAUUAUUGUUAAUUAUUUGUUGUUCUUAUUGUAUAUGAGAUAAAUGGGGGUGUUUGAAAGUGUGAUUCUAAUUGUUUUUUAAAGUGUUUUUUGCUUGAGUGAGAUAGGUGAUGUGUCGCCUUUAUAUUUUUUUUCAAAUCAUUAAAACGCAGACGGCUAGUCAUCAUCCUUUUAAGAAAACUUGAAAAAAAAAAAAAAAAGUUUAGGUGCGGGAGCUGCUCCAGGCUCACGCGCAUAUGCCUUUUUAUAGAGGUUUAGGAGCUCUAGGCUUUCUUAGCAUGAGAGAUUGAACCUUUUUUUAAAAAAAAAAUCCAUUACAACUGGAUUUGUCUUUUUUUUUUUCUUGCUUAUAUUUUGUUCAAUUUCAUCACCUAAUAUUUGGUUGGUUAUUAAUUGGGUAAUAUAAUUUAUUUCAGUUUGAUUUUUUUUCCAAUCGCAGAUCAAAUAUUAUAAAAAGAUUGUUGAACCCUGAUAAGUUUGUGACCUAGGUCAUGAGUUUGGUUGGUUUACUUUGACUGGAUAGGAAUUGAACUUGAUAAUUUAUUUUUUUUGCAUAAAUAGUUCUCAAUUUUUUUAAUUAUAUGCAUGCAUGAAUUUUUUAAAUUUCUCUUGAGAUUUCUUUAUGUACAAAAACAUGCCGUAAAAAGUUUGCAUAUAUAUUUAAAAAAAAUAAAAAACAAUUGACCAGUGAUGAAGCACGGAUCAAAUAACUAGUACUACUACUACUAAUUCCAGCCUCACCUAGGAGUGAGACAACCAACUCUCUGACAUCUACAUGCAGAGUGUAUUUGUUUAUACGGUUAGAUCGUGGUUUUGAAAGUUUUUUUUAGUUUUUUAAGUUUUAAAUUAAUAUUUUUUAGUAUUUUUUUUAUUGUUUUGAUGUGCUUAUAUUAAAAAUCUUAAAAAAUAUUAUUUUAAUACAUUUCAAAACAAUUUUUUUUUAAAAAAAUAAUCUAAUAAUAUUUUACAAACAAGACUCGUAGUAGGUUAUACCAUGUUGCAACUAUGCCACUACAUGUGCAACAUUAUUUCCAUUUCUUCUGUGUCACAAUAUAUUUAUAUUUCCAGUGCAACUAUGAAUGAGAUGGUCCAAGGUGGAAGGGAAAAUAUUAAAUCAAUUGAUCAUAUUAUAAAACUAUAACAUAGGAUCAGGACAACGAAGAAGAAAGAAAGAAAAGUUGUCUAUGUGAGUGACAAUGUUACGAUGCUUCUUUUCGUGUGGAAUUUUUGGUCCAAGACUUUUUGCGCAUGCAAAAUUGUGAGGGGAUGCACCUUAAAAAGGGUGUCAUUUGCGCAUGAUUCUAUUCAUUGGGAUUUAUUACAUUGAUGCCCAUUCUUUUAAUAUCAAUUAACAAAAGCUGCUUGAGUAAAAUUAUUAAAAAUUAUUUUUUAUAAUUUUUUGAUUGUUUUAAUGUAUUAAUAUCAAAAAUAAUUUUUUAAAAAUUAAAAAAAUAUUAUUUUAAUACAUUUCCGAAUAAAAAUCAUUUUAAAAAAUAACCACUAUAAUAUUUUUAAACACGAUUUAGAGUGAAAGAGAACAAAUAUCAAAUUUAAAUGUAAUAUAAAGAAAUUUUAUAUUUUUGUCUCUGUUUUUUCAACCAAAUACGUUUCUAUCCCUUUGUGUUGCACUUGUAAGAGUAGUACCUAUGAGUCUUCCUAUUAUGAGCUAAAUGCAAUAUUUGUUUCUAUAUUUUAAAAUUAUUUUUGAAAAAAUUUAAAUUUUUUCAUUAAUUUUAAAUUAAUAUACUUUUAGUAUUUUCAAACCAUUUUGAUGUGUUGAUAUCAAAAAUAAUUUAAAAAAAAAUAAAAAAAAUCAUUGACAUGUAUUUUGACAUGAAAAAUUAUUUAAAAAAUAAUCAUAAUCACACUGCCAAACAAGCUCGUAAAGCUAAUCUUGGGCCAAGAUUAUUGUGCUAUAAUUUCGAGUUUGAAUCUUUCCUUUAUGAAUCCAAUGCCAAAAAAGAAAAUGAAGAAGAAAAGUUUAACACACGAGAACGAGGAAGGUGGCAAAGUAAUUGGAGCUUUGUCCCUUUACAUGGUGACCUUACCUUUCUGGAUGCUGUGUCAAUGUGACACUCUUUCAAGAACAACAUUAUUAAAUUCACAUCCUACCGACUAUUAUGGCUGUCAUAGAAUCAAGGUUGUUAAUUUCAUUUCGUUUCAUCUGGAAUGGCUAAAACAUUUUAUAUUAAUUCAAAAAAUAAAACAAAACAGAAUAAUUUUCAUCUCAUUUUAAAUCUUAGUCCAUUUUGAAUUUUUCGGCUAAAUUUCGUUUGUAAUGUUCCGGUUUCAUUCCAUAUGUUCCAUUUCGGUCUUAAAAAGCCAUUAAAUCAAAUUGAACCUGAUUCAAUUUAAUUAAUUAAAUCACUUAAUUAUAAAAAGCUUAUUUUCAUUACUAUUUUCAAUAAUAAUGAUAUUAAAAAUUAUUAUUACUAUUUUAAUUAACAAUGAUAUUAAUUUUUUAAAUUAGAUUUAUCACUAAUAUAUAUUGUUUAUAUUCAUGUUAUUUUUUUCAAGAUUAUACUUUGAGAAUUUGAGCAAAAUAAUAAAUGCUUUAGAUAUCAUUAGCCUUAAUAAUAUUAACCUGACUUUAUAUUUAAAAUGUUUGUGUUAAAACAUUUUAAUUUUAUAAUAUUUUGAUAUUUUGUUUAAGUUGAAUUAUUUUAAGUUAAAAAUCUAUUUAAUCUUAACUAUUUAGAAAUAUUUUAAAUUAUAUUUGUUUGAUAUUAUUUUUGUAUUGCAUAAUUUAUAAUUAAUUUAUCUUGAAUUUGAAUUAUGUUUGUUAUAUAUAUAUAUAUAUAUAUAUAUAUAUAUAUAUGAACAGUACAAUCUCGAAAUGGCACACCAAAAUACUUCAAAAUUAAAAUAUUCAAUUCUAAUUAAAAUAACAAAACACCUACUAAUACAGAAUUUACAACCUUGUAUAGAAUAGCAAUGGCCAUCAUGCCAUAAAAGCCUGAUUUGGAGCCAAUUCCUCUCUCUUGCCACUACUUUAAAAACCUUAAAACCACGGCAUGAUAAAAGGAGAAAGAAAGGAAUAGGACAACGGAAGAAAGUGAAUUUGACAAAGGAAGAAAGUAAGGUCACGUACUGUAGAAAAUAGGAGAUGAAAAUUAGUAUGAAAAAGAGGAUGAUAGAGUGGUUGUCCAAAUCAUAGUGGUUUUUAUAAUUAUAUUUAAUUUAUACAAAUAUUAAAUUAAUAUAUUUUUAGUAUUUUAUACGAUUUAAAAAAGUUUUUUUGUUGAUUUAAAAAAUCUAUGAGUAUAAAAAAUUAUUUUAAUAUAUUUUUAAAUAGAAAAUAUUUUUAAAAGUAUGCAUCACAGUACCAAAUUAUAGUAUAAAUUAAAAGAAAAUAGGGUUUUAUGUUCAUUACCACUCACUUAGACUCAUUUAAUUGUGGACAAUAAUAGUGUCUCAUUUGAAAACUUUCAAUUUUAUACUUGAAAUUUUUUUCAUAAUUAAUCAUUUUUAAUUAAAAUUAGAGUCCAAUUGCAUAUUAUUUUUAUGGAGGAGAGUUGAAUUAAAAGACAAGGAAUUGAAGUAAAAAACUCAGCUAAAAUAGAUGGCAGCUAUACCAUUUAUUUACAAAAUUUAUUUUAGUUUAUCAUCCUUUUUAAGUUAUUAAAUAAUAAGUCCUAAUAAUUUUUAUAUAUUUUUUUGAAAAUAAUUUUAAAAAUAAUGUUAUCAUUAAUACCCCUUUUCUAUGAUUUGUUUUUUGGUCUUAUGUAGUCUUUCUUCAAUUAUUUUUAAUUUUGUUGCUUUUGUUUAAUUUCUUAAGAGGUUAGUAAUAUUUAUCUAUAAAUAUUUUUUAUAUAUUUCAGAUAGAUUAAGUAUUUAAUUUUUAUAAUAAUUUGAAUAUGUGUAGCCUUGCAUAGUUAUUUUUUUUCCUUUUAUGAUAUUAAAAAAAAAAUUAUGUGUGUUGAUUUCUAUUAUAGAUUGAUUUUAGUAAAUAAAUUCAUUAAAUAUAACCAGAUAAAUGAUCCAUGUUGCAAUAUUAAAUACUUUAUUUAUAUUUGUUUCUUAAUUUUUCCACUUGCAUUUUUAAUUAUUGGUAAUGACUUUAUUUUUUUCAUUUAAUUUACACAAUUGUUUGUGAUUUAUUUAAUUUGAUGCAUGUAUAAGUUUUUUAAUUUAUAUUUAGAAUUUUUUUAAUGUAAAAAAACACAUUGAGAAAUUCUUAUUCUUAUGAUUUUAGUUUGAUCCUUAUUCUUAUGAUUUUUUAUUUUCUUUCUAACCCUUUUAUAAAACAAAAAAUUGUUUAUAAUUUCAUCCUUCAUUUCAACAUAAUGAUAUAUUUUUUUCAUUAUAUAUAUUCUUGUUUGUUAUCAUUGCUUGUUUUCCUUAUAUAAUUCAUAUAAAACCAGCUUAUUUAAUCGGUCAAGACUAAAUAAUAAUAAUAAAAAAGAUAUACUCUGUCUUCCCAUUUCCUCUCCCUGGUGAAUUUUGGCGACCACCCACACAAUGAUAGCCUAAACAACCACCAGCCAUGCCACGUUUCAAGAUCCCAUCUCUCAAUCUCAAAACCAGAAACAACCCUUUCUCAUAACUCCAGGAAAGUGAAGAACUAAACCAUAGUGGCAAAAAUCUAAAAGGGUCUAAAUUAUCUCUGUUACUUUCCCUCAAUUUUCUAGACAAGCAAAAGGAGCUAAAUUUAUUCCCGACCAAAACGCCAAGAAUUUCAGUAGAGCAAAAGAAGAGAUUGUUACUUGACCAUAGACAAUUAGUCCGCACCCAAAGAAACUGAGUGAAUGAGAGAAAAAGACUAUUAGCUAGAAAACAAUCAACACAUCCAAGAAUUUUCUGUAUGGUUUCCAAGAAAAUGAAACGAAACAAGAAAAGCUAGAUCGUUCAUUCCUAUCAGAAAUUAAGGAUUAAUUGUAGCAGAUCUUAUAAAAGUAGAUUCCAUUGUCAAUUCCUCAGCAUUUUCCAAACAAAUCCAUGCUCCUCAUUUUUUACUGUCUUGAGGGUUUCUAUUCUCUUAUUACCAAUUUCAGUGAGUUUCAUAAUAAGCUGCUUAGAAAGAAGCAAUCUAACAGGAGGGUGGGGCUACUCUUGGCCAAUGAAAACAGCUUCACAUGCUAUACAGCAACGUGAAAAAAAGAUUCUCAGCCUGUUCUCUCUUUAAUGAACACCCUCUUGGAUUCUCUAGCACUAGCCAACAAGGUAUCUACUUGGAAUUACUUCCACCAAUCUCUGAAAAGAAUAUACAACCUAUUUAUUAUACUUAACUAAGAGUCUAUUUCAUAACCCUAUAUAUUUUUUAACUGAACUAGUUAUUUUUCUCAAAAACCCACCAAGUUAAUGGUUUUUCAUAAAUCUAAUUCAUAAUAAAACAAAUAAUGAGACUUGAUAAUAAUUCACUAAAUAAACAUCAAUUAUUCAUCAAAAUAAUCUGAGAAAUCUAAUAUUAAAGUUAGGGACCAAUAUGGAAUUUUAUCAUAUUUUUAGGGGUCAAAUUAUAAUUUUAUCAAAUUGGAGGACCAAACUAAAAAUAUCAUAAAUUCAUGACUAUACUGGAAUUCUGCCCAUAAUUCAUCCUAAAUUCUGCCCAGAAUCUCAAAUUAUGCUCCAAGGACCACUAUAGAAUUUUAUCAAAAUUCUAGGGUCAAAUUGUAAUUUCAUCAAAUUGGAGGACCAAAGUGAAAAUAUCAUAAAUUCAUAACUAUACUGGAAUUCCUCCCAUAAUUUAACUUUAAUUUUGUCCAGAAUCUCGGAUUAUGCUCCAGGGACCAAACUCUAAUUUUUCUAAAGUUCAGGGACUAAACUGUAGUUUUCACAAAUUGAGGGACCAAGCUGAAAUUUCAUAAUCUUUAACCUCAAACCCAGAAUUUACACAGAUAACCUACUGAUAUAUCAAGAUUUCUAACUUAAAUUCACCAUUUGAAUAAAUCAUAACUCAAAAUCAUCAUUUUUACCUAAAAUCUUUUAAAAUCAACUAAAUAACUCAUUACCCGUUACAAUCGACUUUCUGUAAUGUAAUUGUAAUUCCUAGCAUAAUGCAUAUUCGAGGGCAAGCACAACAACUCAAGAGCAAAGAAACUCGAUGAAAUAGGAAAAGAAAAAGAAUUGAAGGACUGAAAUAAAAUAAAACCAAAAAGAGGGAUGAAAAAAGAUUUUUGAUAAAUUUUCAGAAAAAAUCAAAAAUAGCAAAAAAACAAUGAAAAACCCAAAAAAUAUAUUUUUGAUGUAUUCGCAUCGUUUUUAGCAUUUUCAACGUCAUCUCAAAAGAAUUUAAAUUUUCAAAAGUAUUUUGAACGCGUUCAACUCUUAACGCGUAAAUUUUAUGAUCAUUGACUUUCCUUGUUGAGCCGACGUUGAUAUUGCCCAUUUUCAAAAAUACAAAAAAAAAAGAGAAAAUCAAAAUUACAAAAAAAAAGAGGAAAAGAAAGGGAAAGGAAAGUUGAGGGACUGGUUUGGAAACCCCAGAAUAUUUCUUCUAUAAAUACUAAGCUACAGUAAAAUUUGGAGGGGGGCGGAGAAAAUGAACUGAGGGGUGAAAAUUGAUUCACGAGGGAGAAAUUUACACAGAAAGAAAAUUGAUUCACGGGGGUGAUGAAAAAAUUGUGGAGAGAAAAAAAGAGUAACCCUACAAACCAUCUUCCCUGCGCAGCCGCCCCGGAGGAUAAAAAAAACUAAAGCUUCCACCUUUUCUUCUUGGCAAGCCGCCGGCCUGGCCUUUGAAAGAAAAACCUAAGCCAUCAUCCACCCUUCUCCUCCAAAAAGAAACAAAGAGACCCCCUCUGUUGCGAUGUCGCGGUCGCACAAAUUAAUUACCCUAGCUUAAACACAUAAAAUAAGAUAGUAUAGAGAAAGCAAGGGGUCGAUCCCACGAGGAAGUUUGAAGUCAGAUUUUUAUGUUAUACGUUAUGUAAUUGGGGGGGAUUGAUUUGCAAUGAUUUAAACUAUGGCAGAAAUUAAACUAGCAAACAAAAUCAAUUGAAAUUGAAAUAUAUCAAGAAAACAAACCUUGGUUGCAAGUACACAUCCACCAACGGAAAUUAGAACCGAUCCUUGAAACGAAACUCCAGUUUAUAUUAUGAAUUCUAUCUUUUCUUAAUAUUGGUUAAUUAACGGAUCCGCCGUAUAACUAGCCCUAACCAACAAACAAUCACAGUGUUCGCACUAAUGAUUUAAUCCAAUGGCAACCUUAAGAUCCAGAUAAAUUCAUUAAUCUUAACAACCAAGUUGUCAAUUUGUGUUGCUAUGAUCGAAUGUUCUCCCUAAGUUUAAUAACGUAGUUCCGCUACAAUUAUCAAGCUUAGUUGCUUCGCAAGUUUAUAUACCACAACUCCGGUUUUGAUAUCAAACUUAGCAAUAGAUUGUUCACAAUAAUAACUUAGAGUCCGCUCUAGCAAUUAAGAUAAACAAUCAUAGGAAAUAUGCAUAGGAAAACAAACAUACUCAUUCAUAACAUAAACUGAAAAUAAAAGGAAGAAUAAAUCUCACGGUUCUUGAAAUCCGAAGGUUUGUUGUGUCCUUGCAACCAAGAAAACGAGCUUAGCCUUGCAUAUCUAAUGAACAACUACUCCUAAAGAUGAAAGAAUACAUAAUUUCUGAUUUGUAGAGAGGAGAGUUUGUGUUUCCUCCCUCUUCUUGCUUCUUUCCUCUCUUUUUUUUACCUCCUUCUACUCACCCUCUAUUUAUACACAAAUUGUAAGUAAGAAAAUCAAAGUUCAAGUGUGAACAUCAAUAGAUGGUGGUAGUGUGAAGGCGGCUGGUGGCUGUGGCUGGUGGCUGCUGGCUGCUGAGGUUGGUGGCUGCCAUGAGGUUGGUGGCUGCCAUGAGGUUGGUGGCUGCCUUCCUUGACCUUCUAGAAUAUUUACUAGAGGAGCUAAAUUGCUGGUCGGUUUGGAUGCUUCUAGAUGAAAUUUGAUUCGUUUCUUCACGCAACCUGCUUGCUGGCAGAAUUCAGCUGUCAUCUUUGAAAAAUCAUAUAUCCCUCAUAUGACAUCGUUUUUGGCUGAAAUUUGGAGCGUUUAUAGAUCUUUGAGUAAGGAAUCCAACAAAAUUGAGUUUGCAUCAAUUGGACUUCUGAAGCUCCAGAUAUUGAAUUUUGAAUGGGCAAAGGUCAACAUUGGCAGACUGCGAGAUUUGACUUUGAAGGAUGUGAUUUCCAUGAUCUUUCUCUUUUUAUUUUUCUUGCAUUACAUUUCCAAAAAGGUAUGGAUGUUAGCUUUUUAAUGCCACUGGAAUCACUUCAUUUCGAUCUCUGGAACUCACGCUCUGCACAAAAUACCGACUGAACGUCAAAUCUGCCAAUUACCUCCAAUUUACUCCUUUUUGCAUCUUUCAUCCAAAAAUGCCUUCAAAACAUAAAACAAAGAAUAUCAAGGCAUUUUAUAUAAAUAACAUAUGCAAAACACUAGUUAAAUGCGGGUGAAACUAUCGAAUAAUAUGGUUACAUCAAAUACCCCCACACUUAGCUCUUGCUCGUCCUCGAGAAAGGAUAAAUAAAAUUAAAUUGAAAAUAACUAUGAUCAAUUUCUUAAUCUCCCAUCAAUGUCUAAGAGUACAAGCAUUAUAAACAAGAAUACAAUCAUGAAGGAUAAAUAAUAUAAUUCUCAUGAAUUUAUUUACAUGCAAACUUCAAAACUCAAUCAAUCGUCUGGAUUUAAAUGAAAUCUAUGCCAUGCCAAAGUGAUAGGUCCUCUCAUUGAUAUACACUCCAACACUCAUGUGUUUAGGGUUUAUGUGUUUAAAUCUCUCAAAUUCAAUCAAAGAGUAUGUUCUACCAUAAGCUUGCUUUUCAAUCUCAUCUCCAUUAGCAACUUAUUACAAGUAUUACAUGAAUCAAAAGGUCUUAUUUUCCGGUUGUAAUGGGGCUGAGGUUAAGGUGAGGUAAAAGAAAGUAAAAGGAAAGGUUCAAACCAAUGAAAGUAGAGCAUUUUGAAAAAUGAUACUUCAAACAAGAUAUUCCAUCAAAGCUCAUAAAUUUUUCAUCUUUAAUCACAAAUGCUUAACUCCUUUUGAUUUCAAGCUCUUUCAACAUAAAACCUUAAGAACAUAAAGGAAUACUUUUUUUUUUUUUCUUUUUUUCUUUUUUUUUUGGCAACUUUGCCCAUUUUUUCAUCAAGCAUCACUUCUUUCUUUUCAUAUAAUUUCCAACCAUAAUUCCAUUAAAUAUUACAAGUAUAUGCUCUACUAAUCCUUGGCCAGGGGAAAAGAAAAACAUAUAUAAAGUUAAGGCUUAUACAUGGAUAAAGCAAAGAAAAGAUAAACAAGCUCAAAACGGGCUCACUAAGGAUAAUAUGCUUUAGGUUGGCUUUUUGGCUUGAGGGGUUAAAAUUCCUAAUCCCUUUAUCAUCUUCAUGUAUAUUUGUAAUGGGAUAUAAUCUCAAUAAGAUAUGAAGCAAGUUCUAGAGAUACUUAUCAUUGAAAGAAUGCACACUCAAAGAAUAUAAUGUUGAAGGCUCAAAAGCUUGCAUUGGUAUAACACUAUAAAGUCAACAUGGCAUAUUCUCAAAGUCAAUCCCUAAACCAAUUAAACCUUAAAAUUUGCAUGCAUACUCCUUCAUUUGAUUUAUAUCUUCAUCUAUCUCAAUUAAUUCUCAUAUAUAAUACUGAUAUUCUCAAAAACCAAUAGGAGUUAAAAAGAUCAAACAUAAUGUUUUUUUUUUUUUUUAAAGAACAACAAAGAAAAUGAAAAUAAGAAAACCAAAAUUCUCCCAAUACCCCCACACUUAAAACACAACAUUGUCCUCAAUGUUGAAAUAAAAGCAAAGGAACAUAAGAGAAUGACAAAGAUAAAGUAAAAUACGAAAAAUAAAAGAUAAGGAAAAAGAAAGCAAAUCUGAUUUUUUUUUCUUUUUGUGCUGGGUUGCCUCCCAGUAAGCGCUUUUGUUUUAUGUCAUUGGCUCGACAUAUUGCAUGCUCAUUCUUCAUAGAUUGGUUCAGCUAACUCUGCAGAAGCGGUGAGUUCUGCCGUCCAACCUUCAUAGAAAGGUUUCAAACGAUGCCCAUUGACUUUGAGUAUGUUGUUAGUUUCUAAACUUGUAAUUUCAACUGCACCAUAAGGAAAAACAUUAGAAACAACAAAUGGUCCAAUCCAAUGAGAGCAUAACUUUCCAGGAAAAAGUUUCAAACGCGAAUGAUAAAGAAGGACUUUGUCUCCAACAUGAAACUCCUUUCUUGUAAGCAUUCGGUCAUGAAGAUUCUUAGUCUUUUCUUUGUAAAUCCUUGCAUUCUCGUAAGCAUCAUUUUGAAUCUCUUCCACCGUAAUUCCAAUCUUUUUGGGCACCAAAAGGAUAGGCGCCACCCAUUCACUGUUCGUGAUGGGGUAAAUGACACCUGCAUCAUGAAGGAUAAUUUGCAAAGCUUGCAAAUCCAAUGCUGAUUCAUGCAUGUUUUGGGGAACACAUAUAUGCCUUUCCAUCUCUUCUAUCUUGGUAAAAGCAUAGUCAUUGCUCAAAGCUAUGCUUAAUCCAUCUUCGCAAUCAAAAUUAAAAACUUGCUGCACACACUUAUCAACUUGGUCAUAACAUGUGAUAGAAUAAACAUUGCUAUAAGGAUAUGUCAUUGCAUCAUGAAAAUUAAAUUCAAUUUUUUCAUCUCGUACCUCCAUAGACAAGGUAUCCUUACCACAAUCAAUCUUUGUGUUGGCAGUUUUCAAGAAUGGUCUCCCAAACAAUAUAGGAGUGCUGGUUGAUGAAUCACAAGAAUCAUGUUCCAUAUCAAGAAUAUAAAAGUCACAUGGAAUAACCAAACUAUCAAUCUUGACUAGGACAUCUUCUAUCACACCAAUUGGGUAAACAAAACUACGAUCCGCAAGUUGUAUUACAAUACUAGUUUUAUUCAAAGGCUCUAGACUAAGAGAAUCAUAAACAUGUUUAGGCAUAACACUAAUGGAUGCACCUAAAUCGCAUAAAGCACUUUUAAAACUAGAAUUACCAAUAACACAUGGGAUAGUAAACGCACCUGGGUCUUUUUGUUUCAAAGGCAGAUUCUUGACCUUUCAGUUUGAAAGCUCUCUUGGUAGUACACAACUCCUUCAACAAUUUUGCAUACUUGGGAAUUUGCUUGAUAGCAUCAAGCAAAUGAAUGUUCAGUUCCACUUUGUUGAAAACUUCUAAAAUCUCUUUUUCUUUGUCUUCUUUCUUUGACCUAGAAGAACUCACAGGAAAGGGUGGAAUUGUUUUAAAACUAGAAUUCAUUGAGUGAGGAGUUACCUUUGGAGUGUUGGUCGAUGUUUCAGUUUGGAAAGGAGAAGGAUGAUGUAUCUUCUUUGUACUCAAUUCAGUUUCUAUCUCUUCUUCUUCCUCCAUCUCAAUUUGUUUUGACCUUUUCUCUUCAAUUUCUUUCCCACUUCGCAACAUGAUCGCACUAACAUGCUCUAUUUGAUUCCAUGCUUGGGAGGGCAAUUUUCCAUUCAUUUGUGCUUCCAAUUUCCCUACACUUGAAGCUACUUGCCCCAUUUGCUUUUCCAAGUUGUGAAUACUUGACCUUGUUUCCUGUUGAAAAGAUAUGACAUUUUGUUGCAAGGUAACAGUAUUAGAAGCCAAAGUUUUCAUCAUCUCACGAAGAUCAUCAUUGGAUGACGACCCCAUAACAUUGGAGUUUGUGAAUGGAGGGGGUUGUCUUGCAAUGAACAACUACUCCUAAAGAUGAAAGAAUACAUAAUUUCUGAUUUGUAGAGAGGAGAGUUUGUGUUUCCUCCCUCUUCUUGCUUCUUUCCUCUCUUUUUUUUACCUCCUUCUACUCACCCUCUAUUUAUACACAAAUUGUAAGUAAGAAAAUCAAAGUUCAAGUGUGAACAUCAAUAGAUGGUGGUAGUGUGAAGGCUGGUGGCUGGUGGCUGGUGGCUGGUGGCUGCUGGCUGCCAUGAGGUUGGUGGCUGCCUUGAGGUUGGUGGCUGCCAUGAGGUUGGUGGCUGCCUUCCUUGACCUUCUAGAAUAUUUACUAGAGGAGCUAAAUUGCUGGUCGGUUUGGAUGCUUCUAGAUGAAAUUUGGAUUCGUUUCUUCACGCAACCUGCUUGCUGGCAGAAUUCAGCUGUCAUCUUUGAAAAAUCAUAUAUCCCUCAUAUGACAUCGUUUUUGGCUGAACUUUGGAGCGUUUAUAGAUCGUUGAGUAAGGAAUCCAACAAAAUUGAGUUUGCAUCAAUUGGACUUCUGAAGCUCCAGAUAUUGAAUUUUGAAUGGGCAAAGGUCAACAUUGACAGACUACGAGAUUUGACUUUGAAGGAUGUGAUUUCCAUGAUCUUUCUCUUUUUAUUUUUCUUGCAUUACAUUUCCAGAAAGGUAUGGAUGUUAGCUUUUUAAUUCCACUAGAAUCACUUCAUUUCGAUCUCUGGAACUCACGCUCUGCACAAAAUACCGACUGAACGUCAAAUCUGCCAAUUACCUCCAAUUUACUCCUUUUUGCAUCUUUCAUCCAAAAAUGCCUUCAAAACAUAAAACAAAGAAUAUCAAGGCAUUUUAUAUAAAUAAAAUAUGCAAAACACUAGUUAAAUGCGGGUGAAACUAUCGAAUAAUAUGGUUACAUCACCCUCCAUUUUUGAUCUUCUUCUUCUUGAGUCCGCCUCCCACAGCCCCUCUCUCGGCUGCUCACUUCCCCUCCUUGAAAAACAGAGUCGGCCGCCCCUUUGAAAAAUACAAGAGCCCUAUCUUCUCCCCAUUUUCCUAGAGACAACCGGCCGCCCUCAUCCAAAGAAAUUAGAGGGAGACCCUGGCCUUGAGGUUUUUGAAUCGGGAGCUUCUUCUCCCAAACUAAGGCCAGCCACACGUCCCUCCCCCCGGCCAUUUUCGUUUCUCUUCUCCCCAACAAAGCCAGCCGAAUAGACGCCAACAGUAGCGGCGCCAUCUUCACCAGUGAGCCAGCAAUCAACACACGGCAGCGCCGGGGCAACACUCUCUUCUUCAUCCUCUGCAACCAACCACAACAGCGCUGCCAUCACUGGAGACCCAGCAUCUUACAGACCUCGUCUGUUACCUCACUGUCGGCCACGACAUCCCUCUCCCUGUGCAGCGGCGUCUCCUUCCCCCAUCACAGCAACGUCGCCGCUCCUCUCAACGCUGUUUUCUCCACAACAGAUCUGAAGAAGGAGAAGAAAAAACAGAUCCGUGAAAAAAGUAAAGAAAAAUUAAAAUCGACUGGAUGUGGUGUUUGUUUGGCUUUGUAGGUGACGCUGUUCUCACCGCCGACAAGGAAGGGAAGAGGGGAGGAGGUCGUUGCAGACCCCCCUGUUUCCGGGUUGUUUUCACGGCGGCGCGUGGACCCACGCGCUGCCAGUGGCGGUGGUGCGUGAGAUCCACGCGCCGCCACUGUCCCUACUGAUCCAAAAGUCUUCCCAGCAUUUCUAGAUUUUGUUUUGGGGCUAUUUUGUAAUUUUUGGUUUUUGUUUAAUGUAAAUUUUUGGUUUUUGUUUAAUGUAAUUUUUGUAACAUGUAAAUGUUGCAUGCGGGUGUAAUAAAAAGAAAUAAUAAAAAGAGAUGUGUGUGCGUGUGUUAUUGUAUUUUCAUUUAUGUUAUUGAAUUAUAAAAAUAAAAAAUACAAAAAAGAAUUAAGUAUUUAAUUUAAAUAUGAUUAAAUAUCUUAAGGAUAAAUAAAAUCAUGUUAUAUUUUCCAUGAAAAUGUAAGAACAUGUUUCUACAUAUAUUCUGGGAUUUAAUAACUGAUUUAUUCAAGCCUUAGAAUUUGAUUAAUAUUUUAAAUUUUCAAAUCACAUCAAACCACAAAGCAGCUUACCUCAGGUAGGGUGUGCUAGGGGUGCUAAUACCUUCCCUAGCCACAAUCAGUCCCUUACCCACAAAUCUCUGACCACGACCAGUAAAUCUGGGUUUCCUAGUAACCCUCAAUCCAAUACUAGGUGGCGACUCCCAAGACCCCUAAUAAAGCAAAGAAACGAAAAAUCGCCAAAGUUGAAUCGCCGCGUGGAUUUUGACGUGCGACAGAAUGGCGACUCCACUGAGGACAGGUAUUGUUUUCAAACUUUAUUGGACUAAGCUUUGUGUUUUUGAUGUGUUUAAAUUUUUUACCUUUUGUCUUGUUUUAUUUUUGUUUUGUUCAUGCAUUGUAUAGAUUUCUAUCAUACAUCACAUGUUUUAAUUUUUGAAAGCACACACAAGCUUUAGGUUAGGUGGGGGACUAACAGCUUGCCUUAUGCCUUGAGUCAAGGUUUAAGUUUGUGUAAACCCCAGCUCUUCGUUGAGUGCUUAGACUGGUAAAUAUUAGCACACGUGUUGACCAUUACCUACUGGGCCCCUAUAUUGCCUUUACGAGGGUGAUCACUAGGACAACAGGAGACCCUUUUUAGAGACCAAGUAGCAAACUACCCUUUGUCUCACGUAAAAAGAAUAGAACCUGCCUUUAGGAUGAUUGCUCCGUAAAUAUUUGUUUUGCAUCUGAGCAAGCCCUUCUUGAAGCAUCUUGAAUUCAGGACUUAUGGGGGAUAAAAUGGUCAUCACUCAAGAAAUUUCUAUUGUAGAGUUUGAUCAAGAAUAAAAAUUCUUGUUUCAUUAUGCAAGAGUUAUGACCAUAUGUCACCCCUCGAAGGGUGAGUUCAUCAUAUAGAUUACAUGUUCAUACAUUUAUCAUGCAUGUGUCGGGAUGAAAAAUAGGUUCCCCUACCCGAGGUCUACUACACUGGACUGAAAGAGAUUGGGAAAUGAAGAAAGGGGUCAAAGAGAGGCUCAUUGUCAAAAGAAAGUUGAGAGCAUCAAAGAUAAAGUAGCUAGACUCAGAUUUGCCCGAACAAGUGUAAAACAUCAAAUGGAAAGGGAAUGUCUGCACAGUCUUCUGUGGGAAUACAACUUGUCUACAUCCCAUUGAAGUUGCACCUCUCCUUUUCAGUCAUGAACAACGGCAACAAUGCUUUCAGUCAUCAAUUAAUGACCAUCUUUGUUCAUGUGGUAGUGCUCUUUCUGUAGAGAUUUGUUUGUGGAUCUGCCAGUGGGGAAUGCAAGAGGGGAUGUAGUAGUUUCAUAUGCUAUGAAACUUUCCCCCGUCAAUUUCAGCACCGAAACACAGAAGUAGGUUGAAAGACAGACCUAGGAUGAAAAGCAAGGAGAAGAUUGAAACUUCAACAGAGCAGAACUCCCUCUACAUGUGUUUGUUUGCUACACCGUCAAUGAGGAAUCAAAGAUGAGACAGAGGAGCUUUUGAUUCAUCAGGCUCUCCUACAAUAGAGACAGCGCAUGAUUCCACACGUCGGCAGUGGCGAUGCUGCCAGUUUCUAGGCGCUGCCAAGAUUACCAAGUCGUUGGAAAGUUUUCUAAUAAUCCUCAAACAACCACAACAACAUUGGAAGAUUGACACGAUGUUGAGAGGAUUGCUGAAAUAAUUGAACAUGCUGGGAAAGAUUGAGGGUUUUACCGUGGAUUCCAGAACUGUGAAGAGAGUUGAAUCAGAAGAUGACUCUCAGUUGAGAAACCUCAGUUAUUUUGCUUAGUCAGGUCUUGCCAUAGCAUCAACUGCUCAAGUGUCUCUGCUAAGAUUGACAUCCUUCUGCCACCCAAGUUGACCUACCAACAUUUGUCAGAUUCCAUACUUGUUGCCCCAACUUCGAUAAAUUGCAUCCAACCACCGUGGUAUAAUUCAGACGAGAUGUGUUGUUAUGGUGGGGUCCUCGACCAUUUUAGUUGAACAGAUGCAAGAGUUUCAAUAAUCGAGCCGAGUUUGUGAAAGAUGAUGUCACUGAUUAUUUUUGUCACCAGAACAUCCUCAGAAUGACAAAUGAUCAGAAUUGCUUGGCAAAACAUAGAUAUCGCCAGAGUAGCUGAUCCAAGAAGGAGUUAAACUGUCAAUCAUCUUUGUUAUGGAUUUUUGCCAUGUUGCAUUUUUGUUCUGGGGUCACAUCUCAUCCUUGAACGAAGCAUGUCUUUCUUUUGUCUUAUUGUUGUUUUGAAAUCAAGAGAUACUUUUUUCAAUGCGUGUUUUGACAAAAUUUGUGAUUGAACUCCAACAUGCAAAAUUAAGGCUAGUGAAUCCUUAAAGAUCAAAAGUGCUUUGAUUACAAAAAUGACUCGAUGCUUGAAGAUGACAUGAGGUGACCAAACAAUUUUGAACUCAUACCUCCUGAAACUGAACCACCCAUUAUGUAGCUAUGUUUUAACAGUAUGCAUAAUGACAUGUAGUGGAUUCGGUAGCUAUGGACUCGUGAAUCAUUGACUCUUACAAGUCCAAAUCAUUACACUGGAUGAGGUCAAAAUUUAUCGGUUUUAACUGACCUUGCUUGAAAUGAGAAAAGGCCAUCUUUGUUAUCCCUUCACGUUUCUUGAAAUAUUAUCCCUUGCAGUUCUAUUUUGAGCCUGGUGACAUAUUUUCUUUCAAAAAGAAACCCUGACUAGGAUCACACCCCACACUGGGGGCAAAUGAGAAAUAUUUUGGAGACAAUGAUAAAAUCAAUGGAUCAAAGAAAGGCUUAGAACAAAAGUCCAAUGACUGAGAAAGGGCUAGAAGAAAAAACCUUAGAUUGAGGGCCAUCCAAGAAAAACUUUGAGGAAGGCUAUGAAAAAAAAAAAAAAAAAAUGAAAAUGAAAGAGAAUGCCUAUCAAUUCUAAGAGGGGCAAAAGAUGUUUCAAUUGAAGAAAGACACAGCAAAUGCCAAAAUUCAACAAAAAAAACCAAGUUUCAUGUCUUUUGGUGUGUCUAGGAUAAAGCCUCUAAUGUCUUCAGAAAAAUUAGAUUGGUUAUUCAUCAAAGAAAAAGUUGGAUUUGCAUUAUGACCUAUGUUAAGAGAAUUCUGAUAUUUGAAUUUAACAAGGUUAUAUGUCACUUUCUCUACAAUGACAACAAGAGAAAGAGAGUUGAUGAAUAGUUGAUGUUGAUCCUAGGUCUUUGAAACCCUCAAACACCUUUUGAGCCUGUGAAUUUUUUUUUCAUAGCCAUGAACCAUAGCCUGCAUUACGUGCUUUAAAAGCCCUUUUUGAUCAAGUAAGCAAUCUGAACCGAUAAAUGGCGAUCUCAAAACUUGAAGAGCUUUCCAUAAGAGUCGUGGCUUCAUAGAUUAAGCUACUGUUAUUAUGCAUGCUGAUAAAAUUGAUGCUAAAAAAGAAAACAAUCUUUCUUGAUGAAUCCUCAAGUUUUGACUUGAGCCUUUUGUUUUUUAAAUUCACAGAAGGUCACCUCAUCGCAGACCAUCAAAAGAUAUACCCAAGAUCAAAGAUUAAAACUGACACAAAGAACCAUGAAAAAAGUCAUUUUAAUCUCACAAUGGGUCAUUUCUGUUUUCAAAAUACAAGACAAUCAAAGGACUGCAUUAAAUAGUGUGUGUUGGGUCUUUGACCAAAGAAGCUUGAUUUAUGAAAAUACUUUCAAAAACAGACAUCUCUUUGAUUUCAUUUCAACAAUUAGACUUGAAUAGACAUGAUCGUUGAAAUAUGAGAUUUGAUUCCAGAACAAGAAAGAUUUUCAAACAAGAACAUCGAUUGAGUUUGCAAAAUCCUUGACAAAAAUGACAUCAACAUUUCUCGACACUCCUUGAAACGUUGACCACCUGGGGGCAAUACAGCAGACCCUAAGAAGGGAAACAAACAAUGUUCAGAUCGACUGGGGGCAAUUUUGUUCAAAGACAAUCUGUGAUUUAGUGAACUUCAGCAGCAAUUGAUGAGAAACGCUGCACUUGAAGGGCAUUUAAUUAUCAUCAGCUUGGGUUAUCCUCUGAAACAUGGUUAUGACUCCUGACAGAUGUUAUCACGUGAGUGCAUUUGAAUGAACAUCGAACGAAUGCAUACCACCAAGACUGACUGUGGUACCAUCUGUUUUGAAACCCAAAUGUGCACUUCACCGCAUGAAUAUGGGUAAUGAACAUUAUUGGUAAUGCCAAAUCAUUUCUUUGCAUAAGCUAAUUUGACAAGCUGAGAAAUCCAUGAGAAAGUACAUUAAGCUUACAACGAUGAGCCUUUCCCUGCAAAGUAUGAGAUGCAUGUCGGAAUGACGUGGCAGUUCCAUGAUUAUGGAUGACCAUAUAUACUUGAAUGGUGUUUCAACUGGAGGCAAGUUCAUGACUAAUUGGCAAUCUUGAUGGGUGUUGGCAUGAUGCACACAAUCAAUCAAAGGAUAAUCCUCGAAAGAAUCUAGGAGAGAAAAUCCUUCAUAAUGAAUCAAGCAACACCACACUUGGGGGCAUUGUCAAGCUUGAUGAAUGACGAGAGCAGUUACCGUCGAAGACAGCCUAAGAUAGGCACUGCAUUUACAGCUAAGUGACGGCUAUCACAUGAAUGAGCCAAUGCAUGGAAAGAACAAAGAAUGCUUUGUAAUGCAAACAAAGGCACCAUAUGACGAUGGAGCAUCAAGGAGGGGGGACCUAUAUUUCAAAUCAGGUAAGGAUGCAUGCAUAUCAUCUAACCUAAAAAAAAAAAACAAAUUGCACAGAUUGUUGAUUUGUUACAGGAAGAUCCUCAAUGAAGUCCAGCAAAAUUGUGGACAGAAUGAUCCUUAUUUUUAUAAUUGUUAUUUGUUUUUUCCUUAUCAUUUUUUAAUUAAAAUUUUUUUUUUAUUAAAUUUGAUCCUCAUUCUUUUGAUUGCUACUUAUUUUAUUUGAAAUAAUUGAUGAAAUGUUAAUUAUUAUUAUUUUAAUUUCAUUAUAUUUUAAUUUUUUUUAUCUGUUAGAUUUGAUCUCUAUUAUUUUGAUUAUUAUUUAUUUUUUUGAGAUAAUUUAUUAAAUUAUAUUUUUUUCAAUUUCAUUCGCAUUCAACUUUUUAAUUUGUUAGAUUUGUUUCUUAUUAUAUUAAUAAAUUUUUAAAAAAUAAAACAAUAAUAGACUAUUUUUUCAUUUUAUUUUUCAUAACAUAACUAAAUACUGAAAAAUAUUUUUCAAUUUACUUUUCAUUAAACUAUUAGUUAUUAUAAAAUAAUUUAUUUUUCUUGAAUUUCUUUCUUACUACUUUUUAAAAGAAAAAAAAUUACUUUUUAGUAAAUAAACACGGGGCUAAAUAAAGUUAGAUAAUCAUGAGAAAAGUAAAUUCUGCUCACCUUGACUAAGAGAUAGUACUUGUUCUUUAGACAACCGACAGUUUUUUUCUAGAACAAAAUUAGUUUUUUUACCAAUGGUAAGACGUUAAAAGAACAUUCAUGGGCAUGAUUGAGAGGGUACUUUUCAAGGGACCCGACAUUUUUUCAUUAUACAUCAGAUGAUGCAGCUUCUUUUGUAUUUUUGUUACCAAAUUAUUUGGAAAAUUGACAUAUUUACCUUAACAAUAAUUCAAUCUUACUUGAUCUCCAUCAUUUUAAAUUUCCAACAUCAUCCAAUUAAACUUUUUUUUUGGCUCAAACUAUAAUUUAAUAAUAAAAAAUUAUAAUUUUCAAUAUGAUUAUUAAAUCAAAAUCAAAAUUCUUUGAAUUAUUCUAUAAGUUCAGUUGUAUAAAAAAACUCAAUUAACUUUGACUAACUGAGCUCUAAAAUAUUUUUAAAUUAAACUUUGAAAAUAUGAAUUGAGUUAAUUUUGUUAUUUAUUUUAAUUUUUCUAAAUUUAAAAGUAUUGAUUGUUCCAAUAUUUACUCUCUCUCUUUUUUUUAUCGUGUUCAAGAGUUGAAAUCUUAAUAUGUUUGUUUGUCAAUAUAAAAAAUAUAUUUUUAGAACAAGUGUGUAUUUUGUAAGGCAGUACAUAUUUUUUUAAUUAAAAUUUUUUAAAAUAAAAUUUUUUAUUAGUAUAUCAAAACCAUCAAAAAAUACCUAAAAAUAUUAAUUUUAUACUAUUUUAGGUGGAAAAGAAAUUUAAAAAGCACUUUAAAAAAUAUACUAAACUACAAAAACAAACAUUUUCUAUUUAAUUUAUAAAUAAAUAUAUUUCUUAUAUUAUUAUCACUUAUUUAAAUUUUACAAAAAAUUAUAAGAAAAUUAUUCCUCAUCAAUACAUCAAUUCAAGUAUGAACACCACAUUUAAGACUAGUCAAUAUUUUUUUAUAUAUAAAUAAAAAAAAGAUAGUUACUCCCUCCACUAGUUAGGCUGGUUACUAUAUAAUGAAUUGUAUCUUUUGGUAAGAUGUGUCCAGUGAACAACUUGUAUUGGGAAAACCUAAAUGAAACACUACUUUUUCCGAUAGCUAAGAAAUAUGGUGGAUGUGAUAUUAUCAUCACAAGGGUAGCAUGUGAGUCUACUCACCAAGGUAUUGCUCCGAGUUUAUUCGUAAAAUUUAAUUAAAGAAGGAUAUUUAUGAAAAUUAAUUAAAAAAAUCGAAUGUACAACAAAAAUAUCUUAUUAUGUCUAAUAAUAUAUUAGAAGAAAUAAACCAGCAAAAAAAAUAAAAAUGUGUUUGAUCAUAAAGAGGUGGAGAUGAAAAUAUAAAUUAAAUUUCUAUACAAUAAUUUUACAGUUAAUUUUUAUUAUUUCAAAAAAAAAUAAAAAAUAAAAGUAAUGGUUGAUUAUUGUAUUUGAACAAAAAAAUAAAAAAUAAAAACAAAAAUAUAUUUCGUUGAAGAAAAGCAUAAUUUAAUCAUAAUUUUUAAAAAUAGCCUUCUAACCUUAUGUUCAAAAUAUUCUUAAAUGAUUUAAGAAUUAAAUUUUUAAAUAGAUGGUGUAUUUAAAAAACUAAUAAUUAUAUAUAUUUUUAAAAAUAUAUCUGUAAGUCAUAAUUAUAAAACCUGAGUAAUCCGGUAAACAAUUUGAAAUCUCACGAGAACUAAACUAGUUUAGAUUGAGAAAAUAAUAACAAUAAUAAUAAAAUUAACUUAGUAAAAAAUCUGGGUUUGUGCAAUAAUUUACCAACUCUUCACCCGUUAAUAUCUUUUUUUAAAAAAAAAACAAUGAAGUUUUAAUUUUAAAAUAUUAUAUUUUAACCUAGAUUUACCCUUCAUAUCCAUAACAUCGAUCAAUCCCUUGUGUCGGGUUUUAUAAGUAUACUUUGAAGUUAAGGUUAAAGAAAAUAAAAACAAAAUUGUAAAAAGAAAUUGUUUUCUUAAAUUAAUUUUCAAACCUCUCGCUCUCAUGUUCUCAUAUUUCGACAACAUGGAAAGCACAGAGAUUUCUACGCCUAUUACUACAACUCUUUCAAACGUACCUUAGCAACCGGAACUCCUGUCUCUCCUCUUCACUUUUCGCUUCUCGUACGUUUCUCUCGUUCUCUCCCUCCAAUUUUUUGACAAUUCUUUUCUCUCUCUUUUUUAAAAUCUUUAAUUAAUUUUUGUAUUUAGUUCUCUUUAUCUUUCUUACGUUUUCUUGAUCAUCUUGUGGUGGGUUCUUUUCAUUUCUCUCGUGACUGCAUGUCCUUAAAUUUCAAGCCUUUUCUUCCCUUUUAAUUGUAUAUUUGUGUAUAGUAUAUAUAGACCCUUUUGUGUUCUUGGGAGGUUUGUGAUUGUUAUUGCUGUUUCCAGGUGCUGUUUUGAUGUUAAAAAGUGUUUUUGUUUUAGUAAAUUGCUGCUUUCAAAUAUUUGAGCUAUUUUUGACUGACUGGCCCUCUUUUUCCCCAAGAUCCAAAUGGACCAGUAAAAAGUAGGAAAUAAUUUCAAACUCCGUUUUUCAUGUAGAAAAAUAGGAAUAAUAUGCAAAAGGACUCGAUGGGAUCUCUGCUUUAGAACAUUUCAAGCUGUCAAGCCUGUUAUAGGUAUCUAAGUUCAAUGAAGGUAACAUUUCAAGCUGUCAAGCUUGUUAUAGGUAUCCAAGUUCUAUGAAAGUGAGGUAAGCCUUUAAAAUGGCUUCAGAUGUAUCUACUUGUUAAUGCUUGUGAUAUACUGUGUUCUUUAGUGUGGUUAUAAAUAAUGUAUGAGCAAGGUGUCUUGAAGCCUCGUAUUGUGAUUACAUGCCCAAACUAGCUAGUCGAAUAAAUGAAGGGACAAUAGAGUUUCCGAGGUGAUUAUUUUUUCUUUUUGGAAAAUUGAUUUUUCUUAGUUAUUAUCUUUUUUUUCUAUUUAUUUUAAAAUAUUAUGUUUAACAAUUUUAUUUUUUAUUUUGUUUAUGAAUUUUAUUGCUUUUUAUUAUUAUUAUUAUUUAUUUUCAAUGUUUUUAGUUUGUUUAGGUGUUUUUUUAGUUUAUUUAAGGAGUUGUAAAUCUCUUACAAAGGAAACUACUUGACAUGGUAAAUUAUUAAGAAAUAAAAUUUUGAAUUCUGGUUUUUGGUGUGAUGAUCCUUUUUAGUAGAAUUGUGUUGUUUGUUUUUGCUAUUUUUUUGUAUUAUUUCUGUUUAUAUUAGUUGGUAUCAGAACCUAACAAUCUUUGAUUAUUGUUUGCUUGUUGUAUGCUGCAAAACAACCAUAGCUGGAAAAAAUAAUAAAACUAAACAUGUUCAAGGAGAGGAUGAAGAGGUUUCCUCUUUAGAGAAAAAGGUUCAUGAGCUAGAAAUUGAGGAUAUACAAAGGUAGAUCGCAAAGCUUACGUGACAAUUGAAAUAAAACACCCAACAAGAAUAGGAGGAGAGUAAUUGUGAACCCUGGCUAAUCUAGAGGAGGCAACCUUUUAAUUGGGCAGCACUUCAUGGAGAUUUUGAUUUUUAAAUUAAACUUUCUAAUUUUGUAGGAACUUUACAAGUGGAAGAGUUAUCGUUUAGUUGAAUGAAGUAUAAGGGAUUUUCAAGUGCAUAAAAGUUUAAGAGCAGAUAAGGGUGAAGCUUAUUGGUAUUAGAUUAAAAGGGCGAGCUUAUGCUUGGUGGAAGCAAUUAAAGAGAAAGAUAAAGGAACAUUUUUUUUCUGUUUGGAUACAUUUAAACUUUUUACCAAUGACUUCAUACAUUGGGAUGGGAGAACUAUUGCUAAGUACAUUGAAAACUCUACCAACCGGUGGCUAAGAAUGAUUUUUCAGAAAGAGUAGUUGAUUGCUAGGUAUUUAAAGUAGAUUAUGAUAGUUCAUGCAAGAUGUAUUGUGUUUGCAUUCUUUAUAAAUAGUUUUGUAAGCCUAUAAGAGAGCUUUGAUUAUGGAUAAACAAUAGGUUAUUAGGGUAAUUAACAAAGGUGGCUUUUGAUUUGACCAAAAUAAUAAGGAGGUGUGCGCUAACAAAAAAAAAUAUCAUUCAUUUAGCCCGAAUCGAUAACUAAAUAUAUCACAAGUUAAAGUUCAAGUUCUAGAUAUGAUUUUAAAUUUUAGUGUUUUAGAUAUGAUGAAUUAGGACAUUGAAUUUAUAAGUGCCAUAAACCAAAGAGUCGUAAGUGUAAACAUUUGUAAGUAAAAUAGCAUAAUGAGAAGAGAAGUGAUCCUAUUUAUGAUGAUUAAUAUGGUAGUGAGGAGGUUUUCUAAGAUAAUGAUGGUGCUACCUCAAUUAUCCAAAAGAGUUUGCUUAUUCUUAAAAGUGAUUCAAAUCAUGAUUGGCUACACACUAGUCUUUUUCUUUCAACUUGUACCUUCAAGGACAGUGUAUUUAAUUUGAUUAUUGAUAGUGGUAAUUGUGGAAAGGUGGUGUUAAUUGAAGUAGUAGAGAAGUUGCAACUUAAAAAAAAAAACACCAUAUACCCUACAAAUUGAAGUAGAUGAAUCGAGAUCCCAAUGUAAUCAUGGAUGAAUAUUAUCUUGUUUUAUUUUUUAUAGGUAAGAGAUAUUUUGAUAGUAUUUGAUAUGAUGUUGUGUCUAUGGAUGUAUGUCAUUUAUUGUUGUAUAGACCAUGAUAAUAUGAUAAGAAUAUCAUGCAUAACAAACAAUGUAAUACUUAUACCCUUAAUAUAGUAAUGAAAGAAAAGGGAAGUUGUUAAGAGUGAACAUAAAAAUAUGUUGUUUUUAUUCUAAUUUAUUGAAAUGAAAAAAAAAACAGAGAGAGAAAGGAGAUUUUAGAGAAUCAAGAUGACAUGAAAAAGGGUAUGAUGUGGAAUAAGUCAUUGGUGGCUACUAAUGGUUCUACAAAGAUUGAGAUUAUACUAGUAUAAAACUAUAACUAAUCUUCAGGAUUUUUUAGCCAUUCUCAUCGUGUCAUUUUGCAGCAACAAAAAUAAAAAUAAAAAACUACUACAUGCCUUCAUCUCUUUGCUAUCUUCUUUUUAUCUCUAAAAAGGAGAUAAAAAUGAAUAAAAUGAUCAUUGAAGAGUAAAAAAAAAAAACAGAGUUUAUUUUACUUGAAAAAUAUUAAAUUAAUAUAUUUUUUUAUGAUUUUAAUGUUAAAAAAAAAAAUUCUUGCUUUUUCUUUGGACGAUCAUUUAUUUUGUUUUUAAAAAAUGUAAGGCAAAUAGUAUAUUUAAACUCUAUUUGUUUUUUCAUUUCAAAAGUGUUUUUCAAAAAAUUAAAAAACUAUUUUUUUAUCUGCUUCAAAUUGAUAUUUUUUUAGUGUUUUCAUAUCAUUUUGAUGUCCUGAUAUUAAAAAUAAUUUUUAAAAAAUAAAAAAAUUAUUUUAAUUUAUUUUUUAGUAAAAAAUAUUUUUAAAAAUAACCAGAAUCAUACUCCCGAACACCCUAUUAGUGCCUGUUGGAGAACUAGUGGCUUUUGUCUCCUUUUUUUUUAAAAAAAAAGGAUAACAAGUGUUUGAAAGAUUUUUAAAAGUUAUUUUGAAAGCUCUCUCAACAUAUAUAUAUAUAUAUAUAUAUAUAUAUAUAUAUAUAUAUAUAUAUAUAUAACCUGUUAGUGAUAUUUAUAUGUAUUAGAUGGAAUUGAGAUUAUAUUUAUUUUAAAGUCCAAUAUGAAGAUAUUUUCGUGAAUAGAGUAAUAUAGCAUAUAGUUGCUACCGAUCAAGGAUUAGAUAUCACAAAUUAAACCACAUUUUUUUAAUCAAUUAAAUACUUUUAGCUUUGAUUUUUUUUUCCCAUUCGACAAUGUAAAAAAUAUUAUUAUACAAUUACACAUCUUGGUUAAGUUUUUCUUGUGUCGUGAAUUAUUUUCUUUUAUAAUUUACUAUAAUGCCAUCGAACUAUUAUAAAACCACUAACAACACUAGGAGCAAGUCGGCGGUGGAUUGGGACGGCCAUUUCCAUGGCCAUUAAGAGCCCGUUUGGCUACGCGUUAGAGUUUGCAUUUCUUCAAAAACACACUGAAUAAACAUUUGGUUAAGAAAAAAAAACUACUUAAUAUGCAUCGGUCCCACAACAAAUUGUGUGCGAAACGUAGGGAGAUGGAAAGCAGCAAGCUGCUGCUUUCUUGCGCGGCAACAAAAGGCAACCAUGCUACACUGCUCACUGAACAGUGUAGCAUGGUUGCCUUUCGUGGAGCAGCAAAAUGCAUUGAACCGGGUCCGACCCAGUAAAAAAAUAUAUUAUUUUUAUUUUUUAAUUGUGUUUUAUUUGCUUGAUGAUAUAGUAUUUGCAGAAUUUGAUCACAAUUCUAAUUUGUUCCUGAUUAUAUUUUACAAGUUAUGUUGUUGCGUAUUAAAGAAACCAAGAAAAUUGUCGGAUGUAUUUCAGAUGUGAUGGAAUUGUAGAUCGUUCAAUGGAAUAAUAAAAAAAAUAUUUUAUAUAAAGUAUGAUUUAUUUUAUGAUGUAAUAGCAAUAGUUAAAUCCACAAUAUUUAAAUUAAAAAUCAUCAAUAGUAAUAUAUAUUUUUUAAAAUUAUUUUAUAAACUCAAUUUUAAAAGCAUUCUUAACCAAACACAUUAAAUUAUUUUUUCUUCAACCUCAAUUUCAACCACUGUUUUAACCAAACAUCUAUUUUUUCAAACCACCUCAAUUAAAAGUACUUUUUAUAAAAUAAUUGUUUUCAAACCACAAUCACAACAGCUACAAUAAUACCAAACACACUCUAAGUAUCCAUUUCUGACAAACACACUUAUCUCAUAAAUACCACAGAAAACUGUGCAAGUCACACAUUUUAUCCACCAUUUAGCCCGAUAAACACUAGUUUGCAUAAGCUUCAAAUAACCAUUCCAUGGCGUCGCGUCUUGGAGGUUCCUACAACAGUUAAAAUAGCUAACAUGGUGUCAGCCAUUGAAAGAUAAACAACGCUAAAAUUCAAAAUGGUUGGAGUUAGAUAAUAUAUUAUCAAUAUAUAAUUUAUAAAUCUAUAUUUUAUAUAAACUGGAGCCAAGUUUGCCUUCUUUUUUUUUUUUAAUCUUGGUGUCAACUAAAGAGUGUUUUUAGCGUUAAUUGUAUUUGUUACUAAAAAGUAAUUGGUUAGUAAUCUCAGUAAUAAUCUUGUUGGUUGUUAUUAAAUGAAAUUAGCUAAGUUAAAAUUGGUUAGGCAAGAAAUGAUUAGGUAAUUUUUUUAGAAAGCAAAAGUCUAAUGACAUUUUAAAUUAUUGACUUCAUGGUUAUAAUUUUUCAAUUUUAACAAAUCAUCAUUAAAUUCAUAUGUAUAUAAAGUAUUUAAUUUUAAGAUUUAAUGGUUUGUUUUAAGAAUCAUAUAAAGUUGAUGAUUUUAAAAUAAAUAAUACUACAUAGACAAUGCAAUAAAUAUAAGUUAAAUUAUUUUGUAAGAAUGAUAUUAGAAUAAUGCUGGAUUGCUAUUGAUUUUAUCAUUGAUAUGUGUAUAUUUUGAUACAUAGUAGAAGCUAAAUAAUAAUGGCAUUUGAUAGUGUCCGUCCUAUAUAUUCCACAGAAAUAAUGAUUUAUGGUUAUUGAUAUUAUCAUUGAUCACAAGUAUAAAUUUGGUUAACAUAAUAAUAAAAGAUAAUAAGAUAUUUGUAAAGAAUGUUGGGAUAUGAGAAAUAAACCAUUCUUAAAAGAAUGAAGUCUAAUUAUUGCUUUUAUUAAUUUGAAUACUUUAAUUGGUUGUCUCUCCUCAACAUACUACAAAGUAACGGAAUAAUUAAAACCCCAACUUACCUAUACACGUGUACCAUCUAUCACGAUAAAUGGGAUAUGAGAAAUCUUUGGCCACUAAGAGUCAUUCUCCUUUCUACAAUUUUCUUUAAGAUGUGGACAUUGCCAAAUAAGCAAUGCCUUUAAUUUGGAGAGGCGUUGAAUGGCUGUUGAACUUGGCAUAUACUUGAGAUUCUUGCAAUCCUAAGAAAUCGAAGAGAAGAAAGGUUGGCCAUCUAUUUUGGCAAUGCUUCCUCUAACUCAGUUUAAAAUAAAAAAAAAUAAUUUUUUUUUUCAAAUUUUAAAAAAAAAUGCUUUUAAAAUGUAAAAAAAAAAUAAUUAUUAAACUCAGUUUAAAAAACAUGUAAAAACUGCUUUACAAAAACCACGUUUUAAACUCAAUUUUUUAAUAUGCCUUACAAAAUAAAACUAAGAAUAAACAAACGCACCUGAGCUGAAAACUUCCAUUAUCAACAGGAGAAUAUGACUUCAUGUAGUGGUAGAACACCUCCUUCAUAGGAUCUCCCCAUUCCUACAGUAAACAAAAAGUGAUAAGCAAGUAGCAUCAAGCCACCGACACAUAAUUUCAUAGUUGGAGCAGGCAAACCCUACCUAAGCAGCCGACAUUUCAGAGAAGAAAAAAAAACCAGCCGACAACCUCUGUUCCUGGGAUUUUGGUCCUAUAAAACUCUGUACACGUGUUGAAUCUUCUUGCCCAUCACUUUCUAGUGGAAGAGUGUGUUUGUUUUUGCUGUAAUUGUUAUUGUUGCGGUUGAAAAAAAAAACACUUUUUAAAAAAAUCACCUUUCUUGUUGUUCGUUUAUAUAUUUGAGUGUUUGGUUAAAAGUGUGGUUUGACUUUAUUGUGGUAAAAAACAUGGUUGGUUAAAACUGUGGUUGCGGUUGCUUUUGUACCAAAAAUGACUAAAUAAAAUAAAAAGGACAUUAAUAAUAUAAUUCAUUGUGUUAAGAGGAAAUAAAACAUUUUUUCCAUAUAAAUACCGGCAAUAAUAAAAGCAUGCUUUGUUAUUACAAUUAAACAUUAUUGUCCCAUCAAAGUAUUUGCAAUGCCAUCAUGAAUAUAAUCCAUACGCGACGCCCUCUGGUGUCCACUUGUUUGUGAUUGUGGAACGACAUCGGGAAAAAUAUCUUGAGGAACGAAAUCAGGAUGACUAUCAAACUUGUUGAAUGCAACAUCUUGGCCCUACUUCCGUCGAAUAUAGUUGUGUAGCGCCAUUGAUACGACAACAAUUUUAACCUGUGAUUUAUAUGGAAACUCAUGCAUGGUUUGCAAGAUUCGCCAUCUUUUCUUCCAAACUCCAAAUGUACGUUCGACUACACAUCGUAAUGACGAAUUGACUCGAUUAAAUAGUUCCUCUCGACUCCGUGGUUGUCCUCGUCGAUGAAAUUCUGGAAGAUGAUAUCUUUCCCCUUUAUAUGGACCCAAGUAACCGUACUCAUUUGGAUAUCCUGAAUCAACAAGAUAAUACUUCCCUGCAUAAAUGUUAGAAUUGAUUAACGCUUACAAAAUACUUCAUAUAAAACAAAUUAGACUAGUUGAACAACAAGCACAAUUUUAUUUUUUAAUACCUUCUGGUGGCCGUGGAAAUUGUAUGUUUGUAUUUCCAAUCACCUCAUAAAAUAUUCUUGUAUCAUGAGCACUACCUUCCCACCCAGCCCAAACAAAUGUAAAUUGCAUGUCAAAGCUACAUGCUGCCAUUAUAUUUUGCGUCGGUAUACCUUUUCUACCAAUAAAAGGUAUUUGAUUUUCUUGUGAAACACACGCACGUACAUGUGUUCCAUCAAUCGCUCCAAUGCAAUUCUACAUACACAAAAAUAUUUUUUCCGAAUCAAUUUAAUUGCACGUAAAUAUUUGAUUGUAACCUUUUGAAAUAUUUAACAACUUGUACUAAGUAUUGCUUACCUUGAAAUAGGGCAUGUAUCUGGGAUUCAUUUCAAUUUCCAAUGGUGUUGUCGUGAAUUCUGGAUCUAUUGGUCUGAUUAAAUCAGCUGCUAGCAAGCACACAAAACGAAGAACCUCGUUGAAAUUUCUAGAAACGGUUUCACCUGAAUGCUGAAAAUGCUCCUGCACUUCCCUAUUCGACGCACCGAGAGCUAAAGUGUAGAGAAACAUGCCUACUUUCUCAAUAACAUUCAUCCGUCUAGACGGUUUCAACCCGUACAUCGUUUCCAACUCAAAAGACAAACUCUUCAAUGUCUCAGCAUCCAUACAAAACAUGUUCACACAACGAAUCCAAUGCCCAUUUAAAAUUUCAAUCAACCAGCGCAUGCCAGUGUUGUAUGAAUCCAUACAUGGCUCUUUAUAAAUAUAUGUAUUGUAAUACAUCGCCAAUGCUCCAGCCAUGCAUAUGACUAAUUUAGUGCGAUCACACUCUCUAUGCCAAAAUAAAUCUCCAACGGCAUCGUCAUCCUAUUGAUUUAGGUCGUCGUGCUGAGCCUCACUAUUAUAGUUUACAUAACUAUCACCAAAACUACCUCCAAAACCACUUACAGAACUUGUACCAGCAAACCCAUCAGACACAUAUCGACCAACAUUAUUCAUAACAUUUUCAUAAUGCUCAUCAAAAAGCGCAUUAAACCAAUUCACGUCCAUAUCUACAAACAAAAUUUAAUAUCAAUUUCCAACCUGCAUAGUAUCGGUACAAAAUACAUGUUCAUUGAACGAUUUGUUUUUAAAUUUUCUGUCGUUAAUGCCGGUCUUAACACAUGCAAUAUUUUUCAACACAACAAUAAUUGUAAAUUUCAACCUGCAACGUUACGGUAACAUGAAAGUUUUGUCUAUGUAAUUUGUUUACAAUAUUUAAAACAGUAAUGGCGACAUUAACUUAUCCCACAACAUAUAUAUUAUAGGAAUCCCAGAUAAGGGAACGUAUUUAUAGCGUCAUUAACAUAAGAAAAAAAAUAUAUAAUUUGAAGCGACCCCUACGAAAAAAAAUACAAGGCUAAAAAAGCAGCCUAAAGACAAUAAUUGUUCAAAUCAUCUCAAACAUAACUAAUUAUCCUACAACUACAAAUACAAAGGCAGAAUCCAUACAUGUGAUAUGUUACAAGCUAAUAAACCUGGAAAAAACAGCAAAGGCAUAACUGUUUGCAUCAACCAUUAUACAAUUCUACAACCACAAUAAGACCUCAUGAUCCUCACCCUUUUGUGGACUGUUAACUGUGAAAAAAACAGGUAAAAUACAAUAUGUUAACAGCUCAUUGGAAUACAAAACAAACAUGAUAACUUUGCAAAACAUUAAAAAAACGUGAAAUAUGGAAAGCAUGCAAUAACUACCAAAACCUAUUAAACACAACAACAUUUAAUUGCUGCAACAUAUAACAAACAAUAAAAUACAUAAAUGUAAGUUUUCCAUAUAUCAAAUGAAAACUUACUUCAAGGUCGGAAGUUAGCCCUUCGCUCAAACAUUAAUUUCAGCCACUGAAAUUUUUGGUCCAUAUCACCAAUUGUUUCCCACAUUUCCCUCCUACUUCUAACCAUAAAAAACUCAGUUGCAAAGCAAUACAGCUCACUGCCGAACACCACUUCCUCAAUGGAGUGAAACUCCUUCAUCACCUCUUCUAUGCUACAUCCUUUUUUUUUUAUCCAAAACACUUGAUGUGCACUCACUCUUGGUAGAUACACUAUCCAUUAACUUAUCUAAUCGCAAAAACAAUUGUGAUCCCCUUCCGGCACCCCUUUUCUUUUUCUCAUUUUGUUGGGAACUUUGUUACACACCUUUUAUCUUCCCACUACUACCAGUGGGAUUGGGAUUGCUUGUGCUAUUGGCAAAAUUGACACUAGCCACCAUGUUAUUGACAUCGGCAAUGAAAUUUGAAAGACUCCCCUCCUCAGAAUCGCCACUACCUUCCUCAAGAUGAGGGUCUUCAUUAACUGCAUUAUUUUGCGUUUGACCACCACCAUCUUCAUCCAAAUUCAGACCCUGUGAUGGAGCCCAAGCAUCUUGAUCGGUAGCAACAGUGUUUGUAAACAUGAUAUCAUAUUUACAACACAAUGUUGGAUCAAUGCCAGCAUGCCUAAACUUUCUUGCCCCGUGUAUCUCCUACAACAAGGGAUAAAGAACAACAAAAUGCAUAAAAAAUUAUGUAAAAACAUGAAAGCAAACUGGUUAUAACAGCUCUAAACAUACUGAAAAAAGACAGACCUGGUUUUUAGCUUUCCACAAUUCAUCAGGAGCCAAAAUUGUUCCAAGUUCAGCACUCCAUCCUACUCCUGUUUUCGAAAGCAACCUUUUCCAGAUUCUCCAAUCUUUUUUAAUUUUGUCCCACUUAUUUUUUAAUUGUGCUUUCGUUAAUGUAUGGCGAGUUUGAUCCUUAAAGCAAUUGAUAACAUAUUUCCACCCAGCUUUGUUGAAAUGUGUGUUAGGUCGCAUACCUUGCUCAAUUGCUUUAAUACAUAUGUCACAAAAAGCGUGCAACAUCUCUCUACUCCAACAAACCUUAUCUUGUGAUUGAGAAUCGUCCAUGUUGUCGGUUAAAAUGUGUUGUCUAAUUAACAAAUAACAGGUUACUUUCCUAGAGGCGAUGUAAAGGACAUGGAAUGCACAAUCUAUCCUAAUUAAAUCGCAAGCUGAAAUAGAAACUGCAAAUUGAUAACAUAGACUUAACAUAAUCAGCUUAACACUUUCAUUGAUAGGUUUAUUUCCAUUAAAGUGUGUACAAGCCAAUGUAUUCAUUGCCUAAGCGUAAGAAGGCAUGCUAAAGAGACAAUGUCCAGCCUUCAGUGUAUAUAGCAAUAUUCAAGUACUGAUUUGCAUUGGAGUUUUGAAGGAAUUACUAAAAACAUGUUAAAAUGGAAUCCUCCUUCAGUUUUGAAAAAAGUUUCUAAUGUUAAACACAUCAGCUAGUUAAACUCAACUUUAGGCACUCAGAAAAACGCACAUAUUUGAACUCAACCUCAGGCCAUCAACAGAACCCCACAUGAGCAACAACACAAUACAUUUUAAAAAUAUUUAAAGAACCUGAACAAACACUAGAUGAUAGGGGGAUUACAAAUAUAGAAUAUAUAUGUACAUAUGUUAUACCAUGAAAGACAAAAAAGACAAGAGAGAUAGCUGAAUAAAUCACUCGUAGGUACCACUCUCUUUGACAUUAAAAAAACAGAGUAUAAUUAUAACACAUAAGAAGUUGUCCAAAUAAAAAGGAAAAGGAACACAAACACAGUAAUAGAGCAUCACAAACCGGAAGAAAAGCAGAUCAUGCAGCAACAACGCAGAAAAUGUAAUAUACAAUUGGCAUAACAAAGUAACAGAACAAUUCAACCGAAACAUACAUAAUCAAACACAACAAUAACAUAAAUUUUUAUUCUCAAACAUCACACAACAAAUGAAAAUUAAAGACUACAUUAAUUGUGCAACAGAAACAGAGCAACUGACCUUGAUUUUUCCUUUACAACCAAGACAGAGAUUGGUAAGAUGCUUAGCCUUCAACUUUCCAGGAGGAUGAUUUCGAUGGUGUAUUUGGUUCUGGCAAAGAAAACACACAGCAAACGAAAUUUUUGGUUAGAGAAAACAGUGUGUUUAGCAAAUAAGGCAUGAUCUAAACAAUUUUUCAGGUGAAGUGCGAAGAACAUUACCUGGUAACACGACUAAAAGAUUGAUGUUUUCUCCCAAGUGCAGGAGUGUCGAAGUAAUAUAUAACCCGGCAAGACCGGGGUCGAACCACAGAGAGGUUAAUUGUAUAAAUUAUAAACAACAACAACAACAACAACAAUAAUAAUACUCAGUAUGUGGCGUUGUUAUACUUGAGAAUGAUCUAAAAGAUCGGGUCACAGGUUUCCAGCCUAUAUACUGAAUUUAUGAAAAGAUCAAAGAGAUAUAUUAUAUCAUAUAAACAGAUUUUUGAUGUGAAUGAACAAGGCAAGACCAACAAUGUCAGGAUCCUUGAUCAAACAUAGAGCAUACUUAACGUACAUAGAAUAUAACAAGAAUGUAAAUAAUAAUAAUAAUAAUAAUAAUAAUUAUAAUAAUAAAAAGAAGAAGAGGAAGAAAUUAAUGAGAACUUUGAGAUGGAAGAUUACUGUAAAGAUUAAACAAUGAUAAAAACAAAUGUCAAGGUUAAAGGAUCCACUAAUGGUAUUUCAAACAAGUAUAGUAUAAACUCUUAUUACUCAACUGGAAACCACACACAAAGGAGGUUUCAAUCGGCUGAUUUCUUAUUAAUAGCUCAUUAUAAAUUGUUAACAUGAUCAUAUUAAUGAUCUUAUUUACGUAACACCAAACUUUUAAAUAUUGUUAGGAAUUCAUGAUGCUAACUUAUGUUGACAACAAAUCAAGUUCCUUUCAUAGCACAGGUGUAGGUAAUACCAUACGGUUGGGCUAUGAGAGUGCCAAGCAUUUGUUGUACCAAGUGUUAUACAACACAAAUCUAGAUUAACCAUUUAACAAGCAAGGUAUUAAGAAUUAGUAAGAUAAAAAGAUAAGACAUGUUAAUAUUAAACAUUAAGGUCCAUGUUGAGUUGUAGGAAAUUGACUCAUAUUUCCAGGAAAAAAAAUGGAGGUCAUUUGGACUUCUAGAACUCCAGAUAUGGGCUGAACACUAAACAGUGUCUGGGCUACAGGACAAAUUCGGACUUCUUUGUUAUUGCUAUAAUUUGAACUUGAAAAUGGCCUUCUUAGAUCUUGGCCUCCACAUGAAAGUUGUAGGCCUAUGUCUUACUGAAUCUGUGUAAAAAUUUGAGAUCAUUUGGACAUCUAGAACUCGAGAUAUGACUCAAUUACCGAAUAGUAUUCCAGUUUGGACUGCACCAACAUCUCUUUUCUAAGUUUGGCCCUCUCUUUGUCCUUUCAAUUUCCAUACUUGAUCUCAUAAAUCAAUCCUUUGAUUUAUGUGAUAGGCCUGCAUUUAAGAUGAACAUUUAUUAUAUAUUAAGGCAUUUUAUAGUAUUAGACUUGUUAUUAUAAAACAUGCUUUAGUUAAGGAGUUAUUGAUACUUUAAGUGCAAAAUGAUGAUAUAAAAACUUGAUAAAUAUGCACUUUUAAGUACUAAUCACCCCCCCAACCAGUUUAUCACUAGUCCCUAGUAAUCAAAGCAUUAAAAUAGAAAAACAAUUUGCAAAUUCCAUAAAGCAAGGCAUUCAUCAUUCAACUUCCAUUAAUCUAUCCAAAUAAACAAACUCUCAUUAUAUGCAUAUAUCUACUCAAUACCUCUUAAACAAGAUAUUACUAAUCCUUUCUUUUGUGCUCAAAAUAUCAAUAUAUAGUUAUGGGGCUUUACUUGGAAGAAAAACAAAUUUUUGCUCUAAUUUUUAAGGUUAACUUCCUUGGGUUAGGAUUGUCGCACGUCGAAAAAUCCCGUGCGCGGCAUCGGCUGGCGAUUAUCGUCUCGUUGUUUGUAUUGCUUGAAUUGGUUCAUUAGGAGUCGCCACCUAGUAUUUAAUUAAGGUUACUAGGAAACCUGGUAGACUGGUCAUGGUCAGAGAUUCGCGGGUAAGGAACUGAUUGUGGUUAGAGAAGAUAUUAACACCCCUAACACACCCUACCUGAGGUAAGCUGCUCCGUGGACUUGAUAUGUUAAAGAAGUUUUAACAAUUUUAUCUUUUCGUCGGAUUUUAGAAAUACAACUUCCGUACAAGUUUGUACUUCUACACUGUGAUCCAAUCAAAAUAUUAAAUCCUUUUUUAUUCUUUGCCGUCUUAUCAUAAAAAUUCACAAACAAAUACAUACACCACAUUCAAGCUUCGUGAGCUUGAGGUCAUUUUUAAAAUAAAAUUUUAGCCCACUUCUAAAGCUUCGAUACAUCAGUUAUUAAUUCCCAGAAUAUAUGUAAAAACAUGUUCUUACAUAUUCAUGGAAAAUACAACAUGAUUUUAUCCAUCCUUAGAAUUUGUGCAUUAAAAUAUUAAAAACAUUUUUCUUUUUGUCCUUUUUUAUUUUUUAUAAUUCAAUAACAUAAAAUAAAAUAAAACACACCAACACACACACUCUUUUUUAUUAUUAUUUUCUUUUCUUUUCUUUUCUUCUUUUACAUUCACAUUUACACAAAAUACAAAUUUAAAACAAAUAAACAAAAAUUACAAUAAGGGCUUCAAAACCAUCUGAAACUACAUGAAUGCCCCUUUGCAAGCUGAAACAGUGUUGGGAAACAGUGGCGGCACGUCACUGGCGGCGAGUGGGUUCACGCGCCGCCGUCAAAAAACCAGCAGCAAAGGGGGGUCUGAAAACGUGUUCCUCCCCUCUUCAAUCUCCUGCUGCCCGUCACCUGCAAAACAAACCCAACACACAUCAGCAGUUGAUUUUAGUCCUUGUUUUAGAUCUAAUUUUGAAUUUUUUCUUCUGCCCGUUUCGGGUCUGUUCGAUUUCUGGUGAGGAUGGCCUUCAACCCUGUUGGUGGCGGCUGGGUUUCAUCUUCUUCUCCUCUACCUCCAGUGUCAGAUCGGAUUUUUGUUUCCUUUCUCUUCUCUGUCGUGGACGGGUCUGCUGUAGAGGAGAUGAGAGGAGCUGUUCAGUUUCUUUGGAGAAGAAGGCAGUUGUGGCGCCGGUGGGGGACGGCUCUGGAAGGACUGUUGUUGGCCGGUGGAGAUGAGGCUAUUAUGUGGCACUGCGCUGCUCAUGGUCGAUUGCCCUGACCGCUGCUGCCGGAGAGGGGCGGCGGGUCUGCCACCGGUUGAAGGAGAUGAUGACAGUGUUGCCCCGGCGUUGGAUCUGUUCGGUCGUCGCUACUGUGGAAGGAAACCGAAGGAGAAGCAGCCGUGGCUGAGGAGGAGAUCGUGAAGGCCGACGUGCAGGGGAGAUGAAGGAAGGAAUGGGUUCGGUUUCAAGCAGGGAAGAUGAAGGAAGAAACGGCCUGAGGAGGAACCGGCUGGAUUUUUUUGAAGGAGAAGGCUGCGGCUACAGUCUUGGAAAAAUGGGGAGAAGGGAGUAGAUUCCCAUGGCUGAGAGGGGUUCUCUUGGUUAUAAGGAAGUAGUGAAAACCGGCUGUAGAGGAGGUUGGUUUGGCUGCAAGAGGCAGAUGACGGGGAGAUGGGGAACUCAAUCGAAGGAGGGAGCUAGCUGGCUGGCUUUGGUUAAAGGUCGGGGGCCAGUUUUUUUCGGUUUGUUUUGGGGCUGAAGGGAUGCGAAAACUUUGGCUGGCAAGAGGGGAAAAAUGGCUGGAUGGAGACGAGGGAGUCCGGCUGGUUUUGGGUCAGGAAAAUCAAACCCCGGGGAAGCAGCUCAAGGAGCCAAAAAAUGGAGACCAGCAGGGGGGCGGCUGGCGUGAAAGGCAGAGUUUUUUUAGGGUUAGGUUUCUGCAUUUUUUCUUUUGAAAGUGUCAAAAUUACCCCCCUACAAAAUAAACCCCCCUUAGCUUUAAGUUGAAAGCUGCUAUUUAUAGGCAAAUUAUUUUUUCGGGCUUCCAAAUUGGUCCCUCAAUUUUUGUGUUCAAUUCACUUGGUAAAAAUUAAAUUUGGUCUUAAAAUUUCAAUCUUUUCAAUUCAGUCCAAAUUAAGCUCCCAAACUUAAUUUUUCACCAAUUAAGCCCCCAAAUUAAUUUGACCCAUUUAAAGUAUAAUUAAGUCCUUGCACUUAAUUAAAUCCUUCAAUUGGACCUAAAUUAAUUCUUAAACAUAAUUAAAAUUUAAUUUGGCCCAUGAUUAAAUCAAAUUGGCCCAUUAAAAAUUUAAUUAUGUCAUUGGACUUAAUUUUUAUGCAAAUUCAUCCAAUAAUCAUUUAAUUUGACCUUCGAAUUUGCAUUUAAUUUGACCUUCGAUUUUUGCCUAUUUUUGCAGUCUUUUUUUAUCGGCUUUCUCCACAGUGCCAGCCUUUAUUUUAUUUUUUGAUUUUUUAUUUUAAAAAAAGUGAAUUUUGGGAAUAACCCAAAAUUGGGUUAUGACAAGGAUUAUUAUCUUUAUAUAUAUAUAUAUAUAUAUAUAUAUAUAUAUACAUACAUACAUAUAACUUAAAACACAAUGCAUCUUUAACCCAUGUAAUGAGUUUUCGGCUAAUGACUCCUAGACCAGUUGGUCUUAGGGCAUUAGGUGUUGAGACACCCCUACGAGCUUAGUAACUCGAGUUGUAGAUACUGAUACGUAGAUAGUGCAAUGUUUGAUUUCCUUAAGCUUUUCUCCUCAACCCAUGUAACAAGCGUUGUGUCAAUAGCUCCCAAAUCAGUUGACUUUAGGGUAUUAAGUGUUAAAACACCCCUUCAGGCUUAAUUGCUUAGGUUAGGGAGGCUAUGAAACCAAAUUUAUCUACCUUUUUAUUAUCAUUAUUUUUUUGUUUUUCUUUUUUUUUUGUUUUUUUUUGUUUUUUUGCAAAUUAUGUACUAUCCAUUUCCCUUAGUUGUUACCUUUAACAAAAGAGCAUAAAUAAUGUAAUAAUCCAAUGUGCAACCCACAAUUAUAUGUUAAAGUGUGUGUGUGAAAAUGAAGAUUUAAGAAUACUUGUUAAAUGAGCAUAUGAGCAGAAUCAAGUGCUAACAAUACGAGAGUUUGGUAUUAUUGUACCUGUUGUGAUUGUGGUUUGAAAAAAAAAAUUAUAUAAAGUACGAUUUAUUUUAUAAUGUAAUACCAAUAGUUAAAUCCACAAUAUUUAAAUUAAAAAUAAUCAAUAUUAAUAUAUAUUUUUUAAAAUUAUUUUAUAACCUCAAUUUUAAAAGCUUUCUUAACCAAAUACAUUACUGACAAAAUGAAUGGUGGAAUUGUCAGGAAUCGUAGUCAAGCUGAUAAAAUUACUGACAAGAGAUAUGUGCAGAAAAACGGAUUGCAAGAAGAAGUGAUCAUCAGGCUUUUCUUGAAAGGGGCUAUGGUGAGGAUUUUGAAGUGGAAAGGGCUGCCUUCAAAAGCUUUGAGCAAUCCAAUGAUGUUAUUGGCAAGACAAAAGUUCCGAUGUGGAAAAUAGAGGAGAAGAUUCAGAAGCUAGGAAACUGGUGUGUAAUCUAUACUCUUUUAUAUCCUCUCUUUUUUUCUUCAUAAGCUCAAUUGAACUUAACUAUCCUUUCAUUACAACUAACAAGAUUUUAUUGGCAUGUGUGUGCAAAUUCCGUGUAGCUAAGCUAUUUUGUAUUUUGAUCUAUGCUGUGUAAUUGUACCAGUCUUCAUGUAACAGAGCAAAGCAAUCUGAUUCAUGUCAAAAGAAGCAUUUCCAAUACAAUGUGUCCGUCCCGGUUUAUUUUUCCAGCUUUGUGUACUGAUACCUGAUAGAUUUUUGAAUUCAUUGGACUCUUAUUUGCCACUGUAACAAGUGGUCCAGAGAUUAAUGUGCCCCUUCUCCUCACUCCAUGUUUAGAUUACAGUCACACCAAGCAGUUUUGUUGUGGUGGGACAGCCUUAGCCUUGGGGGGCAAGGGGUUUCACUGGUUUCUUACCUGGUUUGUUCUUUCCAAAAAGCAGGACAGUUCAUAUAAAGGUAAACAAAUUAUGGAGUAACAAGUUGUUAGGACAUCAAUGAAGGGAAUAGCUGUAUGGACUUGUUAUGGAGGUAAUAGCUGUUUUUACUAUCCACGGUUCUUAUCAAUAUUUCACAUCAGCAGAACCUGUAUCUUAGAUUCUUAGCAAUACCUUGUUGUAUGAGUUUAUCAUUGUUCUGAUAAACAGCUAGUCAUGUUUGCUGACUUGCUACUAUGAUUAUCACUCCAUAUUUCAACUUUCAUAGAGCUGUUCAUAGAACUAGACUUCUAAUCUAAGCAUAUGGACUUAAUUUUUCUGAGUAAAAGUACAUCAUGAACUGUUAGUUCAAAUCCUACCACCAACCUCUUUGGUGUCGUCCAGAGAUUCAUCUCACCUGUUGCGUGGUGCAUGAUGGCUGAGAGGUUUGAACGUACCCCAGGUUUUACCCAGUGCUAAAUAAAAGGUUUAAUUCAGAAAAAAGACUUUUGAUUUUUGCAGUAUGAAGUUAGUAACCUAACCUAGGUACAUCAGUUUGGUUGAAUAGGGUGUCAUAUGAACUUGCUGUACAAUAUUAAUUCUCUGGUUGGGCUUUCCGUUUCUCAUAUUCAAUUUUAUGGUUCAUAUUCAAAUGACUGCGCCUUGAUACUUCACAAUCAAGAUAAUUCCAAGGGUUGUUUGAUCUUGAUUCACUCUCAUGUGUUCAUGUGGUAGUUUCUACUAUUUGUUAAUGUUGGAUUCCAAUGUUAGUUUUCAGUAGUAAGAGGGGGUACCAUUUCAUAGCAUCAUGAAGUGAUAAUUUCCCAUCAUUUUUGGCUCUUUAAGAUAGGUGCUCAAUCUAGCAUCUUUUAGGGUGGUUUUGGUGUUAAAUAUCAUUGUCAAAGCAUAGGAGCAUGAGCUAUCCUUUUGACCUGCAUACCAUCAAGAAAAAUGUUUCCUAUGAAAAGCCUUGUUGUAUUAUAAAGUGGACUUAUGGAACUGGUAACAGUUUGCUAGAUAUUCUCAUUUUCUUGAAUAUACAUCUUAGUUUUUUUAAUAACCAGGAAAUGAUAAAAUGGUUUUCUGCCUCGUACUUGAGCAAGUCAUGCUUGCUUGUGGCAAGUACAACUUGGUUCAUGAGUUCUUCAAAAAAGUUCAGAAGUCUUCCAUUCCAAAUGCCUUAGUAUAUAAAGGUGCUUGACUGGUCUAUCAUUUCUUCCAUUUGAUUUUAUAGAACCUCAUUUUGAAAUCAAAUUCUUGUUACAUACAGUUCUCGUCAAUACUUUUUGGAGAGAGGGUAAGACAGAAGAGGCUGUGUUGGCUGUCAAAGACAUGGAAAGACGCUGUCUUUGUACAUCUGGAAGGUGUCAAGAAGCACUAGAUCUGGUAAUCUUUUUAUGCUUAGUCUACUAUCUUUUUAAAACUGAAUAUAAAGAACACUGUAUUGUAGCUAAACGAUCAAAACGCUAUCUUUUUAUGCAUUGAAUGGUGUGUUUCUAAUUAGAGUUUAUGAGCACGGGGAGCUAUAUCACUGCAAAAGGCAAAAAUCUGUGUAUUGAUAACUGUUGCCUGCCCAGUUAAGGUUUUGCAAGUGCGUCUUUGGGCCCUUUCCUAACUGCUGGGAUGUCUCUUUGGGCAUUUAAUAGUUUGCAAGCUUUAAAGCUAUAUAUUUUGUACACUCAUUGAUGCUUUUGUAAAACUCCAUGUAUAUAAACAAGUAGAUUGCAACCGGUUUGGUGUCACUUCGACCACCUACAAUUUGUGUGCUUAUUAUUACCACUAGCUUUUCUUUGAACAAACAGUCCAUCACAACCUCCUUUCAUUUCACAGAUUGAGAAAAUAUGCAAGGUUGCUAAUAAGCCGCUUGUAGUAACUUACACUGGCUUAAUCCAAGCUUGUCUGGACUCUGGAAACAUUCAAAACGCUGUGUACAUCUUCAAUCAAAUGAGGAACUUUUGCCCCCCAAAUCUUGUUACUUGCAACAUAAUGCUGAUAGCGUAUCUAGAACAUGGAUUGUUUGAAGAAGCAAACGAGCUUUUUAAGAAAUAAACCAUUCUUAAAAGAAUGAAGUCUAAUUAUUGUUUUCAUUAAUUUGAAUACUUUAAUUGGUUCUCUCUCCUCAGUAUAUAUAGAUUGAUGGGAUAUGAGAAAUCUUGGGCCACUCAGAGCCAUUUUCCUUUCUACAAUUUUCUUUAAGAUGUGGACAUUUCCAAAUAUCCAAUGUCUUUAAUUUGGAGAGGCGUUGAAUGGCUGUUGAACUCGGCAUAUACUUGAGAUUCUUGCAAUCAUAAAUCCGAAGAUAUUGAAGAGAAGAAAGGUUGGCCAUCCAUUCUGGCAAUGCUUCCUCAAACUCCUCUCCAUCAAAAUCCAUUAUCGCCAAUGUCUCGAGGGCAGUGAGGUGUUGAAGUUGGUGUGGUACACUCUUCAGUUUAUCCCAUCCAUGUAUCCUUAGGGAUUUGAGGGACCCACUCAAGUUGAGGUGUUGGAUUGAGUUUAAAACUCCUACAGGAAAAGCCUCCAUCUCCUCUGAGAAACCACCGAUUAUUAAUUGCUGUAGUUGGGUGAGGCCGCCCAACCAAUCAUCCUCUGGGAUAUCUCUCAAACUGGGACACGCGGUGAUGUUUAAUUCAACAAGAGAUCGCAAUUGCUGUAAACCAUGCCAAUCAAUACUGAUGAGCUUAUCACAAUAAAUUAUCUCUAAUACCUCUAGAGAUGCGCAACAUUGUAGUCCGCUUGGAAGAGCUCCCAAUUUACACCCAGAAACAAUCAAUUCCUUCAAAGAAUUCAAAUCUCGGAAAUCACCAGGAAUUGAGAUCAACUCACCGCACCAACAUAUAAGCAAUUCCACCAGAGCUGUGCAGUGUUGUACGCUUGGAAUGGAUGCCAGCUUUGGACAGCUCCCUAUUCUUAAAACUCGAAGAGACGUGAAGCCAUGAAAUUCACCAGACAAAUAUCUCAGCUCAUCACAAAUGUUAAUUUCAAAUUCUACAAGAGAUGAAAGACGACAUAUCGGAAUGCUUUCCAGCUUUCCACAACACCUAAUGCUCAACUUUUCAAGACAAGGAAAUACUGCAACAACUUCUCCACCUGGUACCAUCCAUUCUUCAAGACCAUCCAUUAAGGAUAGAGUGAGUAUUUGUAGUGCUGGAAACAGUACACCUGCGCUGUCUCUGCUGCUAUAGAACUCAUUGCCUAUACAUUUCACAUUAGGCAUUCCACCCAUCUCUAGAAUCUUAAGGCGUGGAAGACAUCCAAGUGUUGGGAGUUGCCUCAACUUCCCACAGUGAUCAAUGUUCAACUCUUCAAGACAAGGAAAUACUGCAACAACUUCUCCACCUGGUACCAUCCAUUCUUCAAGACCAUCCAUUAAGGAUAGAGUGAGUAUUUGUAGUGCUGGAAACAGUACACCUGCGCUGUCUCUGCUGCUAUAGAACUCAUUGCCUAUACAUUUCACAUUAGGCAUUCCAAUCAUCUCUAGAAUCUUAAGGCGAGGAAGACAUCCAAGUGUUGGGAGUUGCCUCAACUUGCUGCAGCCUUUCAAUCUCAGCACCGUCAGAUUAUUGAGUUGCAAUAUCCAUGAUGAGAAAUUUUCACCUCCAUAACCCUCAAUUGUCAAGCUUCUUAUGUCUGGGUGAGGCUGCAGGCCUUCCAGCACAUCCUCGCUAUUGACACUGCUGUUACCUUCAUCAUCACUCCAUUCAAACACCAAUUUGUUCAUUCUUUUUCCACUCAGUUCUGCCUUCUCAGCUUCUUCUCUGUCUCUCACUUGCUCAAGCUUGCAUAUCUUCAAUGCUCCUCUUAGUUCUUUCAAACAUCCCAGCUCUUCAACCAUAUGAUCUGGACCCACAGCAAAUAUCGGCAGAGUUUGAAGGCGUGUUAAGAGUCUCACCUCAGCUGGCACUAGCUUUGGAUCAUCAAAAUGAAGAUGUCUCAAGCUCACUAAAUUCCUCAUUUUCUUGGGAAGCUUUUCUAGUGACUUGCAAUCAGUGAAUCUUAAUGUUUCCAAAUGGUAGAGCUUGGUGAUGGAUUCUGGCAAUGCUCUGAUACUGGUACGUGAGACAUCAAGAUAUCUCAAAUGUCUCAGCUUGCAAAUUGAAUCUGGUAACUCUGUGAUAUCAGACCGUCGCAAUUUGAGAGUUCUCAAGCUUUUGAAUUUCCAAGACCCAUUGAAUACAUCAACAUCAACCAUUGAGAAAACAGUUCGCAAUUUUCUAGCAUCAACCGCUGGAAAUGCUGCCUCAACAUCCCCACGAGAUAUGAGAUUCAGAUGACGAAUAUGAGAUGCUGCCUCAACAUCAACGGCCGAAUCCGCCUCCAGAUUUAACACUUCUGAUUUUGAGACCUGUAAUGCAAGAUCAUGCACUAGAUCAUGCAUCUUGCAACUUGUUACGAUCUCACACUCAUUCCUUUCAACAUCUUGGAAAAAGGAAUUUGCAAGCAAGUCAUUGAAAUACUUGUUGCCUUCGUCUUCCAUCCUCCCAUUUGAUGGCCUGAGAAAACCUUCAGCCAUCCAAAGUUGAACCAGCUCUUCCCUUUCAAUUUCAAAAUCUUUAGGGAAAAUGGAACAGUAUGCAAAACAUUUUUUCAGUGUUGGCGAUGACAGGUAAUCAAAACUUAAUCUCAAUAUGCGCAAAGCUUUUUCAUGUACAUCCCGAGAAUCCCAAUUUCUACUCUUUAGAAUUGACUGCCACACAUCUGCCUGCUUUCCGUGAAGAGUUCCUCCCAAAACAUUAGCAAGCAACGGAAGCCCUCCACAUUUCUUUGCAAUCUCUGUUCCAAUAGACUCCAAGUCUGAAGCUAUUGUUUCUCGUCCACCCCCACUCACCUUUUGCUUAAUAAUGGACCAACAUUCAUCAUCUGUAGUUUUCCUGGCUCGUGCUGAAUACCAGGAGAAGUCUCCAUCAUGUCUGCGACUUGCUUUUUGCGGGUUGUAACAACAACACCAUUCCCAUUCAUGCUGUUAAUUUUUAACAGUUGCUCCUUCAAAUCAUUCCACUUAUCAAGGUCUUCAUUCCACACAUCAUCAAGAACAAGAAAAAAUGUCCUCUUUUCCAGCUUUUUCUUAAGGUUUUCCAUAAUUGCAUUUAGGUUGCUCAACCUACUUGUAGUUUCAUCAACAUUUUGCAACAUCUCUCCUAAAAUCCUCCCUUUACUAAAAUCAUUAGAAACACAAACCCAGAUUGUUAUAUCAAAGUGUUUUCUCUCCCGCACUACUUCACAAACUUUUUUUGCUACAGUAGUCUUUCCAAGGCCAGCCAUCCCCACUAUAGGGACAACCGGAAGGACAUGUUGGUGUUUGGUCAAGCUAGUCAGCAAUUCCAUAACUUUAGAGACAUCAUCCUCCCUUCCUACAACUUCUGAGCUGUCAAGGAACGAAUGUGUCUCUCGAUCUGGGUCCCAGCUAACUUCUUGAGCUCUAUCUACAGGUAGAGAUGUCAAUCCAAGCCCAAAUCCGGCUGCAUCUUUCCGGAUUUCAUCCAGGGCUCUAUUGAUCUUCUCAACUUUUUGACCCAUAAUCAAACGGAAUGCAACAGGAUUGUGGAGUGAAAAGCAAUAACGUACCUUUCCCUUCUUUUGGUCUUUUCGGAGAAUCUCAUAAGCAAACUCGUCCAGAACAUCUUCAGCAUCGUAAGCUACAUCCUGUAGGUUCUGCAGCCAACGCUUCACAGACUCGUCUGUUACUGCCCUUCUGGCUGCGUCUUGGAGCACAUCUUUGAUCAUGGUCAAGGACUGGUUGAGCUUUCGCAGCUGGCCCUCCAAUCCCCAAGCAAGUCCGAUCCCUUUAGCAGCAAUGGAACUCACCCUUUUCAAAGUCUCCUCCAAGGCAAACGUAAGAAGAAGCUCUGCUGCCAUAUUCUCCGUCUCUGUUUGUUUGUUUUUUUUUUUUUUUUUUUGUGGGGGGGGGGGGAUCAAAGAAGAAAUUUUGAGCACAAGAAAGAGAGAAGCAUGGUGUGAAAUAUUAAAAGAUUAAACGGAGCAUAGUUGCAUGAGGCUGUCGGUAGCAUCUUCCACGAACCACUACUGUCAUGGUAUUUGGUAUCACUUUUAAACUAUACCAAAUACCAUGCCGACAGGACGAAACGAUUCCAAGCUAUUGAUCAUGAACCUGAGAAACUGAUGGUGUAUUUAUUUUUGAGAUAGUUUCUGUGUUUUCUAAUUUUUAAAAAUUAAGUUUCAAAAAGGUAUGAUUGAACGAGGUUAUUUGGAUUUAGAUAUUUAUUUAGUAAAAAAUAUAGUUAAGGUUUAUAAAUAAUAAAAAAUAUGUAUAAAAUGUUUGGUUGUUAUUACUUUUUAAAAGCGUCUUUUACUUGAAAUACAUUAAAAUAUAUAUUUUUGUUUUUUAAAAAUUAUUUUCGAUAUCGAUCUGAAAAUAUAUAAAAAAAAAUUUGAAGUAAAAAAAAAAAAAAUUUCUUAAUUUCUUUUUGAAAAACAAUGCUUUUGAAAUGUAAAAACAAAAGAAAUUUUAUAAACUUAGUUUAAAAAACAUAUAUAAACUGUUUUACAAAAAUCACAUUUUAAAUUUAAUUUUUUAUUAGGUCUUAUAGAAUAAAACAUAAUUUAGUGUAUUAUCAAAAAUCUAACUUUAUUUUUUACACCGUAAACACGUAAACUAAAAAUAAACAAACGCACCCUUAUAACUGAAUACUUUCAUUAUCAACAAGAGAAUAUGACUUCAUGCAGUGGUAGAACACCUCCUUCAUAGGAUCUCCCCAUUCCUAUAGUAAACAAAAAGUGAUAAGUGGUAGAACACCUCCUUCAUGCAGUGUCAUUUGCGCAUGAUUCUAUUCAUUGGGAUUUAUUACAUUGAUGCCCAUUCUUUUAAUAUCAAUUAACAAAAGCUAGAGCUUGAGUAAAAUUAUAUAAAAAAAAUUUUAUAAUUUUUUGAUUGUUUUAAUGUAUUAAUAUCAAAAAUAAUUUUUAAAAAAUAAAAAAAAUAUUAUUUUAAUACAUUUCCGAGUAAAAAUCAUUUUAAAAAAUAACCACUAUAAUAUUUUUAAACACGAUUUAGAGUAAAAGAGAACAAAUAUCAAAUUUAAAUGUAAUACAAAGAAAUUUUAUAUUUUUAUCUCUGUUUUUUCAACCAAAUACGUUUCUAUCCCUUUGUGUUGCACUUGUAAGAGUAGUACCUAUGAGUCUUCCUAUCACGAGCUAAAUGCAAUAUUUGUUUCUAUAUUUUAAAAGUAUUUUUGAAAAAAUUUUAAUUUUUUCAUAAAUUUUAAAUUAAUAUAUUUUUAGUAUUUUCAAAUCAUUUUGAUGUGCUGAUAUCAAAAAUAAUUUAAAAAAAAAUAAAAAAAAUCAAUGACAUGUAUUUUGACUUGAAAAAUUAUUUAAAAAAUAACCAUAAUCACACUGACAAACAAGCUAAUCUUGGGCCAAGAUUAUUGUGCUAUAAUUUCGAGUUUGAAUCUUUCCUUUAUGAAUCCAAUGCCAAAAAAGAAAAAGAAGAAGAAAAGUUUAGCACAUGAGAACGAGGAAGGUGGCAAAGUAAUUGGAGCUUUGUCCCUUUACAUGGUGACCUUACCUUUCUGGAUGCUGUGUCAAUGUGACACUCUUUCAAGAACAACAGUAUUAAAUUCACAUCCUACCGACUAUUAUGGCUGUCAUAUAAUCAAGGUUAUUAAUUUCAUUUAGUUUCAUCUGAAAUGGCCAAAACAUUUCAUAUCAAUUCAAAAAAUAGAACAAAACAAAACAGUUUUCAUCUCAUUUCAAAUCUUAGUCCAUUUUGAAUUUUUCAGCUAAAUUCCGUUUGGAAUGUUCCGGUUUCAUUCCAUAUAUUCCAUUUCGGUCUUAAAAAGCCAUUGAAUCAAAUUGAACCUGAUUCAAUUUAAUUAAUUCAAUCCCUUAAUUAUAAAAAGCUUUUUUUCAUUACUAUUUUCAAUAAUAAUGAUAUUAAAAAUUAUUAUUACUAUUUUAAUUAACAAUGAUAUUAAUUUUUUAAAUUAGAUUUAUCACUAAUAUAUAUUGUUUAUAUUCAUGUUGUUUUUUUAAGAUUAUACUUUGAGAAUUUGAGUAAAAUAAUAAAUGCUUUAGAUAUCAUUAGCCUUAAUAAUAUUAACCUGACUUUAUAUUUAAAAUGUUUGUGUUAAAACAUUUUAAUUUCAUAAUAUUUUAAUAUUUUGUUUAAGUUGAAUUAUUUUAAGUUAAAAAUCCAUUUAAUCUUAAGUAUUUAGAAAUAUUUUAAAUUUUGAAAUUAUAUUUGUUUGAUAUUGUUUUUGUAUUGCAUAAUUUAUAAUUAAUUUAUCUUGAAUUUGAAUUAUGUUUAUAUAUAUAUAUAUAUAUAUAUAUAAACAGUAAAAUCUCGAAACGACACACCAAAAUACUUCAAAAUUAAAAUAUUCAAUUCUAAUUAAAAAAACAAAACACUUACUAAUACAGAAUUUACAACCUUGCAUAGAAUAGCAAUGGCCAUCAGGCCAUAAAAGCCUGAUUUGGAGCCAAUUCCUCUCUCUUGCCACUCCUUUAAAAACCUUAAAACCACGGCAUGAUAAAAGGAGAAAGAAAGGAAUAGGACAACGGAAGAAAGUGAAUUGGACAAAGGAAGAAAGUAAGGUCACGUACCGUAGAAAAAAGGAGAUGAAAAUUAGUAUGAAAAAGAGGAUGAUAGAGUGGUUGUACAAAUCAUAAUGGUUUUUAUAAUUAUAUUUAAUUUAUACAAAUAUUAAAUUAAUAUAUUUUUAGUAUUUUAUAUGAUUUAAAAAUGUUUUUUUUUGUUGAUUUAAAAAAUAUAUGCGUAUAAAAAAUUAUUUUAAUAUAUUUUUAAAUAAAAAAUAUUUUUAAAAGUAUAUAUCACAAUACCAAAUUAUAGUAUAAAUUAAAAGAAAAUGGGGUUUUAUGUUCAUUACCACUCACUUAGACUCAUUUAAUUAUGGACAAUAAUAGUGUCUCAUUUGAAAACUUUCAAUUUUAUACUUGAAAUUUUUUUCAUAAUUAAUCAUUUUUAAUUAAAAUUAGAGUCCAAUAGCAUAUUGUUUUUACGGAGGAGAGUUGAAUUAAAAGACAAGGAACUGAAGUAAAAAACUCAGCUAAAAUAGUUGGUAGCUAUACCAUUUAUUUACAAAAUUUAUUUUAGUUUAUCAUCCUUUUUAAGUUAUUAAAUAAUAAGUCCUAAUAAUUUUUAUAUAUUGUUUUGGAAAAUAAUUUUAAAAAUGAUGUUAUCAUUAAUACCCCUUUUCUAUGAUUUGUUUUUUGGUCUUAUGUAGUCUUUCUUCAAUUAUUUUUAAUUUUAUUGCUUUUGUUUAAUUUUUUAAGAGGUUAGUAAUAUUUAUCUAUAAAUAUUUUUUAUAUAUUUGAGAUAGAUUAAGUAUUUAAUUUUUAUAAUAAUUUGAAUAUGUGUAGCCUUGCAUAGUUUUUUCUUUUUCCUUUUAUGAUAUGAAAAAAAAAAAUAUGUGUGUGUUGAUUUCUAUUAUAGAUUGAUUUUAGUAAACAAAUUCAUUAAAUAUAACCAGAUCCAUGUUGCAAUAUUAAAUACUUUAUUUAUAUUUGUUUCUUAUUUUUUCCACUUGCAUUUUUAAUUAUUGGUAAUGACUUUAUUUUUUUCAUUUAUUUACACAAUUGUUUGUGAUUUAUUUAAUUUAAUGCAUGUAUAAGUUUUUCGAUUUAUAUUUAGAAUUUUUUUAAUGUAAAAAAACACAUUGAGAAAUUCUUAUUCUUAUGAUUUUAGUUUGAUCCUUAUUCUUAUGAUUUUUUAUUUUCUUUCUAACCCUUUUAUAAAACAAAAAAUUGUUUAUAAUUUCAUCCUUCAUUUCAACAUAAUGAUGUAUUUUUUUCAUUAUAUAUAUUCUUGUUUGUUAUUAUUGCUUGUUUUCCUUAUAUAAUUCAUAUAAAACCAGCUUAUUUAAUCGGUCAAGACUAAAUAAUAAUAAUAAUAAAAAGAUACACUCUAUCUUCCCAUUUCCUCUCCCUGGUGAAUUUUGGCGACCACCCACACAAUGAUAGCCUAAACAACCACCAGCCAUGCCACUUUUCAAGAUCCCAUCUCUCAAUCUCAAAAGAAGAAGAAGAAGAAAAAGAAAAAGAAAAAGAAAGGAAAGAAACAAAGAAGUUCGAGGAAAGAAAAAGUAAGAACGUUCAUUCCUUUAUAAACAUUGACUUUGAUUUUUCCUUUAUAAAACCAUAAACCUGCAAUUGUCCUACAAAUCACGAAAAGCUAGAUCAACAUGAAGACUUAUCAGAUCCUAAUGAAAAGCUGUCAAAAUCCUAUCAGAAAUUAAGGAUUAAUUGUAGCAGAUCUUAUACUGUCUUAUAAAAGUAGAUUCCAUUGUCAAUUCCUCAGCAUUUUCCAAACAAAUCCAUGCUCCUCAUUUUAUACUGUCUUGAGGGUUUCUAUUCUCUUAUUACCAAUUUCAGUGAGUUUCAUAAUAAGCUGCUUAGAAAGAAGCAAUCUAACAGGAGGGUGGGGCUACUCUUAGCCAAUGAAAAGGUUCUCUCUUUAAUGAAAGCACUAGCCAACAAGGUACAAGGUAUCUGCUUGGAAUUAUUUCCACCUAUCUGAAAAGAAUAUACAACCUAUUUAAUACACUUAACUAAAAAUCUAUUUUAUAAUCUUAUAUAUUUUUUAGCUGAACUAGUUAUUUUUCUCAAAAACCCACCAAGUUAAUGGUUUUUUAGAAAUUUAAUUCAUAAUAAAACAAAUAAUGAGACUUGAUAAUAAUUCACUAAAUAAACAUCAAUUAUUCAUCAAAACAAUCUGAAAAAUCUAAUAUUAGAGUUAGGGACCAAUAUGGAAUUUUAUCAUAUUUUUAGGGGUCAAAUUAUAAUUUUAUCAAAUUGGAAGACCAAACUAAAAAUAUCAUAAAUUCAUGACUAUAUUGGAAUUCUGCCCAUAAUUCAUCCUAAAUUCUGCCCAGAAUCUCAAAUUAUGCUCCAAGGACCACUAUAGAAUUUUAUCAAAAUUCUAGGGUCAAAUUGUAAUUUCAUCAAAUUGGAGGACCAAAGUGAAAAUAUCAUAAAUUCAUAACUAUACUGGAAUUCCACCCAUAAUUUAACUUUAAUUUUGUCCAGAAUCUCGGAUUAUGCUCCAGGGACCAAUCUCUAUUUUUUCUAAAGUUCAGGGACUAAACUGUAGUUUUCACAAAUUGAGGGACCAAGCUGAAAUUUCAUAAUCUUUAACCUCAAACCCAGAAUUUACACAGAUAACCUACUGAUAUAUCAAGAUUUCUAACUUAAAUUCACCAUUUGAAUAAAUUAUAACUCAAAAUCAUCAUUUUUACCCAAAAUCUUUUAAAAUCAACUAAAUAACUCAUUACCCAUAACAAUAGACUUUCUGUAAUGUAAUUGUAAUUCCUAGCAUAAUGCAUAUUCGAGGGCAAGCACAACAACUCAAGAGCAAAGAAACUCGAUGAAAUAGGAAACGAAAAGGAAUUGAAGGACUGAAAUAAAAUAAAACCAAAAAAGAGGGAUGAAAAAAGUAACCGCACUCUGGUUGCCAUCAAAAACAUAUUUCUUUUAGUAUUUUUUUUUUUAAAAUAUUGUAAUAGGUCAAUCAUAUUACCCGAGUGUGUGACAGAGAUGAUCAUCAUAGAAAAUUACUUUUAAUUGCUUGAGUUUUAUCCUUAGAUGACAAACUUACCUUGUCCUACUAAUGCUUUUGCUUUCAUUGUUUCGAAAGUACAAGAGACAUAAACAUAAUCAUUUCCUUCCUUUUACUUUCCACUUCUUUGUAAUUAAUGGAUUGCAAACGGGAUGGUGCUUAGUGGGGCCAGUUUUUCUUUUCCUUUCUUUUUAAAAUCUUAUGCCUAAUUGGGUGAGGAAAUUAGUGGAGCAUUAGACUUUUUAAAAGACAACAAAAAGAAGUAAUGUCUCAUCUUUUGAUAUGGUGGUCUUCCAUGAUCAGUUUGUUGAUGAAGAUAUCGAAAGAUUCGAGUCUCCGUUCUAGCUCAGGUUGGAAGCUAGCCCGAAAGCUAAGCUUCUUUUAAUUAUGAAUUGUUUAUGCAAAGGAAACCCAGAAGCUUGAACAAACAGAAAUGCCUUGUUGAUUUCUCUGCUACUACUCAUUAUUUCCAAUAUUAUUCCAUUAUCUUACCCGAAAGCAAUUAUACAAGAAAUUUCAUUAUCCUGCCCCAAAAGGCAAUUUAUUACAAGGACUUCCUUUAACCUCCUUUAAGGCAAUUUAUUUGAUGAAAAUUCCUUUAAUCCACCUCAAAGACAAUUUAUCUUGGGGAAUUCCAGCGACCCAGGCAAUUUAUUUCUUGGAAAUUCCUUUAACCCACCCUAAUUAAGUCAUUUUAUCUAAGGGAAUUCCAAAAUCAAUUUAUUUCUUGGACGCAGUAUUCUUUGAUACUAGUUAUUUAUAUAUAAUUUAACAUCACUUAAUCAUCUUGCAUUUAAGAAGAAAUUCAAAGGAAAGGAUACCCCUUAUCUAGAGCUCCUGUGGUUCUUGCUCCCGAGAGAAUUGGCUCCAUUCCUGACAAAUCUAUUACCAAAAACCCAAGUUUCAACCAAUCAAUAACAUCAACACCCAUUUUAAUUCAAUGCAAUAAGUUUUUCUUAACCAAUUUACUUGAUGCAAGUUCUUAUAAUCAAAGUGACAGUAUUCAGGAUGAAGACAAGCAGAAGGGCAUGUAUUAAUUUUAUUUUUUAAUGUUGAGCUUUUUUAUUGAAUUUUAUUUGUUAAUAUUGAAUUAAUUAUAAAUUAAUUUUAUAUUUUUUAAUCAUAUAUAAAAAAAAAACAAAGUAAUCUCAUCUUUUGAUACGGUGGUCCAAGAUGCACCAUGAUAUGGUUGUAGUUUUUUUUUUUUUUUUUGCCUUUUUCUUUUAAAAAUGUUAUGUCCAUGGUAAGGAAUCCUUGGUUCCCAACAGCAGCUGAGAUUUUAAGUGAAAUUGAAAUUUAUUUGUUUUUUUUUUUUAAAUAAUACAAGAUAUAAUGUCUAUUUCAGACAAAAUAGGAUGGAACCUUGCUUAGAAGACCUAAUUUUAGUGAAACUCCAUCGUGUCAAAGAAAAUGUUCUAAAAAAAUGUUUUGAGCAUUGACAAAAUUUAGGCUAUCAGUGUUGCUGCUAUUGUUGGUGUAUACUCACCGUGAAUUCACAUAGUGCAAUUUAUUUGUUUUUUUUUAAGAGAAAAUUCUAUGUUAUUUAAUAUAAUAUAAAUUAUUAAAAAAGCAUAUGCAAUAGAAGCAUAGCAUCAAACUUAUUAAAAAAUAAUAUAAAUUAUAUAAUCGAAAUCUUUUACCUAAUAGUUUAACCAUAGCUAUUACCAGUUAAGUAAAAGUUAUCAAUAGUUGUUUAAAUCAUUGAAACUGCCACAAAAGCAACCCAAAUUAGUUAUGAAAUUGAUUCGAUAAAGGAAAGAGGGGAAGAGGGGAAAUGGGCAACGAGAAAAGAGAGAUGAAGAUCUACCCAUGGAUACCUGUUUUGAGAAUUAUGGAUUUUUAUCCCUAACUCAAAACAACACCAAUUAUAAGUUAAUCUGCAACAGAACGGAUGGAGAAAACUCAAAACAACUUGGCUAGAAUAUGGGAAAGAAAUUCAAAAUGAGAUGAAAUUUAUUGUAAUUUGUUCUUAAAAAAACAAAGAGAUAUAUUGUUUAUUUUAAGCGGAACAAAAUGGAAUGGACAAUCUUGCAUAAAAAACCUAAUUUUAGUGAAACUUGAAUUUAUUAUGUCAAAGAAAAUGUUCUAAAAAAAUAUUUUGAGCAUUAACAAAAUUUAGUUGUUCGUAAUCCACUAUUGUUGUUGUUAUUGGUGGUUCAUAAUUAAUUACUAUUAGAAAAUAAUAUAAAUUAUAUCUUACGGUCUCACUUAACAACUUAAGCUUAGUCACGAGUUCAAAUCUCAUCAUUUUUAUUUAUUUGAUAAAAAUUAAGCACAAGAUAAUAUGAACUUAUGCAAAUUUCAAGCUUAAAGGGCUUUCACUUGAGGAGGUGUGUUAAAUAAUAAUAUAAAUCAUAUUUUAGAACCUCACCUAACAACUUAAGUUUUUGGGUUGAGAUGAUUUUUUGACAAUUACACUAUAAAUUCACAUAGUGCAAUUUAAAAAAAAACAAAAACAAAAUCCACCUUAUUUUUUUUAUUUCAACCUUUUCUAUUAACAUGUUUCAUAAUUGGUCAUGGUAUUUUGUUUUGAUUUUCUCUAUGUUGUCUUCUUCUACCGUUAAAAAACAUCAAGUUUUUAGGUUUGAGCUUUGUCGUGCAAAAUUUUGAUGUAGUUGGAAGCUAAAAACAUAAUAAUUAAAAAACACAAUUUUUAAUGAAUGAAAAUGAACUGCAAAUAUGAACUUUUAAAUUUACAAGUUUAUUUUUUUUAAAAUAAUAAUAAUAAAGUCUACCGUUUUAAAAAAUUUACAAAACCAGAAAUCCUAUUUCAACUAGAAAAAAAAAAACAAAAACUCAAAAUUACAAAGAAAAUAUGCAUAACAUCCAAAAUAAGCAAGAAAUAAAAAAAUGAAAAAUCACAAAAAACUAUCAAAAUCAGGGACCUCAUCAAAAAUUUUUAUAUCUAAAGAUUUGAAGGUUCAUGUAAGAAUUUGUGCAUGAUCUAACAAUUGGAUAAAAUAUUAUGGUCCUUUUGAGUUGUUAUUUUGGUCCAUAAAUUUAAUGCCCCGACAUAUAAAAAGAAAUAAAUAGCUUCCCAACCGAGUUCACACGUUCUAGUUCUUUUUUCAAGAUUCAAGUCGCAAAUUUAGCAUUUAUCCUGGGUUGAAUGUGUGUGAUCUUAUAUAUGAACAUCUCUAUAUUACUUGUAAUUGUACUUCUACCUUUUAUGAAAUUGAAAGAGAGCAUCAAACUAAAGAGAAAACAUGCUGAUGCAGCAAAUACCCAAUUCGUAGAGCCAUUAAUUUGAGCAGAAGGGAGAAUGAAAGUCCACACAUUAAACUGUAAACAUUAUGCCUUUGUUUUUGAAGAUUCAGACACUUCAAAAGAAACUUAAAUGGGCCAACACACACUUAUUUCUGGGAACUUCACAUAGCAAACACAUACAUAGAUAAGUCGAAAUGUUCUUUUGGUAAAUAAGACUGUUACAAUGUGAAGCCAAUUUGUAUCCCAUUGCCAAUGAAACAUUUGGAAUUACUUUAAAGAAGAAGGAAAAGGAGAGCAGACAAAUAAUUGCAGCCAUAUUACCUGUUUAACAUGUUUUUCAAAUUCCAAUGCCAAACUAAUCAUCAGACCCAUCAUCAUCAUCAUCACUGUCGCACGUCAGAAAAUCCGCGCGGCAUCGGCUGACGAUUUUUUCUCGUUGUUGCGUUUGCUUGAAUUGAUUCGUUGGAGUCGCCACCUAGUAAUUGAUUGCAGGCUACUAGGAAACCCGAUGUACUGAUCUUAUCAGAGAUCGCGAGUAAGGGACUGGUUGUGGUUAGGGAAGGUAUUAGCACCCCUAACGCACCCUACCUGAGGUAAGCUGCUUCGUAAAUUUGACGUGUUAAAGAAGUUUUAAUAAUUGUUUUUUCAUCAGAUAUCAGAAAUACAACUUACGUAUAAGUUAAUAAUUCUUGACCGUGAUCCAAUCAAAAUAAUAAUGAAUAAAACAUUCAUAAAACAAAUACAAACAAGACAUACACUUUCACUAUUUUUGUUUCUUUUCUUUUCUUUUCCUUUCCUUGUUUUGCUUCCACAUUUACAAAAUAUAAAUUACAAAAAAAAAAAACUCAAAACUAAACAAAUAUUACAUUAAACAAAAUAAAAUUACAAAAUAACCCCUCAAAAACACAUAACAGUGUCGGGAAGUCCUUCUGAUAUAGCUGAACAGUGGCGGCGCGUGGGUCCACGCGCCACCGUACAAAAAGACAGGCGGAUGGUAGGUCUUGCUCAUCUUCUUCCCCUCUUCCUUUCCUCGCCGGCGGUGGCCUGCAAAACAACCAAAAAUACCAUAGGCAGUCGAUUUUAACUUUUCUCUUUGUUUUCAAUCUAUUUUUCUCUCUUCUCCUUCGUUUCGGGUCUGCUUUCCUCUCUACAGAUCUGUUCUUGUCUUUUGCUUUCCCGUCCUUCUCUGUUUCAGAUGGCGGCAGAGUCGUGGGUAUCGCCGCUGUGGUCCAGGCGUUGAGAUUUUCGCUCCUCUUGGUAGAUCUGGCGGUGGCCGUGGAAGGAGCGACGGAGGCCGGUCGCUGCAAAUGAGAGCUGGUGGAUGAGGAAGGGGACGACGUUUGUGGGUGCUGCUGCUGUCGGCCGCCGCUGGGUUCUUCGUUGGGAGGAGGCUGGUUUGUGGACGGUGCUGAUGGUGUGGGCGGUGCUGAGGUUGAAGAGAGAGUGAAAAAAGAGGGAAAGAUUCUUUGAUUUUCAGCCAAAAUAGAGGGAGGCCACGAUUUUGUGGGGGAAGAGAAGGAGAAGCUAGAACCGGCUGGUAGAGAGGAUGGGUUUUUUGUUGUUGGUGAAGAUCACUGUGGGGAGCGGCUAAGGUUGAAGAUAGGGAUGGUCUGGAAAUGGGGGAGAAACAGAUUCAAGCCGGGGGAAGGACGCUUGAGCGGCUGCUUUGGGUAAAAAAAAAAAGAAAACCACCGGGGGGAGAGUUUUUACUUUCAAGGGAGGGAGCGGCGACUUGAGCAGAUCAGAGGAAAGGGAGGGGGCGCCACUCCUUUGAAAGAGAUGGGUUUAGGGUUAGGGAUUUUUUUGUAUUUUUUUUUUAUAUUUCAAAAUUGCCCCCCUUAGUGUGUUGAGCAUAGUUAUUAAACCCGGCCCGGGGGUUGACCUGGCCAAGGGGCCGGGUCUCGGGUUUCAUGGGUCAACCCGGGUUGAUUAAAAAAAAUUAAUAUUUUAUAUGAAAUAAUCCAUGUAAAAUAUGGGAUAAAAAAAUUGGUUUAAAUAUUUCAACUUAAAAUGAUAACAUAGUAUCUUUUCAAAGUGGGGUUUAAAGCCCUUUCAUAUAUAUACUCUAUGUUUACAUGAAAAAAUCAUGUUUUUUCAAUGUGGGAUUUGAAACCCAUUGGUAUAUAUACUCUAUGUUCCCAUGAAAAAAGUUAUGUUUUUUCAAUGUGGGAUAAAAAACAUAGAGUAUAUAUAUGAAAGGGCUUUAAACCCCACUUUGAAAAGAUACUAUGUUAUCCCUUUAAGUUGAAGUAUUUAAACCAAAAGGUUUUUUAUCCCACAUUGAAAAAACAUGAUUUUUUCCUUGGGAACAUAGAGUAUAUAUACUAAUGGGUUUCAAAUCCCACAUUGAAAAAACAUAACUUUUUUCAUGGGAACAUAGAGUAUAUAUAUGAAAGGGCUUCAAAUCCCACAUUGAAAAGAUACUAUGUUAUCUCUUUAAGUUGAAGUAUUUAAACCAAAAGGUUUUUUAUCCCACAUUGAAAAAACAUGAUUUUUUCCUUGGGAACAUAGAGUAUAUAUACUAAUGGGUUUCAAAUCCCACAUUGAAAAAACAUGAUUUUUUCAUGUAAACAUAGAGUAUAUAUAUGAAAGGGCUUUAAACCCCACUUUGAAAAGAUACUAUGUUAUCAUUUUAAGUUGAAAUAUUUAAACCAAUUUUUUUAAUCCUAUAUUUAAAAAAAAAAAAAACCCGGGUCUCGUCCGGGUUUGCCCGGGUCGCCCGGGUCCCGGGUCGACCCACCGGGUCGCCCGGGUUUGGCCGGGCUGUUGCCACAGCCGGUCUUUUAUUAAACCCGAAUCGGUCCAGCCACCGGGUCGACCGGGUCCCGGGUUGACCCGCCGGGCCGGGCCGGGUUUAAUAACUAUGGUGUUGAGGGGACCAGUAUUUAAAGGCAAAAAUGUUACUAAGUUUCCAAACUGGUCCCUCAAAUUCUUUCUUUUUGUAAAAUUUGAUUUUUUCUUGAUUUUUUGUAUUUUUUUAAAACGAGCAAUAUCAACGUCGACUCGAUGAGGAAAAUCAAUGAUUUAAAAAAUAACGCGUGAAAAGUUGAACGCGUUCGAACGACCCUUAAAAAAUUAAAUUCUUUUUAGACGACGCUGAAAAUGCUAAAAACGACGCAAAUAUAUUAAAAAAGUUUUUUUUGGAUUUUCGAUGUUUUUUUUCUCUAUUUUUGGAUUUUUCUGAAAAUUUAUCAAAACAUGGGUCAAAAAUUGGGUAGCAAUAAUCACCAUCAUCUUCCUUCUCCUUCUUCCCAACCAUUAUUUCGGGUCCACGUUCUGUAAGUGCUGAUUGGUGCAGAGCAAUGUGUUUUCAUUGAUGCAUGUGUUUUCAUUUGGUAUUCAAUUUCAUAAACAUUACUUUACUCUCAAAUUAAAUUGCUACAAUUAUAUUAUACCCUUAACCAAACUACUAGUUUACUAUUCCUCAUAUUUAUCAGACCAGAUUCGGAGGUUCACCGGUCAAGAAGCCAGGUCCUGGGUUAUAUGGGUUGACCCGGGGCAACCUAGAAAAAAAAUAUUUCAAAUUGUAAUAUUUCAUAUGAAAAAAAUUAAGAAGCAAUCAAUGUGAAUAUAGGCUAUACAUAUUAUAAAUAAUGAAGUUUAAAAAAAUAUUUGGAAAGUAUUUAAAUCAAAAAGAUUUGUUUUUAUCAUACAUUGAAAAGAUACUAUGUUAGUAUGUUAUCUUUUUAAGUUAAAGUAUUUAAACCAAAAAGAUUUUUUUUAUCACACAUUGAAAAAAAUUAACUUUUUUCUUGUGAAUAUAGAGUAUAUAUACUAAAGGGCUUCAAAUCCUACAUGGAAUAAAUACAUUUUUUCUUGUGAAAAUAAAAUAUAUAUACUAAAGGGUUUCGGAUCUCACAUUGAAAAAAUAGAGCAUUCUUUUAGUAUUUGUAUAGUGAACUUUGAAUAGGGUUACUAAUCAACUAAUAUAUAUAUUUUUAAAAAAGAUGAGUCACUGGCUAGAAGAAAAAACACAUUUGAAAAAAAAAAAUCGAGUCUCAACCAAGUUUUGCUGGGUCACCAGGAUCACGGGUCAACCCAGCAGAUCAACCAUGUUUUUGUUUAUCCCAAUCUUUUACCUUAUAUAGACCUAUUCAGCCAUCAAAUCAACCCACCAGACCAGUCUAGAUUUAAUAAUUAUGUUAUUCCUAACUAGCUAUUGUAUCCUUUUGGCAAGAGUCAUUGCUAAUUAUUAUAAUCCAUUAGUAGUCCAUUAAAACUAGUUCUCGACAACUUCACUCACUACUUCUACUUCAUUUAUAGCAUACGUGAGUCAUUAUCCAUUUUCAAUUUCAUUCCAAAUCACUUUCUUUUGAUAAAUCAAUUUAUAAAACAUUUUUACAAAACCUCCUGUUGAAGAAUAAGGAGGAGGAUGUAAAGUUGUUAAAAGAAAAAGGAUGAUUAGUUAUUUUUCUUGUUUUACAGCUAUAGUCAGUCAUGCAUUCUUUUCCUUAUAACCACCUUGUUAAACAUGCUGCUGGUGUGGGAAUAAUUUCCUUUUGCAUGGGAAAGGCUGACUCAUCAGCCUUGAUACUUGUAUAUAUAUAUUCCUUCUGUUUCUGCAUUGUAAUUAGAACGAGACAAUCAGAAUAAUAAGAUUGCAUUGGAGAGUUAACAACCAAAACAUCUUUGUUCUCUAUUUCUCUUCUUUUCCUUUGGUUUUCCGCCUCUGCAACCCUCAACAUGUCUUUCAUGGUAUCAGAGCUUCGGUUAUUUAACUAGCAAUGGAAAAAGACGCUGAAAAUCAACAAUCACCACCAUUUACUGCAAAAUCAACCUCACGUUUCCAUAACCUCUCUGAACCAAACAAUCCAUACCGACUUGAUUAUUGAGAUAUGUCAGUUCUUGGUUUGGUGACUGAUCUCUUAACUACAGAAAACUAUGUUACUUGGGCAAGAGCCAUGUAGAGGGCCCUUAGAGCCAAGAACAAACUUGGUUUUGUUGAUGGCAGUAUCACAAAACCUUCAGAUCCCAAUGAUCCUUUUCUAGAAGCGUGGGAAAGAUGCAAUGAUAUGAUUGUUUCAUGGAUUCACAACUUUGUAAGUUCUUCAGUAAAGUCUUCUUUCAUUCUUUUCGACAAUGCAUAUGAUAUUUGGAAUGAGCUUUGUGAGAGACUUACCUAGCAAAAUGGUCCACGAAUAUUUCAACUAAAAGGGGCUCUACCUAACUUAACUCAGGGAAAUGAUUUAGUCAAUGUUUAUUAUGGAAAGCUGAAAACAAUUUGGGAAGAAUUAACCUUACAUUGUCCCAUGCCAAAGUGUUCUUGUGGACAGAUGAAAAUGCUGAUUGAUCGAUACCAACAAGAUUGUGUAAUCUAGUUUUUCAUGGGUCUAAAUGAAACAUAUUCCAAUGUAAGGGAUCAUAUCAUGUUAAUGAAUCCCAUACCACAAGUCAGUAAAUUGUUUUCUCUUAUUCAACAGUAGGAAAAACAACACCAAAUGUUAUCUCGUACAUCUACUUCUGAAUCAAUGGCUUUUCUUGCCAAAAACAGAUCCACAACCUUCAGGUCAUUUAACAGACCCUACUGUCCAUACUGCAAAAUUCAACGACAUCUCUAGAAGAUUGUUUUAAAGCAAGAAAUGCCACAUCACCUACUUGCAGCUAUUGUCAUAUGAGUGGCCAUCUGGCAGAAAAAUGUUACAAGUUAUUAGACUAUCCUCCUAGUCAUAAAUUGCAUAACAAGGGAAGACGAUCAAAUAUGCAUACUAGACAAUUCAAUAUCAUUGUAGCUGAAGAUUUUCCCAAAAAUCAAGUUGACAAGAUGAAUUUGAUUUCAAAUCAGUAUUAGAAAAUCUUGCAGUUGCUUCAUGAGAAACAAAAUCCAACAGACACUCCUCCAAUGGCUAAUUUUACGAGUCUACCAUCAAUGUCUGGUAUCACAACUUGCCUCUCUACUUACUCUCAUAAAUCUUUUGAUAUUAAUAAUGUUCAUUGGAUCAUAGACACAGGAGCUCCAGAUCAUAUGAUCUGCAACACCAUAUUUGUUUUACAAAAAUAACAGCUAUUGUGCCCUAUAAUGUUAAACUUCCAAAUGGUCAAGAGGUUCCAGUCACACACAUAGGCACUGUCAAACUCUCCACAUUAAUCACUCUUGAGAAUGUUUUGUGUGUUCCUUUUUUCACUUUCAAUCUCCUUUCGAGUCCUACAUUAACCAGAAAUGUCUUAUGUUGUUUUGUUUUCCUUUCCACUGCUUGUUUUCUAUAGGACCUCAUGUCAUAGACAACGAUUGGAUUGGAUGAAAUGAAGAAUGGUCUCUACAAUAAGCAUGUUGAAGUAUCUCCAGAUGCCUUGAUGUGCACACUAUCCAAGUAUUUCGACAAUAAUCGUUUGCAUUUUGUUUGUACCACAAAUAUCAAUCAUCGUUUUGGCUUAUGACAUUAUCGCCUAGGCCAUAUUUCGAAUUCCAGAUUACAAUUGAUUAGAGAUCCUGUUGUAAUCCAAACCACACGUUCUAUUAUUAACACAGCUUCUUGUUCGAUUUGUCCUUUGGCAAGGCAGCAUAGACUUCCUUUUGAUCAAAGCCUACAUAAAUCUUCUUCCAAUUUUGAACUUCAUUGUGAUCUAUGGGGGCCAUGUUUUGUUGCAGCUUAUGAUGGGAAUAGAUACUUCUUAACCAUUGUUGAUGACUUGUCUCGUAGUAAAUGGGUAUAUUUGCUCAGAUAUAACUCAGACACACGUAAAUUUAUAAAAUCAUUUUGCAACCUUAUUCACACUCAAUUUAGAGCUAAGGUUAAGUAUCUAAGAAGUGACAAUGGAGCUGAAUUUCACAUGUAAGAUUUUUUCCAUAAAAAUGGCAUCAUUCACCAAAGAACCUGUGUAGAAACUCCCCAACAUAAUGGGAUAGUUGAGAGAAAACAUCAACAUAUCUUAAAUGUUGCUAGAGCUCUUAGAUUCCAAGUUGAUUUACCUCUUGAGUUCUGGCAUGAUUGUGUCCUCACUGCCACAUACAUUAUCAAUCGCAUUCCUACUCCUCUACUACAAAAUAAAACACCUUAUAAAGCAGUUUUCCAUACUGAUCCCACAUAUCAUCACCUGCGAGUGUUUGGAUGUCUUUGCUUUGCAACCACCAUAGGUGAGGGCAGAAGGAAAUUUGAUUCUCGAGCAAGAAGGUGUGCUUUUAUUGGUUAUCCUUUUGGAGUCAAAGGCUAUAAAUUGGUAGAUUUAGAAACACAUGAAAUCCUUUUGUCUAGAGAUGUGGUAUUUCACGAACAAAUUUUCCUUUUCAAACUACCUAUACCCCAACCUCUCCAUUCUGAUACACUACUUCCUCUGGCUCAACCUCAACCAUUUGAUUCUGGUUAUUUUCCUACUUUAGAACCUUCACAACAUCCCAUUCUUGAUACUUCUUCCCCACCUACCACUGCCAUCAAUUUAUCUUCAGGCACGAAUAUUUUCCCUGACACACAUGAUCCAUAACUUCAGCCUGACUUACAACCAUUGGAUUUUGUUUCUUUUUCACCUCACAUACCAUAAACUCCUACCCCUCACCUUUAUGUUCGCAAAUCUGCUAGGCCAAAACAGGCUCCCAAAUACUUACAUGAUUUUCAUUGUCAACUGGCUUCUUUCAAUUCAUCCAAUCCAAUCCAAAACACAACAGAUGAGGCUCCUUCAGGUAAUGCAAUUCAUUUGAGUAAAUAUCUUUCAUACAAUACAUUCUCUUUACCAUUUGAAGUCUUCUCUACUUCCAUUUCUUCUCACACCGAACCACAAACCUAUGCUCAAGUUGUUAAUGACCCUCAUCGGUGCAUGGCCAUGAAGGAUGAAUUGAAAGCUUUAGAGGCUAACCAGACAUGUAUGUUGACUAAUCUGCCUGCUGGAAAAAGACCUAUUGCCUGCAAAUAUGUGUAUAAGAUAAAAUACAAUUCUGAUGGUAGUAUUGAAAGAUAUAAGGCAAGGUUAGUGGCCAAGGGUUACACUUGAGAAGAAGGUAUUGACUAUCACGAAUCUUUCUCUCUUGUUGCUAAACCUGUUACAUUACAUUGUCUCUUAGCCAUAGCAGCUGUGAAAGGUUGGGGCCUGUAUCAGUUUGACGUCAACAACACUUUUCUUCAUGGCAACUUACAUGAAGAAAUAUACAUGAAACGUCCUCCUGGAUACACUCAAGGUCGUUCUCAUCAAGUUUGCAGACUUCUUAAGAGUCUUUACUAGUUAAAGCAGGCCUCACGACAAUGGUACUCAAAAUUAUCUACCUCUUUACUUAAGUUCGUUUUUUAUCAGUCCAAGGUAGAUUAUAGUUUGUUCAUCAAACAAGACAAUCGAUCGUUCACAGCCCUACUAGUAUAUGUUGAUGAUAUUGUUGUAGCAAGUGACUCUCCUGCUGUUAUCGAAGAUAUUAAAGUAUUUCUCAACAAUCAAUUCAAAAUCAAAGACUUGGGACAAUUGAGGUAUUUUCUAGGACUUGAAAUUGCCAGAACUUCACAAGGAAUAUAGAUUUUUCAAAGGAAAUAUGCUUUAGAUAUUCUAGCUAACUUUGACAUUCUUGGCUAUCGACCUUCUAAGCUUCCUAUGGAUCAAAACUUAAAGCUUAGUAAAGAGGAGGGCACCCUUCUAUUUGAUUCUACCUAUUAGAAGCAGCUCGUUGGAAAACUUUUAUACUUGACCAUCACAAGGCUAGACAUUUCCUAUAGUGUUCAAAUUCUCAGUCAAUUCAUGGAUCAUCCUACUGAUUUUCACUUAGCUGCAGCCUUCAAGAUCCUGAAAUACAUCAAAGGAGCUCUAGACCAGGGUCUCUUCUUUUCUUCAGAACAUAACCUAGACAUCACGACAUAUUGUGAUUCAGACUGGGCAUCUUAUCCUGAUACCAGACAUUAUGUUUUUGGUUUCUACAUCUUCCUUGGUUCAUCCUUAAUCUCUUGGAAAUCCAAGAAGCAAUUAGUGGUCUCUCGAUCGUCAGCAGAAGCUAAGUAUCACGCAAUGGCCAUCACUAGCUCAGAAAUAACUUGGCUGUGUUUUCUUCUAAUAGAUCUUCGAAUCCAUCAUCCUCACCCCGCUGCAUUACAUUGUGACAACCAAGCUACAUUGCAUAUUGCUUCGAAUCCUUUUUUCCAUGAAAGAACCAAGCAUAUUAAGUUAGAUUGUCACCUUAUUCGUGAUGACCAAAUCCAAGCAGGUGUCUUAUGGACUGCCUAUGUCUCUAACAAAUGUCAAUUGGCAGAUGUGUUCACAAAAGCAUUACCUGCCUAUCUAUUAUCUUCUCAUAUGUCCAAGAUGGGCAUUGUCAACUACUAUGCUCCAUCUUGCGGGGGGGAUGUUGAAGAAUAAGGAGGAGGAUGUAAAGUUGUUAAAAGAAAAGGGAUGAUUAGUUAUUUUUCUCGUUUCACAGCUAUAGUCAGUUAUUUUAAUCCAUUUCUAAAUAAAAAAUCUUGAAAAAAAUAAUAUUUACCACUACUCUAAACACCCUCUGACAACAAAGGAAUGCAAAAUGUGUAAACAAAAAAGGUUUUGUGAGCAUAUUGAAAUUUGAUCAUAAGACGCUAUGAACUGAACUUGGAGCUCUUUUUGAGUUACCAUAUUAGAAAAAGUAGAGGUCGAUUUCAACAUCCUUCAUGCAAGCAUGAAAAACCAAAUUCAUUAUGAGAUAUAUAUCCCCAAAAUUAUAACAUCAUAAAAACAAGAAGUAGAGGUCGAAAUCCCUAUUUAUAUACUUGAUAUGUGUAUGUUAUGAUGAGGAAACAAACAUGCAAACAAAUUAUUAUAUGUGUAAUGAAUGAAUAUGGAUUGCCUAUAACAUUUGACUUGAAGGAAUCAUGACCAAAGACUUCCUUUGUGAUUCAGGAGGAGCGACCAGGAUUAAAUCUUCUGUUGGAGGAGGUCACAGGAUAGGUGGAGCAGGUGCAUGAUUUUCCCUCCCCUUUACACUUAUACAAUUUAAAGUCUUCCCGAUGAAUGCAAUUACAAUAAUGUUAUGUUCAAUGUAAAUAAAGUCUAGCCUAUUAACAAGAUUAGCUUUGGCUAAUGGUGUCCAUAAUAGGAUUUUCGGGAUAUGAAUUAUAAGAUUAGUUUCGGCUAAUGACAUCCGUGAUAGGAUUACCGGGAAAUGAAUUACAAGAUUAGUUUCGACUAAUGACGUCUGUGUUGGGACGCCUGGGAAUGAUCAACAAGGCUUGAUUCUUAAAGGGUAUCCGUGUUUGGAUGACUUGGAAAAAUUGAAAAGUAUAAUUGCCUAAAAAUGUUCAGGUUAGACUAUACAAAGUCACCUGAUUCAUGCAAGAAAAUAAGAGUAUUCAAAUUAAAGAUAUGUAAAUGAUGUCUAAUUAGGUUUUAUAUGAUUUAAAAGCAAAUUAUAAGUCUAUUAUUAAAUUUCCUAUGGAUUUGAUAGAAAAUUUAUGCUUCAUUUGUAUACAUUACAUUCAUUUAUAUUUCUUUUGUCAACAUAAUGGUAUGCUUAUUACGUUGGUAUUAUAACAGGUUCAUCUAAUAUCCACGGAGCUCAUUAGUUUAGCGGGUGUUUGCCUCGCACUUUAAUUUGAGUUUUGCAUAUUUUUUUUGAAAAUUCUUUUUACUUUAAAUUGAUUUUUUUUGUAUAUGUUUUUGGAUUAUUUUAAUGUGCUAAAACCAAAAAUAAAAUUUAAAAAAUAAAAAAUAUAUUAUUUUAAUGCAUUUUCAAACAAAAAAUAUUUUAAAAAACAACAUUUACCAUUGUUACAACACCCUCUUGGAACAAAGGAAAGCAAAACAAGUAAACAAAAGAGGUUUGAUAAGCAUAUUGGGAUUUGAUCAUCAGAGGCAAAGUAAAGGUUGAUUUCAACAUGCUUCUUGCAAGCAUGAAAAACCAAAUUCAUUAUGAGAUGUAAACCACAAGAUUAUCACAUCAUAAAAAAGGGAGUAGAGGUCGAAAUCCCUAAACCUAUAUAUAUAAAGAACUAAGCAAUUUUAUCUCUGUAACGACAUUGACAAUAACUUUAUGCUCAUCCUUGGUACAAAUUAUGUUAGCACCUCUACACCUUGAGAUUUUGACAAUUUGUGUUUAGUUUUUUUAGUUUAGAAAUAUAACUUUUUGGUACAAAACCUUAUUUUACUUGUAUUUUAGUUUUUAAAUUUGAGAAAAGAUAAAAAGAGAGAGUUGUCGAAAAACUAUAAAGAAGAAAUAAAGUUAAUGAAUGACAAUUUUUUAGUGAUGAAACUCGUUUUUCUUAAUGUGAAUGGAUUUCAUUUAACGAUAAGAGUUCUAUUUCAGUUUUUUUUCUUUAUCUUAGUGAAAAAAGUAGAUCAUGACUCGAUAAUUAAUUUAGAUUCAGAUUGGUUUUUCAUUUUUAAAUCAAGUAAAUGUUUAUUUAAGAUCAUUAAUGGUUAAAUAACAAGAUCAUUUUAAUGAAACUCUGAUGUUCAAGAUGAAUCUAUUGAUAUUAAAAUCGGUCUUUUUUAUGACUAGAAUAUGAUCAGUCAAAUCCUCUCUUUUCUCCAUUUUCUCACCACAUUACCUGUCUCCUCUCAACAUUCAAUAACUAAAAAUAUGAUAAAAAUGAAGUUUUAAGAUUGAAUUAUAAAAAUUUAACACUAUAGGAUUAAAUAAAUAUGAAAAACAAAAAUUUCAAGGACCAUAUUAAACUUUUAUGCAACCUAUAAAAGGAUUGCAUCAUGGGAGAAUAGUUCAAUGCAUAAUAACUUGGGUCUUGCCCACAUUACAAUUUGUUAUGGUAAGAAUAACAAAUGUUUUAAUUUAAAAUAUAAUAUAAAGCAUAUAUAAUUAAGAUUACAACAAAGAGAUUUCAGGAAGUAGUUAAAGUUAGAUUAUAUCAUAUACGACUUUCGUAAAUUGAUUUAAUAUAUUUUUGACUUUUGAUUUUAAUUUUUUUUAGAAUCUCUAGCAAGAUAUCUGCUCGAAAAAACCAUUCUACAUGAGAUUGUUCUGCUAGGAAAGCAUGAUAUCAAUUCUCAGUCAUCUUGAGAUUUGAAUGCCCAAAUACAUUCACAUACUCAUACAAUAACAUUUAUUGAAGAUCUCGAGCAGCAUUGUUGAUGCCCAAAACCACAUGAUGCAUUAUGCAUUAGAAACAUAACAUCAAACUGAUAGAGAAAACAUGCUGAUGCAGAAAAUACUCAAGUCUUAGAAAAGAGAAUGCAUGAAAGUCCAUACUGAACAAAAUGAUAAUAUUAUUGUAUUAUGUAUUCAGUGUCUUCAUAUUGCAAAGAAGCAUGACAUAUAUAUACCCAAUUUACAUACAAUCAAAUCCACUAUUCUAGGAGAUAUUCUAGAAGCUAUUCUAGGAUUAACUUUGGUAAUUAAAUUAUUUAAUCCCAUUGAUUAUAGUAUAUGAUCUAAUUACUUGGAAUUCUUUCCUUCAAUACUCCCUCUCAAGUUGGAGUGUAUGUUGAUCACUCCUAACUUGCCCAGUAAUAUGGAGAAUUGGUUUGAACUUAGUGUUAGAAAUAUUUAGUUCUGGAAACUAAAGUUUAAGUAUAGGAGAAACAAAUUCAAGAUGGCAGAGUUGAGUAGAAAGAUCAAUAAAUUUCAUUAAUUUCGAAUGCCUAUAUAUAGGCUUACAUAGAACUUGGAAUGGAUUGAAACUCUCAACAAACUUGAGAGAUUAUUGGAAUUGAAAAUAACAAACUGCAGUAGAAUGAUACUGUUGCAAAUCCUAAAGAAUCAAAACAAUAAUAUAAAAUUCAAAUAACAUAACUACACUUAACUCUAUCUUACUCAAGGCAUAAUCUCAUAAUUCUAACUCUCCUCCUUGAGACUUACCUUGGACAAACCAAGUUUCAUCCUUAGAAAUUCCUGUCUUGAUCUAGGAAGAACUUUAGUCAUUAUAUCAGCAAGUUGAACAUCUGUUGGAUAAUAGUGUAGCUUUAUAAACAGAUUCUUCUUAGCUUCUCUUAUAGAAUGAAAUUUCACAUUGAUGUGCUUGGUUCUGCCGUGUUGAACCGGAUUUAGAGCAAUAGCAGAUUUGUUGUCAUAAUAAAGCUCAGUUGGUGAGCUUUGUUCUUGAACCAAAUCACCAAGCAACUUGUUCAACCAAAUUGCUUGAUUUGUAGCGCUGCCAUAGAGAUAUACUCUGCUUCUGUAGUUGAUUGUGCCACCACCUCUUGCUUCUUUGCAUUCCAACAGAUUGCACCUGAACCAAUGUUAAAAACAUACCUAAAGGUGCUUUUCAUGACAUCAACACUCCCUGCCCAGUCACUGUCUGCAUAACCAAUUAGUUUUACUCCUCCUAUCUUCAAGUACCAGAUGCCAAGAUCAGUUGUUCCUCUAAUGUACUUCAACACCCUUUUAGCAAUUCCUAUAUGAAUAUUGCUAGGUGAGCUCAUGAACCUUGACAGCAAACCAGCUGGAAACAUCAAGUCAGGUCUAGUUGUUGUCAAGUAUAGUAAACUGCCCACUAAGCUUCUAAAUCCAGAGGGAUCUUCAAGUUUCUCACCAUCAUUCUUUGAAAUCUUUUCAUUAUGUGCCAAAAGAGUUGCUACUUCUUUGCAUGACUCAAGUUUGAACUUCUUGAGUAUAUCAAUAGCAUAUUUCCUUUAUGAAACAAAAAUACCCAAACUACAUUGAUGUAUUUCCAUUCCAAGAAAGUAGUUCAUAAUGCCUUGUAUACUUUGUGUUCAUUACCAGCAACUACAAAGCCUUCUGGUUGCUGAACAUAAAUUUCUUAAAGAAGUAUUCCAUUUAGAAAAGCAGACUUAACAUCUAAAUGAUAUGCUCUCCAUCCUUUUUGUCCCGCAAGAGCAAGUAGGAGUCUUAUAGUGUCAUGCCUAGCUACUAGUGCAAAAGUAUCUCCAUAAUCCACUCCAACAACUUGAGCAAAGCCUUUAACAACCAAUCUAGCCUUGUGUUUGAAGAUUGAACCAUCUGGAUUGAAUUUGGUUCUAAAGACCCACUUCACUCCAAUUUCCUUUUUAUCUUUAGGAAGUUCAGUCAAUCUCCAAGUCCCAUUUCUUUCAAUGGAAUCAAUUUCUGAUUUCAUUACUUCAAUCCAAGCUGGAACUCCUGCAGCUUCAGUGUAGUUUGUAGGCUCAGCAUGUACAAGAUUACAUCUUUCGUACACAUCAGACAAUGGCCUAACUUUAAGUACUGCUGUAUUUGAAAUUGCUUCAAUGUCUUGUUGAACUUCAACACCAAUACUUCACACCAAAGCUUCAAGUGCAGCUGAUAUUCUGAUCAACUCCUUUUAAGUCCCAAUUCCAGCAGGAAUUCUCAUCAAAAUGAACAUCUCUACUGAUCUGAAUUUUAGCUGCAUUCAGAUUAAAAAUUCUGUAACUUUUGAUUCUAUUGCAUAUCCUACAAGAAUCCUUUUUCUGCUCUUUCAUCUAGUUUCCCUCUUUUGGUAGAUGGUAUAAGAAAAUAGCACAAUGAUCCAAACCCUUUUAGAUGUUUGGUUGUAAGGCGGACUCCAGACCAUGCUUCUAAUGGUGUUUUGUUUUGAACAGACUUAGUUGGAAGUCUAUUAAGCAAAUAUACUGAAGUAUUUACUACUUCAGCCCAUAGAAACCUUUGCAACUUCUUUUCAAACAAGAUACAUCUGGACUUCUCCAUCACUGUUCUGUUCUUCCUUUCAGAAACUCCAUUAUGUUGUGGAGAGUAUGGAAUCUUCAACUGGUGUACAAUCCCAGCUUCUAAACAAGAUGCAUUGAACUCCUUCAAAAUAUACUCUCCUCCAUUAUCAGUUCUCAACACCUUGAUCUUCUGACCACUUUGAGUUUCAGCCAUGCUUUUAAAGUUUUUGAACAUAAAUAAUGCUUGUGACUUGGUUUUCAGAAAAUAAACCCAAGUCAUUCUACUGAAGUCAUCAAUAAACAAUAUAAAGUGCAUAUUAUUGCUCAAGGAGGUUAUGCUCAUUGGUCCACAUAUGUCUGAGUGGACUAACUUCAGCUUGUAAGUUGCUCUUUUAGAUAUACCUUUGGGAAAUGGUUGUCGAUGUUGUUUUCCCAGUUCACAGCUUCCACAUAUAUGAGCAAUAACAUGAAUUUCAUACAUGUUUUCUACCAUUCCAGUAUCAUAUAGCAACUUUAAUGAAUUGAAAUUGUAAUGACCAAAUCUUUUGUGCCAAAGAAUGCUUUCACCAAUCUUAGCACUAAACGCAUGUCCUUUAACAACAUCAAGCUUCAAAUAGAAGCUAUUACCAUCCAUUUUGAUUUUUGCUAUCUCUGAAUUAUGUGUAUCAGUGAUAAAGCAAAAUUUCUCUUUAAAAGAGACUUCAUAACCAUUCUUGAGCAUCUGUGCAACACUAAGGAGAUUUUGAUCUAGUUCUGGAAUGUAAAGAACAUUUGUGAUGGUUUUAAUACCUUUAUUUGUGAUGACCGCAACAAUGCCUUUCCCCUUAGCCUGCACAAUAUCUCUAUUUCCCAACUUGAUCUUCGGUUGAACUGAUCUGUCAAUAGAAGAAAAGAUUGAUAGAAACUUAGACAUGUGACUUGUGCAGCCACUGUCUAUAAGCCAUGUAUUUAGUUCAAAAGUAUUGUUAGCUUGUGAUGCCAUAAACAAAUGCUCUUCAUCAUCUUUGCCUUUUUUAGAAACAUUUGCUUGUUGUUGUAUUUGUUGUUGUGAUUGUUUCUUAUUGAUUCUGCAAAAUUCCUCACUAUGACCCAGGUUAUUACAGAACAUACACUGGAGAGAAGGUUUACCCUUAAACUAGCAAUCUUUCUCAGUAUGGUUAGUUCUUUUGCAAUAAGGGCAUGGUAAGAAAAUAUGUCUUCUUGAAGGUGUACUUGUUUUCCUUUUAGAAAACUUGACAAGUUUGUUUCUUGGCAGGUUACCAGCAUUCCUUCCCUUGUUGUUUGCUUGGAAAGCCCCUUCAACAGUCUCAUCAUCUCUCAUAUGAACCCUUUGCUCCUGAACAUGAAGUUUGCUAAUUAACUCUACAAUGGUAAGAUUUUGCAAAUCGCAAGAUUCUUCUAUUGUAAAGAUCUUGGCUUUAAACUUUUACGGGGCUGACAUCAUAAGUUUUUCUACUACCUUAUGAUCUUCAAAUGUAUUUCCAAGAAGUCUCAUUUGAUUUACAACAUCCAUUAAUCUGCUAGAGUAAUCUUUGACAGAUUCAUUGUCUUUCAUCUUCAUCAACUCAAAUUCCUUUUUAAAUGCAAGAAGUUUUACUACUUUGACUCUGUUGCUGCCUUCAAUUCAAUUUGGAGCUUAUCCCAUACCUGUUUUUGUGUUUCCAGAUUCAUUAUCUUCGUGAAAAUAUGAUCUGCAAGUCGAGAAUGUAGGCAGGUAAUGGUUUUGUCCUUCUUGAGUUUUUCUUCUUCGUGUGCUUUCAUUUGAGCAAUUGUAGGAUUUGCAUUCAAUGGUGGUGGAUCAGAAUCAGUCACCACAACAUUCCAUAAGCCUUGAGAUCUUAAAUAAAAUCUCAUUUUGAUAGCCCAAAUAUGAUAGAGUUCACCACUAAACAUUGGAAUUAUAGAUGCAAUAUUGCUUGAAGAAGACAUUGAUAAAAAAAAACAAAAGGAAAAUAACUCACUAUUAUUUAUGCUCACCCUCUCUGUGUUUAGCACUCAGAAAACUUGCCUCACCCUCUCUGUUUUUAUCACUUAAGAGAAAAAAAAUGCUUGCCUCAUAGCCCGUAGGAUUUAUAUGCUUUGAUAACACUGUUAGGAAUAUUUAGUUAUGGAAACUAAAGUUUAAGUAUAUGAGAAAUAGAUUCAAGAUGGCAGAGUUGAGUAGAAAGAUCAAUAAAUUUCAUUAAUUUUGAAUGCCUAUAUAUAGGCUUACAUAGAACUUGGAAUGGAUUGAAACUCUCAACAAAAUUGAGAGAUUAUUGGAAUUGAAAAUAACAAACUACAGCAGAAUGUUACUGUUGCAAAUCCUGAAGAAUGAAAACAGUAAUAUAAAAUUAAAAUAACAUAACUACACUUAACUCUAUCUUACUCAAGGCAUAAUCUCAUAAUUAUAACACUUAGUGGCUUAGUGAAUAUGUUUGCUGGUUGCUCCUUGGUCCGUAUGUGCUUUGGUUUAACCAAUUCUUUUUGCACCUUUUCUCGUACCAGAUGACAAUCUAUUUCUAUAUGCUUGGUUCAUGAAACACGGGAUUUGAGGCUAUGUGUAUUGUUGCCUUAUUGUCACAAAACAAUUUAUCUGGUUGCUCAUGCUUAACAUUCAAGUCCCUUAAAAUGUAUUGCAGCCAUAUUAUUUCACAGCAUGUAGUAGCCAUGGAACGAUACUCAACUUCUGCACUCGAACAUGAUACUAUACUUUGUUUUAUUGUCUUCCAUGAAAUGGGAGCAUGUCCAAGGAAAAUACAAUAGCCAAUUGUUGACCUUCUAGUGUCCUUGCAAUGAACUCAGUCUACAUCACAAUAUGCCAUUAAAUCCAAUGACCAUUUGGAAGGUAAGAGAAUUCCCUGACCAGGUGCUUGCUUGAUGUACUUUAAUACCUUGUGUGUUGCUUCUAAGUGAGGCUGCCUGGAUUUGUCCAUGAACUGGCUAAGUAUAUGAAUUGUGUAUGCAAGGUCUGGUCGUGUGAUGGUUAGAUAAUUGAGACAUCUAACCAGUCUUUGAUAUUGAGAGGCGUCUUCUAAUAAGUCUUCAUCUCCUUGUAUAAGUGUCACAUUUUGUUCAACUGGAAAUCGUGAAGGUUUAGCACCAAGGAACCCUGUAUCUUCAAGAAUAUCUUGCUACUUCUAUUAUAAGAAAGCAUUUCAAUUGCCUCAUAUCCUUCAGUUUGAAGCGGCUUGAGAGAAAGCACUUGGUCUUUGUGAUGUCUUCUAAAUUGUUCCCUGCAAGAAUAACAUCAUCGACAUAUACCAACAAAGUUGUGAAGAUGCCUUGAUGGUUUCGGACGAACAAGGAAUAGUUGUACUAUGAUUGCUUGAAGCUGACUGAUUUGAGGGCUGAAGAAAGCUUCAAAAACCAUUACCUUGAGGCUUACUUCAGGCCAUAUAAUAAUUUGUGUAGCUUACAAACCAGAUUCUCCCCCUUUCGUCCAAAGCUAGGAGGAAGCUACAUGUAAACAUCUUCAUAGAGAUCUCCAUUGAGAAACGCAUUAUUUACAUCCAGUUGAUGAAGGUGCUAAUUUUGCAUGGCUGCAAGACUGAGUAAGACAUGAAUUGUUGUGAGCUUAGCAACCGGCGCAAAUGUUUCCCUAUAAUCGAUCCCUUCAACUUAGCUGUAACCAUUGGCCACUAACCUAGCCUUGUAGCGCUCAACUGUGCCAUCGGGAUUAUACUUGAUUUUAUAUACCCACUUACAACCAAUUGGUCGUUUGUGAGUCGAAGGAGAAACGAAACUCCAAGUCUUGUUAGCAUGAAGUGCUUGAACCUCUUGCUGCAUAGUUGCUCUCCAUUUUGAGGCCUUAAUUACCUGAGAAAAUGAGGUAGGCUUUCUUUGUAUGGUCAUAUUAGUAGUAAAGGUUUUGUGAGAGGAAGAAAGAUUAACAUGAGAUAGGAUAUGAGAGAGGCUAUGAGUCGUACCUAGAGAGAUGACCUUGUUCAAGGAAGCUGACGGAUUGGGACAUGAGGGGAGAGCUGCAUCAAUAUGAAAGCCCUGCAAUGCAAUUGGAAGUUUUAUGGCUCAAGAAUACCUGCGUGGUUGUGGUGAAGGCAGUUGGGGAGGUUGCAAAGGUAAUGAAAUGGAACUAAAAGAUGCUUCAAGUGCAGGAUUAUUUUUAGAAGUAAUGGAGGGAUUGAUAUUUGUGAGAGGAGUAAGUGGAGUGGAAAUUGGAUCUGAGGGUGGAAUCAAGGUUUUCAAAAACACAUUUUUGACACGGUAUGGAAAAUACAAAAUAAACUCCGAUUGUAAAAACAUAUCGUAAAAGCGUAAAAUCGUAAGAAAAUUUGAAAUUUUUACAAAAAAAAAAAUUCUUAAUAAAUUUUCUAAUACAAGCUGAAAUCAUUCCUAAUAUCUUUGUAUUUCACACAUCAGGGAGAAAUCUGUGCAAAAAAUAAGAGAUAUUUUUAAGAAAAGUUUUAGAAAAAAUAAGAGAUAUUUUUAAGAAAAUUUCCAAGCCCAUUAACCGAAACCAUUGUAGCAAAUUUCCCUUCACUGGAAAAGAGAAUUGUCUUGCUUUCUUGAUAGUCACUAAGAGAUUUUCUUUCUCGAUAGUCACUAAGAGAUUAGAAGAAAGAAAAGAUAUGGCUUUUACUCUUCACCACGAUUAACUCCCUUUCUCACCUUUUCUCCAUCAAAACACAACCUUCUCUCUUCAAUCUUACCAGAAGUCCACCAUAGAAUCACAAAGAUUGCUGAUAACUGAUUUCUCCAUAAACUAGAAUAACAACAAAACUCUCAGAACAUGCAAGUACUGUAAAACCCAGUUUAACCCUUCCCUUAACCACCCUCGAGCUUGUCGCUACCACACUGCUCAUUUUGGAGGCUACAAUCUGACAAUUUCCCACAUUAAAGCAAGUUCAAAAGUAUAAUGUUCAUUCAUGGGCAAUGAGGCCUUUUGUUUUUCUCUCUAAAUCAAGCCCCAAGUGACAAUUGCAUGUCUCUCUUGUCCAUCCAUGACAAAAAUGAAUUGAAGUAAUGUUUUUAUUUAUGUAGAGCAGGAGGACUUACUAUUGUUAAUUAUUUGUUGUUAUUAUUGUAUAUGAGAUUAUUAAUUAUUUGCUAGCAAUUCUUAGAAGGUAAAGGGGGUGUUUAGGAGUGUGAUUCUAAUUGUUUUUUAAAGUGUUUUUUGUUUGAGUGAGAUAGGUUAUGUGUCGCCUUUAUAUAUAAAUUUUUUAAAUCAUUAAGAGGCAGACAGCUAGUCAUCAUCCUUUUAAGAAAACUUGAAAACAAAAAAAAAGGUUUAGGUGCAUGGGCUGCUCCAGGCUCACGCACCUGUGCCUUUUUAUAGAGAUUUAGUACCUCUAGGCUUUCUUAGCAUGAGAGAUUGAACCUUUUUUUUUUAAAUCCAUUACAACUGGAUUUGUCUUUUUUUUUUCUUGCUUAUAUUUUGUUCAAUUUCAUCACCUAAUAUUUGGUUGGUUAUUAAUUGGGUAAUAUAAUUUAUUUCAAUUUGAUUUUUUUUUCCAAUCGCUUUUGUAUUUUGCAAGUUUUUAAUUUUAUAGGUGUAUAUUUUAGAUCAAAUAUUAUAAAAAUAUUGUUGAACCCUAAUAAGUUUGUGACCUAGGUCAUGGAGUUUAGGUGGUUUACUUUGAGUGGAUAGGAAUUGAACUUGAGAAUUUUAUUUUUUUUGCAUAAAUAGUUCUCAAUUUUUUUUAAUUAUAUGCAUGCAUGAAUUUUUUAAAUUUCGCUUGAGAUUUCUUUAUGUGCAAAAACAUGCUGUAAAAAGUUUGCAUAUAUAUUUAAAAAAAAAAAAAAAAAUUGACCAGUGAUGAAGCGCGGGUCUAAUAACCAAUACUACUACUACUAAUUCCAGCCUCACCUAAAAGUGAGAUAACCAACUCUCUGACAUCUACAUGCAUAGUGUGUUUGUUUAUACGGUUAGAUCGUGAUUUUGAAAGUUUUUUUUUAGUUUUUUAAGUUUUAAAUUAAUAUUUUUAGUAUUUUUUUAUUGUUUUGAUGUGUUCAUAUUAAACAUUUUAAAAAAUAUUAUUUUAAUACAUUUCAAAAUAAUUUGUUUUUAAAAAAAUAAUCUAAUAAUAGUUUACAAACAAGACUGCAAUAGGUUAUACCACGUUGCAACUAUGCCACUACAUGUGCAACAUUAUUUCCAUUUCUUGUGUGUCACAAUAUAUUUAUAUUUAGAGUAUAACCUUGGAGAAGAUUGCCCUGUCUUCGAAAACUUGUUUGAAUUUUGUCAGAUUUAUGCUGGUGGAACUAUAGGUAAAUGAAAACAAGAGAAGACUGCUGUCAUAGCAUUGUUUGGUUUGACCAUUUAGCUUUAUUUACCAUUCAACCUUAAAUGCUGACUGACAUUUUCUGACAGAUGCUGCACAUAAGUUGAACAAUCAGGAACAUUAUGUUUUCUGUUUUCAUACAAAGCGUUGCUGGUUACUCUAAAUCUUUUUCUUCUUUUUUUUUGAAUGAUGCAACAUUAUGUUUCUCCCCCUCAAACUCAGUUUGUCUGCCCUGAUAUUUAGUGAAACAGGGAUGCAACAACCUCAGAAAUAUUCUGCUGCCUCCUAAUAUUUUCCCUGGUUUCUAUGAACCUUUUAUCUAUAUAUCAUUCUUGUUCCAGACAAGUCUUGUACCAAGUGAAAUUGGAAUAAAAUACUGAUAUGGUUCUUAUUGAAGGAACUAGGAGAAAGAGAAGGAAAAUUUUAUGCUAUAAAUGUUCCACUGAAAGAUGGAAUCGAUGACACUAGCUUCACUCGACUAUUUAAAACAGUAAGUUCAGUUUUCAACCCGCCCACACACAGACACAAAAACAUGUAGCAAAGUAUAAUAAUUUGCUUGAUUAUCUGUCAUGCAGAUCAUUUCCAAGGUUGUAGAAACUUAUCAGCCAGGUGCAAUAGUUCUUCAAUGCGGAGCAGAUUCGUUGGCUGGGGACCGCUUGGGCUGCUUCAAUCUUUCCAUUGAUGGUGCAUAUCUAAUUGUAAUUGUUACAUUUCUUUUUCUUCCCUUGUGCAUUUGUUCUAAUUGUAAUGGUCUUAAGCCAGUUGGUGAUGUAUUAAUUUGGUGUGCAUUGUGAUGUUUGUUGCAGGGCAUGCAGAAUGUGUUAGGUUUGUGAAGAAAUUCAACUUGCCCUUGUUGGUAUGUUCUUAUUUGCUCCAAUUCCUAUUAGGAGUCUGCUCUUAUGAAAUGUCAAAGCUCACGAGAAGUUACUCCCCUGCAGGUUACAGGAGGUGGGGGCUACACAAAAGAGAAUGUUGCUCGAUGUUGGACCGUUGAAACAGGAGUUCUUUUAGACACAGAACUGCCCAAUGGUAUGCUAAUAUAAUCACUUCCCUUUUCUAAUUGAAAGGAAAAACUGAGCAUGGAAGAUGAAUUCUAACAUAUCACCCUCUGUGAAGAAAUUGUAAACAUAACUACAUGAUGUUCUGUGGUGAGUUCUUAGGUUAUGUAGUGUUUCUGGGGUUGGGAAGUGGCAUGUCAUUAAUAAUAUCAUGUUAUGAAAGUUUGCUUUCUUUUAUUUUUUAAUGUCAUAUUGUAUACAAUUUUGCAUUUUUCGGUUAAUGCAUGCCAUUAAUCAUGGUUGGCCUCAUCUUCUACCCUUUCCAUGCCAUUUAUCGUUAACACUUCUCCCACUAUACAUCAUAAUUCAUUAGCUCAGAUUACUCUUUUCUAGCAGCUGAUUUUGUUGUAAUCCAAUUUUCUUGCAGAGAUUCCAGAAAAUGAGUAUAUUAAAUAUUUUGCCCCUGAUUAUUCAUUGAAAAGUCCUGGUGGACUCAUGGUAUGUAACUGCACUGAAACUCCCUGUGAUUCCUGGUUUGCUAUUAAAGUCUGACCUAGUUUAAAUUGUCAGUGCCAAUCCUGCAUUCUUGGAGCCUUCCUAAUAUUUCUUCUUCUUUUUUGUUUGAGUGAGCAGGAGAACUUAAAUAGCAAAUCUUAUCUUAGCACAAUCAAAAUGCAAGUACUAGAAAAUAUCCGUUGCAUCCAACAUGCUCCAAGUGUACAGAUGCAAGAGGUGAGUUAGAUGCAAGUAUUUGUUAGUAGCUAAGCUAACCAAUCAAAGAUUCAAUUAGUCAAAUCUGCAGUGCUUUGCAAAAGGAUUAAAGGAAACUAAACUAGCUAUUUGUGCAUGGGAAGUCAUUAAUUAGUUGACGAUGACAAUCAUAUCUGCAGGUACCUCCUGACUUCUACAUUCCCGAUUUUGAUGAAGAUGAGCAAAACCCUGAUGAGCGCAUGGAUCGUAAGUUGAAUACUCAAAAUUAUGUGCUCUCACACUAAUGGCUGCACACAAGGUGGAGCACAUUGGUGUCUUACACUAGUGCACUUUUUGCUCCUUUGAGUUUUUUUUUUUCUCAUCUAGAUGUUUUUCCCUGUUACUAAUUUAUAAUGAAUUCUCAUUUCAGAGCAUACCCAGGACAAGCAAAUCCAACGCGACGAUGAAUAUUAUGAAGGCGACAAUGAUAACGACCACGCGGAUGGCUCAUGAACUUGAGCCAUGCCUUUUUUGUUUCCUUGGGAGGAUGAACUUUUGACAGGAAAAGGAAGAUGUAAGGGGAAGGCCACAUGUAAAUUCUCAUGGUCUUGUUGUCUGUGCUUAUGAAUUAUUGUAAAUUGUGUUGAAUCUAAACUCAAUCUAGAAGGUCAAGGAAGGCAACCACCGCCCAGCCAGCCACCAGCUGCCACCAACCGACCAGCCACCAGCCGCAGCCGCCAGCCGCCUUCACACUUGAAGGUUGAAUUUUCGUAUUCUGAUUUUGUGUAUAAAUAGAAUGCCCAGCUUAUGUUAUAUGUGUGGAGAGAAUUGAGAGGAAUACAAGUAAAAGAAAGAGAGAGAGAGGGCGUGUAUUAAGCUUUUGUUUUGUGUAAUUGUAAGCUUCGUUUUUGUGUAAUAAAACAGUGUGUUUUAUCCCCUCUGAGUGUUUCAAAGCCACCACCAGUGGUUUCUCCCACCAACAAUUGGUAUCAGAGCCCCGUUCGUCGGAAAACAAAAGAGUUUUGGGGUAUAUCCGAAUUUUCAAAGUUGUCCAAAACCAGUUUUGAUCAUUCCACAGUGUAGAGCUCAUCAAUACGAACUCACUGCCGCAAAAAUCAGCCAAAUCGGAGUUCGGGGUAGCCCACACGCGCCGCCUGAAUAUUCAGCCAGAUCGCCCACGCGCAUCCCACGCGCGCCAUAUUUGAGCCGCGCCGAGCCGUAUACGCCGCGUCCUAGCCGAGCCACAAGCCGAGUCCAGCCGAGCCGUACCUCGCGCCGAGCCGAGCCGCGUUCCAGCCUCAGCCGAGCCGAAGGAAUAUUCCCCAGAAUAUUCCCGGUUCACCCAGCGAACCGCCCGCCGUACAGAAUUGGUUUUUUGACCGGUUCACCCAUUUUCUGACCAGAUUUCAACAAAGUCAGACCGGUUCCCUACUAUUUGGACCAUUCCGGAUCGAUCUACAGUGUCCGUUUGGCCAAAUUCGGCUCCCAGAAAGGUGAUAUAGUCAUUCAAAGAGCAAAAUGACUACAGAAGGUACACAAACACUCAUCCCGAAGCUGACCAAAGACAACUAUGAUAGUUGGUGCAUCAGAUUGAAGGCAUUUCUUGGGUCACAAGAGUGUUUGGAUAUUGUACAAACUGGUUAUGAUGAACCAGAGUCCAAAGAAAGAGAAGAUGCUUUACAAGAGGCACAGAAGCAAGCCUUGAAAGUCAACAGAAAGAAGGACAACAAAGCAAAGACCAUCAUCUACCAAGGUCUUGAUGAAGAUACAUUCGAGAUAAUAGCUUCCGCUGAAACAUCACAUGAUAUAUGGGAGGCUCUCCAACAGAAAUACAAAGGUGCUGACAGAAUCAAGAAGAUUCGUCUUCAAUCUUUGAGAGGAGAAUUCGAAUUAUUACGAAUGAAGUCCUCGAGUCUAUUUCUGAUUAUCACACAAGGAUUAUGGUGAUAGUCAACCAGAUGAGAAGAAAUGGAGAAGCCCUCAUACUCGAAUUAGAGAAAAUUUUGAGAUCCAUAGAUCCAAAAUUUGAUCAUGUUGUUGUCGCAAUUGAAGAGUCCAAGGAAGUGGACAAGUUGACAGUGAUGAGCUUAUGAGUUCUUUGCAAGCUCAUGAGCAGAAGAUUGUAAUGCGAAAUGAAGAUAAGGCCAUUGAGCAUGCCUUACAAGCAAAGCUGUCUUUCAAGGACAGAUAUGAGCAAGGGGAGACUUCAUCAAGUGGCUACACCACUCAAGCAGGAAGUCAACAAUCCAGAGGAGGAUUCAGAGAUUCCAAGGAAGAGGUCUUGGAAUACAAGCUUCAGAGGAAGAGGUGGCAGAAACACCACCAGAGGAGGCCGAGGACAACAAGCAUUCACUCCUAGAGGAAGAGGAGGCGGUUACAAUAACCGUGACAAGAGAAUAUCAAAUGUUAUAGCUGCAAUCAAUUUGGGCACUAUAGCACUGAAUGCCGAUGGAAAGCUCCGUUGGAGAUACGUGAGCAAGCCAACUAUGCAGAGAAGAUGAGAAGCAUCUGCAUUUCUUGUCCAACAAGACUUGGCGAGAAACAAGAGAGAUAUGGUAUCUAGAUACUGGAGCCAGCAAUCACAUGUGCGGCUACCGAGAGUUAUUUGGUGAUCUAGAUGAGACCAAGCAAGGUCUAGUUACUUUUGGAGAUACCACAAAGGUUCCAUUCAAAGGUAAAGGCAACAUCCCAGUCAAGUUGAAGAAUGGCGAUUCCAGCUACAUCGCCGAUGUGUAUUAUGUCCCAGCCAUAAAGCAGAACCUGAUCAGCUUAGGUCAACUUUUGGAGAGAGGAUAUAGUUUUUACUCGAAGAAUUGUCAUCUGGCAAUUAGAGACAACAAUGGGAGAUUAAUGGCCUACGUGAAAAUGUCCAAGAAUAGGAUGUUUCCUUUGAACAUCCAGUAUGAUGCAACAAGGUGUUUGAGUGCCAUCACCAACAGUGAAGAAUGGCUUUGGCACCUGAGGCUUGGACAUCUGAAUUUCACAAGUUGAAGAUGCUAGCAAGCAAGAAGAUGGUCAAAGGUUUGCCUCACAUUGAUCAUCCAGAUGAAGUCUGUGAGAGUUGUGUCCUCAGCAAACAUCACAGAUCCAGUUUUGCCAAAGAAGUCAACUGGAGAGCAAAGAGGCCACUGGAGUUAGUACACACAGAUGUGUGUGGCCCAAUUACGCCUAUGUCGACUGGACAAAAUAGGUACUUCCUCACUUUUACUGAUGAUUUUAGUAGAAAGACGUGGAUAUACUUUCUGAAGAGGAAGUCAGAAGUAUUCAAUUGUUUUAAAGAUUUUAAAGCAAUUGUGGAGAAGCAAACUGGUUAUACGAUCAGAACCGUAGAUCUGAUCAAGGUGGAGAAUAUACAGCAAUGACUUUGAAGCCUAUUGUACACAACAAGGCAUCAGACAUCAGACGACGCCAGCUUAUACACCACAGCUGAAUGGUGUAGCAGAAAGGAAGAAUCGCACGAUUCUUGACAUGGCAGAAGUUGCUCAAAGCAAAGAAGUUGCCCAAGCAAUACUGGGCUGAAGCUGUAUCAUGUGCAGUGUAUCUGUUGAAUCGCUGCCCACCAGAAGUUUGCAAGGAGUCACUCCAGAAGAAGCAUGGAGUGGUCACAAACCAAGUGUUACUCAUCUACGAGUCUUUGGUUGUGUGGCAUAUGCAAAGAUCCCAGAUGCAAGAAGGAGAAAGCUCGAUGAUAAGAGCGAGAAAUGCAUCUUUGUCGGAUAUGGUGAAAGAAGGAUGGGAUACAGGCUGUAUAAUCCCAUCACGAAGAAGGUGAUUACGAGUAGAGAUGUUAUCUUUGAAGAAGAUAAAUCUUGGGCAUGGAAUGGUGAUCAAGAAGCAGUCAAAUGGAUCAAUCUUGAUUUGAUCCUUGAAGGUGAAGAAGUACCAAUACUUGUAAGAACCGAUUGUAGAGAACCGAUUGUGCCAGCAGCUGAACCACAAAGUCCGUGUUUAUACCAGCAGCUGAACCACAAAGUCCGGUACACAGAUUCCCUGUAUUCAACAGGAGGAACACACCAGGAGCAUCAUCAUCAACACCACCAUCAGCAUCCUCGUCAGAAGGACCAAGAAGGAUGCGGAAUCUUGAAGAGUUGUACGAUACCACUCAGGUCAUGGAAGAUACAACUCUUUUUGUUUCCAUGCAGAUAAGGACCCACCAGAAAAGAAGAAAAGCAAUAGGUGUCAAAAAGGUCUACAAGACGAAAGCCAAAUUAGUGAAUAAACGCUACAAGCAGAGAGAAGGCAUUGAAGGGAGAAGUAUUCAUGCUUGGCAUGAUAUCCCUAGAUUGAGUUUAUAGGGGAGAUUUGUUGAAUCUAAACUCAAUCUAGAAGGUCAAGGAAGGCAACCACCGCCCAGCCAGCCACCAGCUGCCACCAACCGACCAGCCACCAGCCGCAGCCGCCAGCCACCAGCUGCCACAGCCGCCAGCCGCCUUCACACUUGAAGGUUGAAUUUUCGUAUUCUGAUUUUGUGUAUAAAUAGAAUGCCCAGCUUAUGUUAUAUGUGUGGAGAGAAUUGAGAGGAACACAAGUAAAAGAAAGAGAGAGAGAGAGGGCGUGUAUUAAGCUUUUGUUUUUGUGUAAUUGUAAGCUUCGUUUUUGUGUAAUAAAACAUUGUGUUUUAUCCCCUCUGAGUGUUUCAAAGCCACCACCAGUGGUUUCUCCCACCAACAAAUUGUUGCUCAUUUGUAAAACUUCUCCGUGCAUUCGCCCAAGCAAACCCAUAUUGAUGACUGUUAGUUGUCCCAAGCAUGUCACAUGUAAUUAACUCUGCAUGCAUGUGUUUGUGGGCUUGUGCUCAAAGUCAGCCUGAAAUACAUGAUAGUUCAAAACUGUUAUCAAGGUAGAAGCUAAUGUUAUGGAUAUUUAAGAAAUUGCUAAACCCAGUAUAUUGCAUCACCUUAUGCUUAUACUGGAUGACAUAAUAGCCCUAUGAAAUUUUUGUGAAAUUUCAAUUGGCAUAUUCAAUCAAUUAUCUGUGAAUCAUUUCAAUUUACAUAAUGCAUAAAUCCAGCUAUGAUCAUCCACGGCAUUUUGACAUAAGUCCUAAAUGCUUGUGUUCGGCGAAAACAAUGGGAAGGCGCAUUUUGGGUCUUACAGCAGAUGAAGGAUAAGGAUGUGCAACCUUCUGCUGCGACGUAUGGACUGGUUAUGGAGGUAAUAGCUGUUUUUACUAUCCAUGGUUCUUAACAAUAUUUCACAUCAGCAGAACCUGUAUCUUAGAUUCAUAGCAAUACCUUGUUGUAUGAGUUUAUCAUUGUUCUGAUAAACAGCUAGUCAUGUUUGCUGACUUGCUACUAUGAUUAUCACUCCAUAUUUCAACUUUCAUAGAGCUGUUCAUAGAACUAGACUUCUAAUCUAAGCAUAUGGACUUAUUUUUUCUGAGUAAAAGUACAUCAUGAACUGUUGGUUCAAAUCCUACCACCAACCUCUUUGGUGUCGUCCAGAGAUUCAUCUCACCUGUUGCUUGGUGCAUGAUGGCUGAGAGGUUUGAACGUACCCAGGUUUUACCCAGUGCUAAAUAAAAGGUUUAAUUCAGAAAAAAGACUUUGAUUUUUGCAGUAUGAAGUUAGUAACCUGACCUAUGUACAUCAGUUUGGUUGAAUAGGGUGUCAUAUGAACUUGCUGUACAAUAUUAAUUCUCUGGUUGGGCUUUCCGUUUCUCAUAAUCAAUUUUAUGGUUCAUAUUCAAAUGACUGCGCCUUGAUACUUCACAAUUAAGAUAAUUCUAAGGUUUUUUUUAUCUUGAUUCACUCUCAUGUGUUCAUGUGGUAGUUUCUACUAUCUGUUAAUGUUGGAUUCCAAUGUUAGUUUUCAGUAGUAAGAGGGGGUACCAUUUCAUAGCAUCAUGAAGUGAUAAUUUCCCAUCAUUUUUGGCUCUUUAAGAUAGGUGCUCAAUCUAGCAUCUUUUAGGGUGGUUUUGGUGUUAAAUAUCAUUGUCAAAGCAUAGGAGCAUGAGCUAUCCUUUUGACCUGCAUACCAUCAAGAAAAAUGUUUCCUAUGAAAAGCCUUAUGUUGUAUUAUAAAGUGGACUUAUGGAACUGGUAACAGUUUGCUUGAUAUUCUCAUUUUCUUGAAUAUACAUCUUAGUUUUUGUAAUAACCAGGAAAUGAUAAAAUGGUUUUCUGCCUCGUACUUGAGCAGGUCAUGCUUGCUUGUGGCAAGUACAACUUGGUUCCUGAGUUCUUCAAAAAAGUUCAGAAGUCUUCCAUUCCAAACGCCUUAGUAUAUAAAGGUGUUUGACUGGUCUAUCAUUUCUUCCAUUUGAUUUUAUAGAACCUCAUUUUGAAAUCAAAUUCUUGUUACAUACAGUUCUCGUCAAUACUUUUUGGAGAGAGGGUAAGACAGGAGAGGCUGUGUUGGCUGUCAAAGACAUGGAAAGACGGGGAAUUGUGGGCUCAGCUGCUCUUUAUUAUGAUCUUGCACGCUGUCUCUGUACAUCUGGAAGGUGUCAAGAAGCACUAGAUCUGGUAAUCUUUUUAUGCUUAAUCUACUAUGUUUCUGUUGUGCAUGUAUAUUUAAAACUGAAUAUAAAGAACACUGUAUUGUGUAGUAAUCUAAAGAACAACCUUAUGUUUGCUGAUGGAGAAAAGAAAAGAACAAAGAACAAUAAUCACGAUGGAAAGAACUAAAGAAAGAAAGAACUCAGAACUGUUACUGAUUAAGGUUAAAGAACAAAGAGCAGAAUUGUGUUAUUAGUUACUGCCAUCCCAAGUCUUUAUUUAUAAGGAAAAAGAGAAACAGAAUUUGAAUGGAAAACAAUAACAAGAAACGUGUCUGCCUUCUUCUCCUUUAUUUAAGGAGAUGAUUACAAGUUAAUUCAAUCCUAGAUAAUCUUAACAAAGAAAUCAAAAGCAUAUCCUACACUAGAUAAUAGUCUCAGCUAAAACAAAGAAAUAAUACAGCAGUGAAUUACUGCUAAGUCUUCUGCUAGCUUAGGUACCAAGCUUCAACACUCCUCCUUGGUUCCAAAGCUAGUCAUUCCAAUUCUUGCCCUUAGAUCUUCAAACCUGGUUUUACCCAACGGUUUGGUGAAAAGAUCUGCUAGUUGAUCUUCAGAAGUGCAGUAGCAUAGUUCCAUUCUCCUUCUUGUUGAAACUGCCUGAUUGCAUGAAAUUUGAUCUUCAUGUGCUUGGUUUAUCAUGGAAGACAGAAUUUUUAGAAAUGGCUAUAGCUGAUGUGUUGUCACAAAACAAUGUUGUGGGAUUGUUGAUUGCAGUCUAAGUCACUUAGCAUCUUCCUCAGCCAUAUUAGUUGUUUUGCUGCUACAUAAGCAGCUAUAUAUUCAGCUUCUGCAGUAGAAUGUGCCACCACCGAUUGUUUCUUUGAAUUCCAGCAAAACAUACUCUUUCCCACAGCAAAACAGUAGCCUGACGUGCUCAUCAUUCCUUCAUCACUUCCUCCCCAAUCACUGUCUGAAAAUCCAACAAGAUUGAUUGAGCUGGACUUCACAAAUGUAUGCCAAAACCUGCAGUCCCUCUAAUAUCUUAAUACUCUCUUAGCUGCCACAAAGUGUUUUGACUUGGCUCUUGCAUGAACCUGGAAAGAUAAUUCACAGCAAAUUGAAUGUCAGGACGUGUGGCUGUUAAAUACACAAACUCCCAAUUAGACUCCUGUAUUUUCCCAUCAGCUUUUGGUGAGCCAUCCUCUUUCAUUAGCUUCUGCCCCUGUAUCAUAGGAGUGCUUACUGGCUUGCAAUUGUUCAUUGCAAAACUGUCCAGUAUUUUCAAAGAAAAACGUUUUUGACAAAGAAAGUAACCUUGAUCAGUUUGGUUACUUCCAUUCCUAAAAAUAAGUCAACAAACCAAGUUCAUUCAUCUCAAACAUGUCUUUCAUAUUGGUUUUGAAUUCCUCUACAAGCUGCUCCUUAUCCCCUGUGAUUAGUAAAUCAUCAACAUAAACUGAUACAAUUAGUUUAUGUCCAGCAGCAUGCUUCACAUAUAAAGUUACCUCAUUCAUGCUCCUGUUAAAUCCCAAGCUUAAGAGAUGAUUAUCCAACCUGCUAUACCAAGCUCUAGGAGCUUGUUUCAAUCCAUACAAUGCUUCUUCAGUAAAUAAACCUUGUUUGUUGAAUUAGAUUUUUCAAAACCAGCAGGCUGCUCAACAUAAAUCUCUUCAUCUAGCACACCAUUCAAAAAUGCAGAUUUAACAUCCAAUUGAAAUAUAUACCAACCGUUUUGUGCUGCUAGAGCAAGCAGGAGUUUCAUUGUUUCAUGUCUGGAAACUGGAGCAAAAGUUUCUGUGAAGUCGAUCCCUGCCUCUUGUGAAUAUCCUUUCACUACAAGUCUGGCUUAUGCUUGUUGAUCUUCCAUCUGCAUUUACUUUUGUUUUGAAAAUCCAUUUCACUCCAAUCACCUUCUUAUGAGCUGGUCUGUCAACUAGCAUCCAUGUUUGAUUCUUGUCUAUCAUUGCAAGCUCCUCCUUCAUUGCUGCUAUCCAAACUUGAGAGUUCAUGGCUUCUUCAACAUUUACUGGUUCUGCCUCGGCUACAUUGCACCUGCUAUAGAUAUCUGAUAGAGAUCUUGUCCCUCUUACUGGUUGAUCAUCACUUUCUGCAGCAUCCAAGUCAGUUUGUUGCUCAAUAUUCCCAGCAACAUCUGUUUGUUGAUAAUCAUGUUUGCAGCAUCCAACUCAUCUUGUUGCAUCGGUUUUGAUUCUUCAUUUGAUGAAUUUUUCCAGUUCCAAGCUGCAUUUUCUACAACUUUGACAUCUCUAGCAACCACCACUUUGUUAACAUUCAAAUCAUAGAUUUUAUAAGCUUAGAAUUUGUACUAUAGCCUAUAAGAAUCCCUAUAUCAGCCUUUUGAUCAAGUUUCCUUCUUCUGACUUCAGGUUUCAGAACAUAACAAAUACUUCCAAACACCUUUAAAUGAUCAAUACUGGGUUUAAAACCAUACCAGAGUUCAUAAGGAGUUUUAUCUGCCAAAACUCUUGAAGCCAUUCGGUUUAUAAGGUAUGCUGCUGUGUUUACUGCUUCUGCCCAGAAAUUCAAUGGCAACUUCUUCUCAUAGAGCAAGCAUCUAGCCAUCUCCAUCAAUGUUCGGUUUCUUCUUUCACUUACACCAUUCUGCUGUGGUGUGUAGGGAACAGUCAGCUGGUGUUUAAUCCCUUCUUUAGCAAGGUAUGCUUCAAAUUGUCGAGAGGUAUACUCUCCUCCAUUGUCAGAUCUCAAAGUCUUCAAUUUGUUUCCUGUUUCUAGUUCAACUGCUGCCUUGAACUUAACAAACUCAGCAAACACAUCAGCUUUGGAUUUUAGAAAAUAAACCCAGCAAUACCUGCUAAAAUCAUCAAUAAACAGAAGAAAGUACUUUGAACCAUUUAAUGAUUCAUUGUGCAUAGGUCCACACACAUCUGUGUGUACAAGCUGAAGUUUAGAUACUGCCCUGUAUGCAUUUUCUGGAAAAACAGUUCUGGUUUGUUUUCCCAGCUGACAAGCCUCACAUAUAGUUUGCUGCUCCUGAAUAUUUGGCAACCCGUGAGCCAUCUGCUGGUCAGCCAUUCUUUUUAAGUAGCAUAAUUGAAGUGUCCCAGCCGUUUGUGCCAAAGAACAGAUUCCUUGCACUCAUAAGUAUUAGCACUUAAACACACUUCAUUCCAAUUAACAUUAAAGCUUCGGUUCAUCAUUUUUGCAGACAGUAAAAGCAUUCCAUUUCUAUCUUUAAUGUCACACACUCCAUCAUUAAAAACUAUUGAAUAUCCAGAUUCAAUCAAUUGACCCACACUAACUAGAUUUUGGUUGAUCUUAGGCACAUAAAGAACAUUUUUAAGAAUUUUUGUACCUGACAGUGUUUCUACUGCAAUUGCUCCUUUUCCUUCAACUUUCACACAGUCUCCAUUGCCAAUUCUGACUUUAGACAAGUAGCUUCUAUCCAAGUCUCUGAAUAAGCUUAAGUCUGCUGUCAUAUGAUUAGUGCAGCCGCUAUCAAUGAGCCAUGAUGAGUCCUUUGUCUCUGCUGAAUUACAUAUGUCCUGAACUGUGACCAUGAAUAGAAGUUCUUCUUUGACUUCUGAACAAUCGGCUACUUGUGCUUGUUGUUCAGUUUCUGUUCUAUUUUUGCAGAAUCUUUGAAUGUGACCAAAUUGCUUGCAUUUUCGGCAUUGAGCAUUCUUGAGCCAACACCAGGCUUCAAGAUGAUUGGUUUUCUGACAGUAUUUGCAAGCAGGAAAAUGUUCUUUCUUCUCUUUCCCCCUCAUGAAACUGUUAUUGUGUUCUGUUGCCAGUUAGCAGAUUUCCAGUCUCUCCCUUUUUCUCUUUUUCCUUCUUGAUUAUUUCUGAAGAUGUUCUUAGCCCGACCCUUAUCCUUGUAAACUGCAACAAGAGCUCCUUCACUUGAUCCUUCUUGUCUAUAUGCUUGCCUUUGCUCAACAGCUUGCAAUGCAUUCACCAAUUCUUGCAGGCUUAUCUCAGAAAAAUCUUUAGAAUCUUCUAAAGAACAGAUUUUAUGUUCAAACUUUUCUGGCAAACUCACCAGGACUUUCUCUACAAUUCUAGAGUCUGGAAAAUCUUCUCCCAAGAGUCUUACUUGAUUCACAAGUUUUGAAAUUUGAGAAGAGAAAUCUUUGAUGCUCUCAUUUUCUUUCAUCUUCAGACCUUCGAAUUGUCUUCUCAGAUUCAGAAUCUGCAUCCUUCUUGAUUUCUCAUCACCAUGGAACUCUGCUUUUAAUUUAUCCCAUGUUUCCUUGGCAGAUUUGCAUGCCAUGAUCCUCGUGAAGAUGUCUUCACUUACAGCAUUAUGAAGACAAGAAAGAGCUUUGAAUCUCUUUGCCUUUUCUUCAUUAAAGAACUUCAUCUGUGCAAUUGUGGGAUUGUUACCUAGAGGAGUAGGUUGCCUAUCACUUUCCACUAUCUCCCAUAAAUCAAGACCUUUGAGAUAGGUUUCCAUUUUUACAGCCCACACACCAAAAUUCUGCCCUGCAAACAAUGGUGUUUUUGCUGGAAAAUUUGCAGAAUCCAUUGCUUAAAAGAAAACUCACUUCCUCUCUCGUGUAUCACUCACAAACCCUCAAAGUAAAAACUUUGAUUUAUCCUCACAGUACUCUCGUGUUUUUCACUGACAAAGAAUCCCUUCAAAGAUCAGAAAAGAGCUCUGAUACCAAUUGUAGUAAUCUAAAGAACAACCUUAUGUUUGCUGAUGGAGAAAAGAAAAGAACAAAGAACAAUAAUCACGAUGGAAAGAACUAAAGAAAGAAAGAACUCAGAACUGUUACUGAUUAAGGUUAAAGAACAAAGAGCAGAAUUGUGUUAUUAGUUACUGUCAUCCCAAGUCUUUAUUUAUAAGGAAAAAGAGAAACAGAAUUUGAAUGGAAAACAAUAACAAGAAACUUGCCUGCCUUCUUCUCCUUUAUUUAAGGAGAUGAUUACAAGUUAAUUCAAUCCUAGAUAAUCUUAACAAAGAAAUCAAAAGCAUAUCCUACACUAGAUAAUAGUCUCAGCUAAAAACAAAGAAAUAAUACAGCAGUGAAUUACUGCUAAGUCUUCUGCUAGCUUAGGUACCAAGCUUCAACAUAUUGUAGCUAAACGAUCCGCAUGCAUUGAAUGGUGUGUUGCUAAUUAGAGUUUAUGAGCACGGGGAGCUAUAUCACUGCAAAAUGCAAAAAUCUGUGUAUUGAUAACUGUUGCCUGCCCAGUUAAGGUUUCAGUUUAUACUACUGUUGAAUGCACAAAGAAUAUGCAUGUUUUGCAAGUGCGUCUUUGGUUCAUUGAGAGACUGAAGAAGCCUUGGGCUGCACAAUUGGGGCCCUUUCCUAACUGCUGGGAUGUCUCUUUGGGCAUUUAAUAGUUUGCAAGCUUUAAAGCUAUAUAUUUUGUACACUCAUUGAUGCAUUUGUAAGACUCCAUGAUAUAAACAAGUAGAUUGCAACCGGUUUGGUGUCACUUCAACCACCUACAAUUUGUGUGCUUAUUAUUACCACUAGCUUUUCUUUGAACAAACAGUCCAUCACAACCUCCUUUCAUUUCACAGAUUGAGAAAAUAUGCAAGGUUGCUAAUAAGCCGCUUGUAGUAACUUACACUGGCUUAAUCCAAGCUUGUCUGGACUCUGGAAACAUUCAAAACGCUGUGUACAUCUUCAAUCAAAUGAGGAACUUUUGCCCCCCAAAUCUUGUUACUUGCAACAUAAUGCUGAAAGCGUAUCUAGAACAUGGAUUGUUUGAAGAAGCAAACGAGCUUUUCAACAAGAUGUUAGACGAUGGCAAUCAUAUCAGCAGAAGAUCUGAUUACAAGUUUCGUGUAAUACCAGAUAUCUAUACUUUCAACACCAUGCUUGAUGCAAGCAUUGCAGAAAACAGGUGGGAUGAUUUUGAGUACGUUUAUCAAAAGAUGUUGCGCCAUGGGUUCCACUUCAAUGCAAACCGUCAUCUUCGAAUGGUACUGGAUGCUUCUAGAGCUGGAAAGGUACUUCUCAAAUCUAUUGUGAUUAUUUGAAAUUACACUUGUACGUGAACAUAUUAUUGAAAUGGAUGUUAAUAGCAUCUCCAUAAAAAUAACACUAGGCUGCCAAACUGCAUCUACGUCCUGACUGAAUAGCCUGAUUCGAGGUAUUAUAUGAGAACAGUCAAAAGCACUUGUAGGAAUAAAAUGGAUGCCUUGUUGAAUUCCUUAGGAGGGAUGAUAAGAACUUAUCUUUUUAGUACACUUUGGACGCAAUCUUUGUAAAAUGCUUCUAGGUAAUUCAUCUGUUAGAAAAUUCUGAAUUCUGAAAAUUUUAGGAAGUGUAAAAUCUCAGAAUUCAGAGUUAUGGAAAUCUAACUUUCUUGUCCUUAUCCUCUUCAAAUUUUAGAUAUAAACUGUCAAGAGAAAUUGAAAUUUCUCACUUUAUCCUUUCAAGACUUCAAAUUUAGUACAAAAGAAUUGUUCAUGCCUAUAUUAAUAAAAACAAAAAUACAUGUAGUAUGUGUGUAGUGGCAACGAUUAAACAGCAUCAAUAGUGUUCUUUUUGUUUCUAAUCUUCAAUUCAAGAGAAGUUACAAAUUCCCAUUGUGACUGCAGGGAGAAGUUUUGGAAAUAACUUGGAAGCACUUGGAGCAGGAAGAUAGGAUUCCUCCACCGCCUCUUGUCAAAGAAAGAUUUUGCAUGAUGCUUGAAAAAGAAGACUUCGAUUCUGCUCUUGCUUGUAUUACCACAAAUUCUGCUGGAGAGUCUCAAGCAUUCUGCAAAAGUGCCUGGUUGAAUUUAUUCGAAGAAAACGCUCAGCGGUUUAGAAAAGACACCCUCAUGCGGCUAAUGCAUGAGGUACGUGUGCUUGCUGCUCAAAGCAACUCGCCAAACCCUGUAUUGCAAAAUCUAUUAAUAUCCUGUAGUGAUUAUAAUAGGCCUCGUGUAAAGGUUCCUGGAUUCAAUCAAACAUAGAUUUUCUAUACAGUUAAAUCAUGAAAAUCCUUGAAAUCUUAAUGGAAUGCACGCAUGCAGCUAGCAAACCAGCAUGUCCUAAUAAUGAUGAUAAGGUUUAGGGUGAGAAUGAGUCUUGAAAUUAUUCGUCCUGAGAAUGCCUCAAGAUUAUGUGGGCCAAUUAAGGAGUUUCUAUCAGUAUAAAGCUCCGCAAUCUAUCAAGAAACCACUGUAAAGGGCUUGGUGACCUGCUACUAUGCAAAAGGACUCGAUGGGAUCUCUGCUUUAGAACAUUUCAAGCUGUCAAGCCUGUUAUAGGUAUCUAAGUUCAAUGAAGGUAACAUUUCAAGCUGUCAAGCUUGUUAUAGGUAUCCAAGUUCUAUGAAGGUGAGGUAAGCCUUUAAAAUGGAUUCAGAUGUAUCUACUUGUUAAUGCUUGUGAUAUACUGUGUUCCUUAGUGCGGUUAUAAAUAAUGUAUGAGCAAGGUGUCUUGAAGCCUCGUAUUGUGAUUACAUGCCCAAACUAGCUAGUCGAAUAAAUGAAGGGACAAUAGAGUUUCCGAGGAGAUUAUUUUUUCUUUUUGGAAAAUUGAUUUUUCUUAGUUAUUAUCUUUUUUUCUAUUUAUUUUAAAAUAUUAUGUUUAAUAAUUUUAUUUUUUAUUUUGUUUAUGAAUUUUAUUGCCUUUUUUUUUUCAAGGUUUUUAGUUUGUUUAGGUGUUUUUUUAGUUUAUUUAAGGAGUUGUAAAUCUCUUACAAAGGAAACUACUUGACAUGGUAAAUUAUUAAGAAAUAAAAUUUUGAAUUCUGGUUUUUGGUGUGAUGAUCCUUUUUAGUAGAAUUGAGUUGUUUGUUUUUGCUAUUUUUUUGUAUUAUUUCUGUUUAUAUUAGUUGGUAUCAGAAUCUAAUAAUCUUUGAUUAUUGUUUGCUUGUUGUAUGCUGCAAAACAACCAUAGCUGGAAAAAAUAAUAAAACUAAACAUGUUCAAGGAGAGGAUGAAGAGGUUUCCUCUUUAGAGAAAAAGGUUCAUGAGCUAGAAAUUGAGGAUAUACAAAGGUAGAUCGCAAAGCUUACGUGACAAUUGAAAUAAAACACCCAACAAGAAUAGGAGGAGAGUAAUUGUGAACCCUGACUAAUCUAGAGGAGGCAACCUUUUAAUUGGGCAGCACUUCAUGGAAUUUUGAUUUUUAAAUUAAACUUUCUAAUUUUGUAAGAACUUUACAAGUGGAAGAGUUUAUCGUUUAGUUGAAUGAAGUAUAAAGGAUUUUCAAGUGCAUAAAAGUUUAAGAACAAAUAAGGGUGAAGCUUAUUGGUAUUAGAUUAAAAGGGCGAGCUUAUGCUUGGUGGAAGCAAUUAAAGAGAAAGAUAAAGGAACAUUUUUUUUUUCGUUUGGAUACAUUUAAACUUUUUACCAAUGACUCCAUAAAUUGGGAUGGGAGAACUAUUGCUAAGUACAUUGAAAACUCUACCAACUGGUGGCUAAGAAUGAUUUUUCAGAAAGAGUAGUUGAUUGCUAGGUACUUAAAGUAGAUUAUGAUAGUUCAUGCAAGAUGUAUUGUGUUUGCAUUCUUUAUAAAUAGUUUUGUAAGCCUAUAAGAGAGCUUUGAUUAUGGAUAAACAAUAGGUUACUAGGGUAAUUAACAAAGGUGGCGAGGUGUGCGCUAACAAAAAAAAUAUCAUUCAUUUAGCCCGAAUCGAUAACUAAAUAUAUCACAAGUUAAAGUUAAAGUUCUAGAUAUGGUUUUAAAUUUUAGUGUUUUAGAUAUGAUGAAUUAGGACAUUGAAUUUAUAAGUGCCUUAAACCAAAGAGUCGUAAGUGUAAACAUUUGUAAGUAAAAUAGCAUAACGAGAAGAGAAGUGAUCCUAUUUAUGAUGAUUAAUAUGGUAGUGAGGAGGUUUUCUAAGAUAAUGAUGGUGCUACCUCAAUUAUCCAAAGAGUUUGCUUAUUCUUAAAAGUGAUUCAAAUCAAUAUUGGCUACACACUAGUCUUUUUCUUUCAACUUGUACCAUCAAGGACAGUGUAUGUAAUUUGAUUAUUGAUAGUGGUAAUUGUGAAAAGGUGGUGUUAAUUGAAGUAGUAAAGAAGUUGCAACUUAAAAUAAAAAAACACCAUAUACCCUACAAAUUGAAGUAGAUGAAUCGAGAUCCCAAUGUAAUCAUGGAUGAAUAUUAUCUUGUUUUAUUUUUUUUAUAGGUAAGAGAUAUUUUGAUAGUAUUUGAUAUGAUGUUGUGUCUAUGGAUGCAUCUCAUUUAUUGUUGUAUAGACCAUUGAUUAGUACUUAAAAGUGCAUAUUUAUCAAGGUUUUAUAUCAUUAUUUCGCACUUAAAGUAUCAAUAACUCCUUAACUAAAGCAUGUUUUAUAAUAACAAGUCUAAUACUAUAAAAUGCCCUAAUAUAUGGUAAAUGUUCAUCUUAAAUGCAGGCCUAUCACAUAAAUCAAAGGAUUUAUUGAUGAUUUCAACUACUGAAAUUUGUGAAAAUAAAGAGAGGUUUAAACUUAGAAAAGAGAUGUUGGUGCAGUCCAAACUAGAAUAUUGUUUGGUAAUUGGGUCAUAUCUCGAGUUCUAGAUGUCCAAAUGACCUCCAAUUUUUACACAGAUUCAGUAACAGAUAGGCCUACAACUUUCAUGUUUUCAUCAAGAUCUAAGAAGGCCGUUUUCAAGUCCAAAUUAUAUCAACAACGGAGAAGUCCGAAUCUGUCCUGCAGCCCGAACACUGUUUAGUGUUUGGCCCAUAUCUGGAGUUCUAUAAGUCCAAAUGACCUCCAUUUAUUUUUCCCUAGAAAGCUGAGUCAAUUUCCUACAACUUUCAUGUUUACCAGAGGACCCAGUUCGGAUGGUAGCAUUUUUGUUUUAUUCAGACAAGAAGAUAAGGAUUUUCACCAAGUCAAAAGUUGGUCACCCACUCAACAAUUAGUCAUCAAAUCAAUAAUUCUGAAUUUUGGCCUAUAAAAGGAGGCAUUUUCCAUGCAUUUGGUUGGCUUGGUUGUUCAGAUCAAGUUCAUGCUCUUUAUUUCUCUCUUUAUAUUUUUUUUGUUUUUGUAAUUUUUAAGUUUUGCUUUCAUUAAUAUCUUGUUUAUGCUUUUCAUUUCCUUUCCUUUACUUAGUUAACUUGUAUUUUCUUUAUGUUCUUGUUUUGUUUAUUUAUGUUUCUCUUCUUCAUUAUGUUUAGCUAAGUUUAUUAUGUCAAGGUGAAAAGGUUACACUAAUGGUGUAAGAAUAAGUAUGGUGUAAACUCAACAUGGACCUUAAUGUUUAAUAUUAACAUGUCUUAUCUUUUUAUCUUACUAAUUAUUAAUACCUUACUUGUUAAAUGGUUAAUCUAGAUUUGUGUUGUAUAACACUUGGUACAAUAAAUGCUUGGCACUCUCAUAGCCCAACCGUAUGGUAUUACCUACACCUGGGCUAUGAAAGGAACUUGAUUUGUUGUUAACAUCAGUUAAUAUCAUGAAUUCCUGAUAAUAUUUAAAAGUUUGGUGUUAUGUAAAUAAGAUAAUUAAUAUGAUCAUGUUAGUAAUUUAUAAUGAGCUAUUAAUGACAAAUCAUCUGAUUGGAACCUCCUCCGUGUGUGGUUUUCAAAUUGAGUAAUAAGAGUUUAUACUAUAUUUGUUUGAAAUACCAUUGGUGGAUCCUCUAACCUUGACAUUUGUUUUUAUCAUUGUUUAAUCCUUACAUUAAUCUUUCAUGUCAAAGUUCUCAUUAAUUUCUUUCUCCUCUUAUUAUUAUUAUUAUUAUUAUCACUAUUAUUAUUAUUAUUAUUAUUAUUAUUAUUAUUACUAUUAUUAUUAUUUAUAUUUUGUUUAUAUUAUAUAAUAUAUCUCUUUCAUCUUUUCAUAACAUCAGUAUAUAGGCUGGAAACCUGUGACCCGAUCUUUUAGAUCAUUCUCAGAUAUAACAACGCCACGUACUGAUUAUUAUUAUUAUUAUUAUUAUUAUUAUUAUUAUUAUUAUUAUUAUUACUACUACUAUUAAUAUUAUUGUUGUUGUUGUUGUUGUUGUAUUGUUAUUUAUAAUUUAUACAAUUAACCUCUUUGUAGUUCGACCUCGGUCUUGCCGGGUUAUUUAUUACUUCGACACUCCUGCACUUGGGAGAAGACAUCAAUCUUUUGGUCGUAUCAACCAUGAUAAUAUGACAAGAAUUUCAUGCAUAACAAACAAUGUAAUACUUAUACCCUUAAUAUAGUAAUGAAAGAAAAGGGAAGUUGUUAAUAGCGAACAUAAAAAUAUGUUGUCUUUAUCCUAAUUUAUCGAAAUCAAAAAAAAAAAGAGAGAGAGAGAAAGGAGAUUUUAGAGAAUCAAGAUGACAUGAAAAAGGGUAUGAUAUGGAAUAAGUCAUUGGUGGCUACUAAUGGUUCUACAAAGAUUGAGAUUAUACUAGUAUAAAACUAUUACUAAUCUUCAGGACUUUUUAGCCAUUCUCAUCAUGUCAUUUUGCAGCGACAAAAAUAAAAAUAAAAAUAAAAAUAAAAAACUACUACACAUGCCUUCAUCUCUUUGCUAUCUUCUUUUUAUCUCUGAAAACGAGAUAAAAAUGAAUAAAAUGAUCAAUGAAGAGUAAAAAAAAAAAAAAAAGAGUUUAUUUUACUUGAAAAAUAUUAAAUUAAUAUAUUUUUUUAUGAUUUUAAUUUUAAAAAAAAUCAAUUCUUGUUUUUUCUUUGGACGAUAAUUUUUUUUGUUUUUAAAAAUGUAAGGCAAAUAGUAUAUUUAAACUUUGUUUGUAUUUUUCAUUUCAAAAGUGUUUUAAAAAAAUUUAAAAACUAUUUUUUUUAUUUGCUUCAAAUUGAUAUUUUUUUAGUGUUUUCAUAUCAUUUUGAUGUGCUGAUAUUAAAAAUAAUUUUAAAAAAAUAAAAAAAAAUUAUUUUAAUUUAUUUUUUAAUAAAAAAUACUUUUAAAAAUAAUCACAAUCACACUCCUGAACACCUUAUUAGUGCAUGUUGGAGAACUAGUGGCUUUUGUCUCCUUUUUUUUUUUUCCUUACAAGCUAGGUGUUUGAAAGAUUUUUAAGAGUUAUUUUGAAAGCUCCAUCAACAUAUAUAUAUAUAUAUAUAACCUGCUAGUGAUAUUUAUAUGUAUUAGAUGGAUCUGAGAUUAUAUUUAUUUUAAAGUCCAAUGUGAAUAUAUUUUUGUGAAUAGAGUGAUAUAGCAUAUAGUUGCUACCGAUCAAGGAUUAGAUAUCACAAAUUUAACCACAUUUUUUUAAUCAAUUAAAUACUUUUAGCUUUGAUUUUUUUUUCCCAUCCAACAAUGUAAAAAAUAUUAUUAUACAAUUACACAUCAAGAAAUCUUGGUUAAGUUUUUCUUGUGUCGUGAAUUAUUAUUUUUUUAUAAUUUACUAUAAUGCCAUCGAACUGUUAUAAAACCAGUAACAACACCAGGAGCAAGUCAGCGGUGGCUUGGGACGACCAUUUCCAUGGCCAUUAAGAGCCCGUUUGGCUACGCGUUAGAGUUGUGUUUCUUCAAAAACGCACUGAAUAAACAUUUGGUUAAGAAAAAAAAACUACUUAAUGUGCAUCGGUCUCACAAUAAAUUGCGUGCAGAACGCAAGGAGAUGAAAAGCAGCAAGCUGCUGCUUUCUUGCGCGGCAACAAAAGGCAACCAUGCUACACUGCUCACUGAACAGUGUAGCAUGCCUCCAUUAUUAAGUGAACAGUGGACACUUGCCUCCAUUGUUCACUGAAUAGUGGAGGCAUGCUACACUGUUCAGGGACCAGUGUAGCAUGGUUGCCUUUCGUGGAGCAGCAAAAUGCAUUAAACCGGGUCCGACCCAGUAAAAAAAAAAUAUUUUUAUUUUUUAAUUGUGUUUUAUUUGCUUGAUGACAUAGUAUUUGUAGAAUUUGAUCACAAUUCUAAUUUGUUCCUGAUUAUAUUUUACAAGUUAUGUUGUUGCGUGUUAAAGAAACCAAGAAAAUUGUCAGAUGUAUUUCAGACGUGAUGGAAUUGUAGAUCGUUCAAUGGAAUAAUAAAAAAAAUAUUUUAUAUAAAGUAUGAUUUAUUUUAUGAUGUAAUAGCAAUAGUUAAAUCUACAAUAUUUAAAUUAAAAAUCAUCAAUAUUAAUAUAUAUAUAUAUAUAUAUUUAAAUUAUUUUAUAACCUUAAUUUUAAAAGCAUUCUUAACCAAACACAUUAAAUUAUUUUUUCUUCAACCUCAAUUUCAACCACAGCUUUAACCAAACAUCUAUUUUUUCAAACCACCUCAAUUAAAAGUACUUUUUAUAAAAUAAUUUUUUUCAAACCACAAUCACAACAGCUACAAUAAUACCAAACACACUCUAAGUAUCCAUUUCUGACAAACACAAUUAUCUCAUAAAUACCACAGAAAACUGUGCAAGUCACCCAUUUUAUCCACCAUUUAGCCCGAUAAACACUAGUCUGCAUAAGCUUCAAAUAACCAUUCCAUGGUGUCGCGUCUUGGAGGUUCCUACAACAGUUAAAAUAGCUAACAUGGUGUUAGCCAUUGAAAGAUAAACAACGCUAAAAUUCAAAAUAGUUGGAGUUAGAUAAUAUAUUAUCAAUAUAUAAUUUAUAAUUCUAUAUUUUAUAUAAACUAGAGCCAAGUUUGCCUUUUUUUAAAAAAAAAUCUUGGGGUCAACUAAAGAGUGUUUUUAGCUUUAAUUGUAUUUGCUACUAAAAAGUGAUUGGUUAGUAAUCUCAGUAAUAAUCUUGUUGGUUGUUAUUAAAUGAAAUUAGCCAAGUUAAAAUUGGUUAGGCAAGAAAUGAUUAGGUAAUUUUUUUAGAAAGCAAAAGUCUAAUGACAUUUUAAAUUAUUGACUUCUUGGUUAUAAUUUUUCAAUUUUAACAAAUCAUCAUUAAAUUCAUAUGUAUAUAAAGUACUUAAUUUUAAGAUUUAAUGGUUUGUUUUAAGAAUCAUAAUUGUAUAUAAAGUUGAUGAUUUUAAAAUAAAUAAUACUGUAUAGACAAUGCAAUAAAUAUAAGUUAAAUUAUUUUGUAAGAAUGAUAUUAGAAUAAUGUUGGAUUGCUAUUGAUUUUAUCAUUGAUAUUUGUAUAUUUUGAUACAUAGUAGAAGCUAAAUAAUAAUGGCAUUUGAUAGUGUCCGUCCUAUAUAUUCCACAAAAAUAAUGAUUUAUGGUUAUUGAUAUUAUCAUUGAUCACAAGUAUAAAUUUGGUUAACAUAAUAAUAAAAGAUAAUAAGAUAUUAGUAUCUAAUAAUUGCUUUUGAUUAUGAUUGAUUUGGUUAAUUUUGAUAUUAGUCUAAAGAAUGUUGGCAUAUGAGAAAUAAAUCAUUCUUAAAAGAAUGAAGUCUAAUUAUUGCUUUCAUUAAUUUGAAUACUUUAAUUGGUUCUCUCUCCUCAGCAUACUACAAAGUAACGGAAUAAUUAAAACUCCAACUUACCUAUGCAAGUAUACCCUCUAUAUAGAUUCUUGGGAUAUGAGAAAUCUUGGGCCACUCAGAUCCAUUCUCCUUUCUACAAUUUUCUUUAAGAUGUGGACAUCUCGAGAUAGUCAAUUUCUUUAAUUUGGAGAUGCGUUGAAUGGCUGUUGAACUUGGCAUAUACUUGAGAUUCUUGCAAUUAUAAAUCCGAAGAGAUUGAAGAGAAGAAAGGUUGGCCAUCCAUUCUGGCAAUGCUUCCUCAAACUCCUCUCCAUCGAAAUACAUUAUCCACAAUUCCUCGAGGGCAGUGAGGUGUUGAAGUUGGUGUGGUACACUCUUCAGUUUAUCCCAUCCAUAUAUCGAUAGGGAUUUGAGGGACCCACUCAAGUUGAGGUGUUGGAUUGAGUUUAAA
rnacentral:lncRNA from 1 species